AAAAGCCUAAUGAACUCAGGAUUGCCAUAAUACGUGACCCCAGUAACUAUAUUAUCAUCAACAACGCCCACUGACAAUGUAUCGGGUUCUACCCAGUGAGCACCAGCAGCAACCAAUCCAGGUUUCACAGUUGGAAACGCUGUGCACUUGCGACCUUUAACAGCGCCUGCAGCUGCUAAGACCAACUGCCCAUGGCAAAUAGCAGCAAUUGGCUUUCUGGAGUCAGAAAAUUUUCUCACCAAUUCUACAACCGAUGCAUUCAUAGCAAGAUGUUCAGGAGAUCGUCCUCCUGGUAUAAGUAGACCAUCAUAUUCGUCAAAUUCAAUCUCAUCAAAUGUUGCAUUCAGUGUGAAAUUGUGACCACGAGAUUCGGUAUAAGCCUGUAACCCAAAAAGGUACGUACGUCCGUACAGAAAACCAAACCAAACACACACAUUAAAACAGGAGUAAGGGGAUACAAAAUAAAUAAAUGAACAGGAAAGACAGAGUUUGACCCGGUCAGUGGACUCCACUUUAAUGGUUAUGGCUGUGGCGCAGAUAUCACCCGCUUUCUUGCCAGGAGAAACUGCAUCAACAGAGACUCCAAAUGCCUGCAGUGCUUGAAAUGGGACCAUUGCCUCGUAAUCUUCCAUGUAGUCCCCGCACAGUAACAACACCCUCCUCUGCUCCUCGCCUUUCGGAUUUCCCAUUUCUUUUCUUAUUUCCUUCUUUAGUUUCUUUCUUGCUUUUUCUUUCUUCUUUCUUCUUUCUUCUUUUUCAGAGAGAGAGAUGGUCUAAUAAAGGAAGGAAGGCCUGCUUUAAAUACUAAUACUCACACAAGCGUUUUUGGAGGUUUGUGGAGUCAGCUAGACACGUCGCAGUUAGUUAUCGUGGCAUCUCUUUCUAUUCCUCUCUUCUUUUCAGUUCGGAUAACUAUUCAAUGAGUUUCGAGCCAAGUUUGAUAUUCUCUGUUGUCUUAUAAUUAUUCGAGGAAGAUUCAAACUUGUAAUGUUUAUCUCUAACAGGCAUGGACAAUAAAUGUAAUGUUUAUCUCUAACAGGUAUGGAUAGUUUCGAAUAGCGUGCGCGUUGAUUGUACCUCGACUGCCAUGUUGAUUUUCACCAACGCAGCAAAGCUGCUUGCUUGGUGUUAUGAGGUCUGGUUUUGUCAACAAACUAUAUUAAUUGACCCAAAAGAAAAUGCAAUAUAAUGUGGAUCCUCAUUUCGCAGUGACAGGAUGGUUGUGAAAUACAGGCUAACUUUGGGCAACAUGAUAUUCAAAAGAAAAUUCAAUAUCUUGUCGAUCCUCAUUUUGCAGUUACAGGAUGGUUGUGAAAGUAUAAGCUAACUCUGGACAACACGAUAUUCAAAAGAAAAUGCAAUAUCUUGUCGAUCCUCAUUUCCCAGUUGCAGGAUGGUUGUGAAAGUAUAAGCUAAUUCUAGACAACUGAUAUUCAUUCAGGUAAAACUUCGAGGUGUACGAUGAGAGAGAGAGAAACCAAGGGGGCCGAUGACUAAUAAAGCAUAAGUAGUAUAAUACAAGCUUCAUCCACAACCAAACUUGCAUGGAACAUGGCAUAUACAUAUCGAGACCAGAAUCAUUUGUUCCCUCAUAUAUACAAACGUCACCUUAACAUAACACAACAUACAUGCCUUAUUCUUUCAUGAAUUACAUAUAGUACAUGCAAGCAGCUGACCCAAUAAACAGCAAAUGAUACUCGAAUAUCAAGCAAUGUCAUCAACUGAGAAAUGAACUCUGGGUUGCCCAGUCCAAAUUUCCAUCUGUGAAGCAAUGAUCUAUUGGAUCAGGUUCCAGCCAUGUUGCUCUUGACAAAACCGCAUUAAGCUUCACCGCUGGAUACGCAGUACAUUUCUUUCCCUAAAAUGAAGCAUACCACCAAAACAUUGAAAAUACACAUAGGAAUGAAUGAUGGAACCCUAUCACACCAGAAUUGUGGCAAAUCUGGUGAAGCCUAUUCAGGUUAUUUUCACUAUAUAUCUUUCAGAAGUAUCUGUAAUGGGGCAAAUCUCCAUCAAUUCUCUUCUUUUCACUUUAUCUUUAUGCCCAUUCAUGCAUGUACAUAUUAUAGGAAGAAGUUUUUGACAUAUGGCAUGUAUUGUGUGUCAAAUGUAUACCGAUUCAUGAAGACAGGUUCAACAGCACAUACACCAUUUUGACCUUAUUCAUUUAUUUUUGUUUAUUCUGGGUUACUGCAAUUUGAAUCACAUUAAAAAACAAAUACUGAACAGUGAUAUAUUCAAUAUUGAUUGGCAUCACAACUUCAUAUUUCUCAUUGCACUACGAAGGAAAAUAAAAAUUACCCCACAGAGAAACAGGAUCCUCCUAUCUGAACCAGUUAUGUUACUUCCUAUAGUGCCUUCAAAAAAGACUAAUGAACUCAGGAAGGCCUUCAUAUGUAGCCCCAGUUAUUAUAUUACCAUCAACAACACACGCCACCAUGGUCACGGGCUCCACCCAAUAAGCACCUGCAGGCUGCAGCAACAAGUACAGGUCUGACAGCUGGGAAGGCCGUUAUAUUUUAAAGGCAUCGCGGCGGAGCUAUACUCUAUAAUCAAAAUAGAAAAUCUAAAACGUAUAGCCGUUCGGCUAUACUCUAUAAAUAUAACUCCAUAAAUAGAAUAUCAUAAACAUAUAGCCGCGCGGCUAUAUGCGAUAAAUAGAAUAUUUCAAACGUAUAGCCGAUUGGCUGUACCCUAAAAUAGAACAUUUUAAAAGUAUAGCCGAUCGGCUGUACUCUAUUAGAAGAUCUUCAAAAAAUACAGAAAACCCAAAAACAUUUUAAAACAAAGGGGGACCAGAAAGACAUAUAUAGCAUUUGAAGAUUUGUAAAUUAAACACAGAUAAGAUUAUUUUCACUUAGAGACGAAGGCACUAAUGCAAUUUUGUUUAUUGAAUAUGGUGUACGCAGUGACGUUGGAGCCAAGAAUUUGUUCACGCUGUCUUUUCCCCAGAACUCAAAGCUCAAUACAGGUCGGUUCUCUAGCUCAUAAUGAAUGAGCAAAGCACUCUAACAAAACUCCUAACAUGUGUUCUUGUUUGAGCUUACUUUAGUCUCGCUGUCCACACAACCUAGAAACUAUGACCUACGGAUUGCUAUUUGUCAAUCUAAUAGAGUGGCUCUAAUCAACAGUAAAACUUAAUUCAUUUUGUCUAUUAUUAACGCUACCAACCACUGGCUGAUGCAAAAACCUAAACUUGUAAACUUGACAAACUUAUUUCCAGUCCCAACAUAUUCCAAAUUUUAGAGGAGGCAGCAUAAUCCCAUAUGUGAGAAUUGUAAGCACUUCAAUCUUUGAGACAAAUUUCUUGUUUUGGGUUUACAAAUUCAAGUGAAGUAAGCAUUCAAUCUUCAAUCCAAUUGAGUGUGCUUGAUUACAGAGCAUGGAAAGACCAAUUGACAGUGCUCAAAUGAUGUAAUGAGGCUAAAGAAUAAAUUUUUAUCAUAUAAUCAUUAAAUAUGUUCACUAAAAGAUGUGUCAUCGUUAUAUGUAAAAUUUUUAGAAAUAUAUAAACUAGCUAGGAUUUACGUGAAUUCGAAUUUGAAUACAUGAAAUAUUAUUACCUACUACAUCAUUUGAUGAACAGAUUUGAUGUUCCUAACAAUUCUAUGCGUACUAGUAAAGUACUUUGUCUUUAAUUUGGAAGUACCCGAAAGCAUAAUGUUUUUCAUAUAUUAUCUGGCAGGAGGCAAUUCAAGAAAAAAAGCCAUCAUUAUUGGAGUCGUAGUUGGAGGUGUAGGUCUUUUUAUUCUCAUUGUUGGAGUUUUUCUCUAUUUUAAACUUUCAAGAAAGCCCGAGGCUGCAACAACCACAGAAUUCGAAGUUGCACUUCCUCUUGCAUAUAUACUAUUACAGUCAUGAUUUCUUGGAUUACAAGUACAAGGGUUUAAGAGAUUUGUGAUCACUCACCGUUGGAUGUAAAUUCAACGGUUCACUCACUCUUGCACUUCUUUUAAGAAAUUUUUUUGAACCAUUGGAUUAAUAUCUAACGGUGGGUGACCACAAUCUCUUGGACUCCUGUAUUCCAAGAGAUCGGAUUGUAUACUAUAAGUCCUGAUCUCUUAGACUACAAGAGUACAAGAGAUUUGUGGUCACUCACCGUUGGAUAUAAAUUCAACGGUUCACUCAUUAUUGCACUCCUUUUAAGAAACUUUUUUGAACCAUUGGGAUUAAUAUCCAACCGUAAGUGACCACAAUCUCUUGGACUCCUGUAGUCCAAGAAAUUUGUGGUCACUCACCGUUGGGAUGUAAAUUCAACGGUUCACUCACUCUUGCACUCCUUUUAAGAAACGUUUUUGAACCAUUGGAUUAAUAUCCAACAGUGGGUGACCACAAUCUCUUGGACUCCUGUAGUCCAAGAGAUCGGGACUGUAUACUAUUAGUCCUGAUCUCUUGGACUACAAGGGUCCAAGAGAUUUGUGGUCACUCACCGUUGGAUGUAAUUCAAUUAGCUCAUGCUCUAACCAUGUAUAUAUAUAAACAUAAAAAAUUUAAAAAAAUUUGGUAUUAGACAUAAUUAUCUUUACUAAUUAGUAUUCGAGAUAAACAAUAUUUAUGUUUUAGUUUUAAUACAUAGGAAUUGAAUUUUGUUUUGGAUUUGGACAAAGAGGAGGCCCAGAUUCAUUAGCCCACCUUAUAUUAAUCACUAAUUUUAAUUUAAAAACCUGACUCAAAUUCAUUGGUUUACCUUUUUUUUAAGAGUGCUACUAAACGAACCCUAACAUUAACUGAGUACACCCUAUGAUCUAAGUACACCCUGAUAUUUUAAUUUAAAUGUAAAAUUAACUAAGCACACCCUAUAGAACUACCAAAAAUAUCUCUGGUACACCAUAAUAUUUGUAGCAUUAUUUUAUAGUUGAUUUUUAGCUUGAUUUUUUUAAUAGUGUUUAUAAAUCUUUGACUUUUCAUAUGGAUUUAUGCUUCUACUAAAAUUGUUGACACUUUUUUUGCAAUUUCAAGUUCUUGCAAUCACCACCUCUUUCGUUAAUAAUGAUUUUUUUAUGCAUGUUUCAGUUAUAUACUACUAUGCUACUGUGAAAUUUAUUUGUUCUCAACGAAGUUAAAAACAAGCUAAACAAAUAGAGACACUUUCGCAAAAGACACCUCGUUUGUGAUAAAUUCGUUUUUGUAGUCUAAAACACAUUGUUUAUUGAUGUCGGUGUCUUGCUUAGAUACAUCUUCUAGAUGCUGUAAAAAAAAAAACCUCAUAUUUGUCAUUUUUCGGUACACAUGCUUUAGCCUAAACCAAAAAAAAAAAUCAAAGUUAAUACCUCUUUUGAUGACUUCCUCAAAAUAUAUGAAGCAUCCAUUCCAAAAUUUCAAAAGUAACCCAACUUGCAAAUCUGCAUAAAAACAUAAGAGAAAAACAAUAAGAAAGGUGCAUGAGUGGCAAACGAAAGUCACUGCAAACUUCAUCAAAUUGGCCCUAGUAGUACUAAUUAAGAUAUUUUUAAUCAUACACGCUCACAAGCCAGAAAAACUAAGUCCUAAAAGAGGGAUGAAGAUGCUGCCACCACAAUUUUCAUUCAUGUUGUUAGUGAACUAGGCAAAAGUAAUAUGCAUAAAUUCUAUUUUUACAGUAUAUAAGUCAAUUCACCAUAAUAUUUUUUUGACAACUUAUUGGAUUGUCAGGAAUUCAAUGAUCAAUCAGGCCUUCACAUAAUCUCCACCGCUGCACUUCCUUUUGGACCUUGAGAAGAAGCAGAUUUGAGCCCAAGUCUUCUUCUGCUUAGCAGGUUGUGCUUUAACUUCUCUUUUCACGACAAGCUCAAUCAUGUAUUGAACAACAGCCUAAGAUUAUAUUUGCUCCAAACCAUUCUGACUCGCAGAUCACAAAGAUGAGAACCAAAUAAUCUCUUGAGUAGGGUUGAAUACGAUUAGUAGGGUGUACUUAUUAAAAUUAUAUUUGUUUCACAAUUUCAUAUAUCAUUUUUGGUCAUUUUAUAUUAGAGUAAAUCAGUAAUUCAAUAUAUGCUUUUGUAGUAGGGUGUACUCAGUUAAUUUUAGGGUUCGUUUAGCAGCACUCUUUUUUAAUCAUAUCAGAUCUGCUAUCAUCAAUCCAAGAUCAAGAGACCGAUCUGCGAUGCAAUUCUCAACCAUCUCCCUCCUCUACCCAACCCCCCCCCCCCAACCCCCCAAAAAAAAGGUUUGGGAAAGUCCCAAAAACUAAAAAACAGAUUUCUUCAGAUACAAAAAAAUUUAAAAAAAGAGGAGAGGAUAUGAAAGACGCAGAAAAUCGNNNNNNNNNNNNNNNNNNNNNNNNNNNNNNNNNNNNNNNNNNNNNNNNNNNNNNNNNNNNNNNNNNNNNNNNNNNNNNNNNNNNNNNNNNNNNNNNNNNNNNNNNNNNNNNNNNNNNNNNNNNNNNNNNNNNNNNNNNNNNNNNNNNNNNNNNNNNNNNNNNNNNNNNNNNNNNNNNNNNNNNNNNNNNNNNNNNNNNNNNNNNNNNNNNNNNNNNNNNNNNNNNNNNNNNNNNNNNNNNNNNNNNNNNNNNNNNNNNNNNNNNNNNNNNNNNNNNNNNNNNNNNNNNNNNNNNNNNNNNNNNNNNNNNNNNNNNNNNNNNNNNNNNNNNNNNNNNNNNNNNNNNNNNNNNNNNNNNNNNNNNNNNNNNNNNNNNNNNNNNNNNNNNNNNNNNNNNNNNNNNNNNNNNNNNNNNNNNNNNNNNNNNNNNNNNNNNNNNNNNNNNNNNNNNNNNNNNNNNNNNNNNNNNNNNNNNNNNNNNNNNNNNNNNNNNNNNNNNNNNNNNNNNNNNNNNNNNNNNNNNNNNNNNNNNNNNNNNNNNNNNNNNNNNNNNNNNNNNNNNNNNNNNNNNNNNNNNNNNNNNNNNNNNNNNNNNNNNNNNNNNNNNNNNNNNNNNNNNNNNNNNNNNNNNNNNNNNNNNNNNNNNNNNNNNNNNNNNNNNNNNNNNNNNNNNNNNNNNNNNNNNNNNNNNNNNNNNNNNNNNNNNNNNNNNNNNNNNNNNNNNNNNNNNNNNNNNNNNNNNNNNNNNNNNNNNNNNNNNNNNNNNNNNNNNNNNNNNNNNNNNNNNNNNNNNNNNNNNNNNNNNNNNNNNNNNNNNNNNNNNNNNNNNNNNNNNNNNNNNNNNNNNNNNNNNNNNNNNNNNNNNNNNNNNNNNNNNNNNNNNNNNNNNNNNNNNNNNNNNNNNNNNNNNNNNNNNNNNNNNNNNNNNNNNNNNNNNNNNNNNNNNNNNNNNNNNNNNNNNNNNNNNNNNNNNNNNNNNNNNNNNNNNNNNNNNNNNNNNNNNNNNNNNNNNNNNNNNNNNNNNNNNNNNNNNNNNNNNNNNNNNNNNNNNNNNNNNNNNNNNNNNNNNNNNNNNNNNNNNNNNNNNNNNNNNNNNNNNNNNNNNNNNNNNNNNNNNNNNNNNNNNNNNNNNNNNNNNNNNNNNNNNNNNNNNNNNNNNNNNNNNNNNNNNNNNNNNNNNNNNNNNNNNNNNNNNNNNNNNNNNNNNNNNNNNNNNNNNNNNNNNNNNNNNNNNNNNNNNNNNNNNNNNNNNNNNNNNNNNNNNNNNCCCCCCCCCCCCCCCCCCCAAAUAACACUGUUCGGACCAUCCUCAACACCCCAACACACGUCGCCCUCAAGUCCGAAGAACUUAUAAGAAUGGAGCAGGAAUUGAUAGUCCGCGAAAUCGAAAUGCGGAAAGCCAAAGAGGAUCUCAACCGUCGGAUUCACAAUGAUCAGGUCGCGAGGGAGAUCAUGAAGAUUCCAUAGGACGAGUGGCAAGAGUCUGGCCAACUCUUCGCCAAACCCUUCGGUGUAGGCUCCUCCUCAUCGUCGUCGACGAAGAGGGUCAAGAGUGAAAGAGUGUUCUAUCAGAUUGGUCAAAAAAUAAUACUUCAUUUAUCUUAAUAUAUAACAAAUAGGAAGGUUAUAUAUACAAAGCCUAGGAAACUAUUCUAGGAAAGUAAUUAUGUUCCUAUAAUCUUGCAUAAUCAAAUAGUUGACUUAGACUAAUUAGGAAUGUACAGCUCAUUGACACUCCCCCUCAAGUUGGAGCAUAUAUGUCGUCAAUGCCCAACUUGCUAAAUGAGCUGUGAAAUACCCUGCCUGUGACUGCUUUGGUAAGGACAUCUGCAAGUUGAUCUUCGGAUUUAACAAAUGAUACCUUAAUGAUCUUUGCCUCGAGCUUCUCCUUGAUGAAAUGUCUGUCAACUUCAACAUGCUUGGUUCUAUCAUGUUGCACUGGAUUAUGUGCAAUGUCUAUUGCAGCUUUGUUGUCACAAUUCAGUUGCAUGGCAUGUUUGGGUUUGAACCCCAAUUCCUCCAACAAAUUCCUUAUCCAGAGUAGCUCACAUACUCCGUGCGCCAUACCUCGAUAUUCUACUUCAGCACUUGAUCUUGACACUACUUUCUGUUUUUUACUUCGCCAAGAUACUAGAUUGCCUCCUACAAAGGUAAAGUAUCCAGAUGUAGAUCGCAUGUCAGUAACAGAGCCCGCCCAGUCUGCAUCAGUGUGACCCUCAACAUCUAGAUGACCAUGUCGUGCGAACAUCAAUCCUCUUCCAGUAGAUGACUUCAAGUAUCUCAAAAUUCGGUUUACCGCAUCCAUGUGGGCUUCACUUGGUGCAUGCAUGAACUGACUCACCAUACUUACAGCAUAUGCUAUAUCAGAUCUAGUGUGUCCUAGAUAGAUUAACUUACCCACAAGGCGUUGAUAUCUUUCUUUGUUGGUGGGUACUUGAUCAGGAUAUUCACCAAGCUGAUGAUUCAACUCCAUUGGCGUAUCUGCUGGUUUGCUGGCUAACAUUCCAGUGUCAGUCAAAAUGUCAAGGAUAUAUUUCCGUUGUGAUAGAAAUAUUCCUUGUUCUGAACGAGCCACUUUGAUGCCUAGGAAAUACUUCAGAGCACCAAGAUCUUUCAUUUCAAACUCACUUGCCAAGUGGUGCUGCAAUGCUGCCUUUUUCACUAGGUCAUUCCCGGUAACUACCAUGUCAUCAACAUAUACAAUAAGGGCAGUGACAUUACCUUUCUUAUGUUUCAAGAAAAGAGUAUGAUCUGAGUUACUUUGCUUGUAUCCAAAAUCCUUCAUUGAUUUGCUGAACUUGUCAAACCAUGCUCUGGGUGACUGCUUCAAGCCAUAAAGAGACUUUCUCAGUUUACACACCAUGUUGCUAGUAUUGGGCCCCAUCUUGCAUCCUGGAGGGGAAUCCAUAUAGACUUUUUCUUCUAGGUCGCCGUGCAGGAAGGCAUUUUUGACAUCAAACUGGUGUAAUGGCCAGUUUAGGUUUGCUGCCAGAGAAAAAAGUACUUGAAUUGUGUUUAUCUUGGCUACAGGGGCAAAUGUUUCCCUAUAGUCAAUCCCAUAAGUCUGAGUAUAACCUUUCGCCACCAAUCUUGCUUUGUAUCGUUCAAUGGUGCCAUCUGCCUUGAAUUUUAAUGUAUAUAUCCAUCUACAACCCACUGUUCUCUUUCCUUUGGGAAGGAUAGUCAUCUUCCAAGUGGAAUUCUUCUGGAGGGCCUCCAUUUCAUCAUUCAUCGCUUGAGUCCACUUGGGAUCUUUCAGAGCUUCCUACACAUUACUUGGAAUAGAUACAGUGGAUAAUUGACAUACAAAUGAUGCACAUGACGGAGACAACCUAUGUAGGGACACAUGAUUAGCAAUAGGGUAUUUAACUUUUGUUUUUGGGUCCGGGUCAUACUGUUGUCUAGGAAUCCCUCUAGUGGUACGAAUAGGUAACUGAUAACCUGUGUUUCCUGUAUGACUCGACUCAUGUAAAGUACUUAAGUUGGAGUUUAAAUGCUCAGUUACCUGCGGGGAAUCUUCAGGACCUGAUUGGAUGAUUGGUGAUGGUACUGUAGUUGGAGGGAAAUUAUCUGAACCAUCAUCUGGAGUUUCUAGUAACUCUUGAUCUUGUUGCACUACUGUAGCUGGUUGCUCGGAUACUGACUGCUCUAAAAUAGUUUGUUGAAUUUGGAUGCUCUGAGUAUCUUCUGCAAAGAUAGAGCUCUCCCCCUGCAGAGGAUGCUCAGAAACUCCCCCUGAGUAAUAGAACUCACUCUCGUGGAAAGUCGCAUCUGCGGUAACAUGCAUGGUCUGAGUGGGAUGAUGGAAACACUUAUAGCCCUUCUGAGUGUCAGCAUAACCCACAAAGACACAACGCAGUGCACACGGAUCAAGCUUGCCACGCUGAUGUGGAUACACCUGAACAUAAGCAACACAACCAAAGAGACGUGGUUCGAGAUUUGGUGUGGAUGGCAUGGUGAGGAGAGUGGUCAAUGUCUGAAAUGGAGUUUGAUACUGAAGAGUGCUGGAUGGGGUUUUAUUAAUGAGGUAAGCAGCAAAACAAAGAACCUCCCCCCAAAAAUGAUGAGGCAUACGGGCCUCAAAUAAAGAGGCACGAACAACCUCCAAGAGAUGACAAUUCUUACGCUCUGCGACGCCAUUCUGUUGUGGUGUAUAGGCACAUGUGGUUGAUGAACAAUUCCAUGUUGACUUAAAAAAAUUAUAUAGGUCUUGGUUGACAUACUCUCCUCCAUUGUCAGAUCGAAGCAUGGUGAUUUUCUUGUCAAACUGAGUAGCAACAUAUUGAUAAAAUAACUUGAAUUUGGCGGUGACUUUACUUUUCUGCUUUAAGGGAAAAACCCAGGUCAUCCGGGUGCAAUCAUCAAUAAACGUCACAAACCACUUAAAACCGCUAAUAGUAGGAACUCGUGAUGGUCCCCAAACAUCAGAAUGGACAAUCAUGAAAGGCAAAGAACUUUUAUUCAAUCUUAAUGGGUAAGAAAUACGAUGACUUUUGGCCAAAAUGCAAGUUUCACAAUGAAAGUCUGAUUCAGCAAACUGGGAAAAUAAAUCUGGAAAUAAAAGUUUCAGAUGACCAAAAGAAGCAUGCCCUAAUCGUCUAUGCCAUAGCCAAAUUUUCUUCAUCCUGAUAGACUCAUCUCCUCUCACAUGAUGUGUCUGACUCAAUCUUGUACUGCUGUCUUCUGUCAAGUCCAGAUAAUACAACUUUCCCCUCCUAGUACCACAUCCAAUCACGGUCCUGGUGAGAAGAUCCUGAAAUAGACAAUACAAUGGCCAAAAACACAUAGUACAAUUAAGGGAAUCAAUGAUUUGAGGAACAUAUAACAAGUCAUAGUCGAGUGAAGGGACAACUAAGACAUGAUCAAGACUUAAUGAAGAUGUAAGAGAUAAAGACCCUUCUCCCAUAACUUGGGAGGUGGUUCCAUUGGCACUGGUAAUAUGUGUUUGGCUUGAUGGUUUGGUAGAGUGCAACCCAGUAAAACUAGAUGUCAUGUGAUCAGUAGCGCCAGUGUCAAUAAUUCAUGAUCUAUUACAAAUAAGUGAAGAUGUGCAAGAGGUACCUGAGGUGGCCAAGGCCUUGGAGCCAGAUGUACCUGAUGGAGGUUCUGAUGCAGUCUCCUUGGAUGACUGAGCGGAUGCAAAUGAGGCUCUGGUAGAAUCCUUUUUUCGCCCUUUGUGGACCCAUCCUUCUGGAUAACCAAUGAUCUCAUAACAGCCCUUAAUUGUGUGGUUAUCUAAACCACAUUUGGUACACUUCAUUGGAGGCCAGUUACAAGUAGGGUCGACACUAUAGUUGUUCGGCCGAGAUUGUUUGGACCUCGCAGUAGCCAAGGCCGUGGCUUCAGAGGUUACACCAACUUCAGACAUGGUUCCCUGUCGGUUACUUUCUCUUUUAAUAUGUGCAUAUGCGGCCUCCAAUUCGGGUUUUGGCUCCAUCCGCAAAAUCUCUCCUCGGAUUUGAUCGAAAUUAUUGUCCAAACCUGCAAGAAAUAUAUAAACUCGGAGACGAUCAACCUCUUUGCGUCUAGUCUCAAUGUCUUUCGGAUGCUCCAUGGUGCUUGGACUUAAUUGAUCAAGCUCCUGAAAAAUCUCAGUGAGCUCACUGUAAUAUUUGGCAACUGAUGCGCCAGCUUGCUUCAUUAUUAAUGACCAUCUGUGAAGGUCAUAAAUCUUGGCUUCAUCAGCACCAUUUGAAUAGGUUUGCUUGAUUGCGGCCCAAACUUGCUUUGCUGUGUCAUAACGAAUAAAUCGUUUAAUCUGAUUAGGUUGCAUGGCGUCGAACAACCAACUCUUGACUUGGCAAUCCGAUGCAUGCCAUUUAUUAAAUGUGGGAUCUGUGUCUGUAGGUUGGGCAAUAUCACCGGUCAAGUGGCCAUGUUUUUCUCGCCCAGCUAUCUUCAUCUCUAUGAUUUGAUGCCAUAGAGAAUAAUUAUUCUCAUCCGAUUUGAUUCCUGCGGAGAAGUUGGAGGUGUCACUCUGUAAAGUGACGAUUUGUGUGGUAGUUUUGGAGCCUCCCGACACCAAGGAUUGAUUGGUGUUUGCUGACCCGUCAUCGUUGGCCAUGAUAUUGGCUGACAACCAAUGAAAAAAGGACAAAAAAGAAAUAUCAAGUUGAGGAAAAGCAAGUGAACGGUGGACAAAGGCAAUAAGAAAUAUUGGGUUGAAAGGGAAAAAAAGAACAAGGGGAACGGUUUGAAUGGGUCUGUGAGUGGAUCUGUGAGUGGAAAGUGAUUUGCAAUAUUGCAAAACGUGAUUUGACUAGAGGAAAGGUUUGAAUGGGUUUGUAAGAUGGAAUAUGGGUGGUAUUGGUGCUGGGUUUGUGAGAUGGAAUAUUGCUUUUGGUGCUGGUGCUGGUGCUGCGUACUAGAUGGAAUAUUGCAAAACAGUGAUUUGAGAUGGAAUAUGUGACAGGACCCACCCCGGAAUUUCCACAAAACCGGGGCGAAUCCAGUCUUUGUUCCGACAUCACCCCGAUGUCGGGCCCACUUACUAGAAACCGAGACUUCCUGCCGAAAUUUCGGCAGAGUCUCCCUUAUGAAUUGGACAAACCAACAAAAUUCAACCUGCAUAAAAAUAUAGAAUAAUCCCAACCAGCAGCAUGCUUUACAGCGAAUAAACAGUUUACAACAAAAUGGCCUCCGGCCUCACAAUUCAGACCCUAACAGGGCGAUAACAGAGCAUGUCUAAGAACUUCAAUUUCAACAAAACAGAGUACAAAGGAAAUAACAGGAAGAAAGAGUCCUACGAUGACUCAAGGCUCAAAAGCUCACGAUCCGGCUCUGCUGCGGAGCUCAGUCAACUACUGGCUGGGGGGCGCAAAACAGAAAAUUGUGAGUGGACAAAAAUAAAUUCAGUUCGGUGCAAACCAACGUAAUAUAACCCCACCGUUUAGAAAACCAUGCAAGAAAUACCAUGCAUCUCAAAACCGUCAUACACAAGUAUAUAUAUAUAUAUAUAUAUCAAAACAAAUCAAUACCAAAUGCCAAGUCCAAAAUUCAUAAAGAACACUUUACAAAACCCACCAUCCAAAAACUUAUAAAUCCCGCAACCAAACUCUCGAAAGCGUACCCAUUGGCACGACCGGCAAGGAAGUAUCCACACCGAGAAACAAGAAUGAAUGAAUAGAUAUAUAAUUAUAUAAUAUAAGAGAUAUAUGUAUAUAUAGUAUAAAUAUAACCAUCACCUAGUUGUACCGGGGAAACAAUCCAACCGGGGGAUUGUUUGACUAGUCACCCUGGCAGAGUCCUCGUGAUGAGUCCUCAAUCCACCAUGUGACUAGGGAACGAGCCGUUUAACUGAGGGACCAACUCUCAGCCAGAACGUACAGUCGAUAACCUCAAAACCCGUACGUCUGUGAACAGUCCUACGCGUGCAGACUACCCAAUUAAGGGUCUACAGCAACAUCCCGUCAAGGAUGCCCCGGGUCCCGACAAUUCCAAGUAUCUCAAGUCUCCGUAUCCAAGUUCCACAUCCGGGGAGGUACAUAGGGUAGUGCUUACCGCACACCAAACUGACAUUCUAUACUCACCACUUUCCACAAUCUCAUCUCAACAACCCAAGUACCUCACACAUAACCAAAUAUAUAUAUAUAAAUCCCCAAAAUCCAUAUAUUCAUACUCAAGAUACUCAAAUACGUCAAAACCCAAAAUAUAUUUUCAGUGCCUCAUAAAAAUAUCACUUUCAACAAUUUCAUAAAUAAUAUAUUCAAAAUACCAUUUAAAACAUCAUGCAUAAUAUUUCCCAAAAUCCAUAUAUAAAAUAUACUUUCAAUACCCAAUUAUACCAAACCCACAAUAUUUUACCAAAGCGCUUAUAAAAACAUCAAGCUCAACUCAUGAAUAUAAUAUAUUCAAUAAAUCAUUAAAAACAUUAUGCACAAAUGUUUCAUCAAUAAAACCAUGCAUAAGAUUUGAAAACAAGAUCCACUCACAAGUAGUCCCACGCUGCUUGACCCUGAGAGGGUCCCGCCUGCUGCGUAUGCGUGGUCGGAGUACCUCACCCGUCUGAAAUAGUGAUCGGAGGAGAGAGAACGGGCGACUGGAAGUUCAGACGAGAAUCGGCCUGAAAUCUGUGUUUUUCGGCGACGAGGAGGCGGCUGGCGGCUGGAGAUGGGUCGGGGAACGUCGGCGAGGUCUGGCCGGUUGUUUUGGGUCCGGUCUCGGGGCUGGCCGUGGCCUGUGGCGGCGGCUCCGCGUCUGCAAAUCGGAGAAGGAGGAAGAGGGACGCGGGAGAGAGAGAGAAUCGGGAGAAAGAGAGAGAAAGAGAGAUAAAACUGAAAAAUCUGAUUUUUACUCUAUCCCUUUUCGAAAUAUUUACAAGUUUGCCACUGACACUAUUUUGCCCGUAACUUUUUCGUUACAACUCCGAUUCAAGCCUACCGCGUGUCUACGAAUUCGUCUCAGUACCACCUACCCAGAAAUACCAGUUACUGCCCCAAACACUUUUUGGGCAAGAAAAUGACCAAUUUACCCCUACCCUGAGGGUAAAUUCGUAAAUUCACUUAAAUAAUUUAAAAUAGGAAUUAAAUUUAGAGUCGGGGUGUUGCAAUAUGGGCUGGUGCUGGGUCUGUAUGACGGCUGUUGCUGCGGAAGCGAUUAGGGUUAGGGCAAGAGACAGUCAAGAUUGACUGCUCUGAUACCAUAUCAGAUUGGUCAAAAAAUAAUACUUCAUUUAUCUUAAUAUAUAACAAAUAGGAAGGUUAUAUAUACAGAGCCUAGAAAACUAUUCUAGGAAAGUAAUUAUGUUCCUAUAAUCUUGCAUAAUUAAAUAGUUGACUUACACUAAUUAGGAAUGUACAGCUCAUUGACAUGUUCAGGCUCUACUUCAAGGGUUUGGUGAGCGACGCAAUGGUUGGAAAUGAGAGAAUGGUGCUGGCUGGGGUUGGGGUUGCUCUAUGCGACUCCAGGGAUAAUUUGGUGUUCGAGGUUUGGAAACCCCUGAUUGGGAAUGGGAUGAGCAAGAAUGGUGCCCUGUUGAAAGCCUUGAUUGAAGGACUUAAUGCUGCUCUUGCUCUGGACUUGAAGCGCAUCACCUUUUUCUGUGAGAAUUUUCCCAUUUUUUUAGUUUGUGAGUUGCUAUCUCUUCUCUGUCUCGUUUCAGUCUAUUGAUGAAAAUUAAUUAGGCUAAUUGUGGGUUUUGCAUUUUAAUAUAACGACAUAUAUGGUUAUGGACGCUGUGGUUUACACUGACCAUGAAAGAGACUCUUGUGAAAGAGGUCUAAAGGAAUGGAACUUAUUAUUAUAUUAGUGUAUACGAUGUUGUAGGUUUUGUUAAUUAAUAUUUUUUUUCUUGGAACAAUAAUGAACUUUCAAUUUUCAGAUAUACUUCAUGAAAUUUGAUAGGGCAAAUCGUAUAUCAUCCAUUGUGGACAAAGAGAUGCAUUCGCUUUGAGAAAUUUUACUUGUGUCUUCUCAACAUUUGCUAAAUUAGUUUGCUAUCUUGUAUUUAAAUUGACCAUUAGAGAAAGUCUUGUGAACAAGGUCUAAAAUAAUGGAGUUUAUUAUGACAUUUAUGUGUGCAAUGUUGUAGUAUUUGUGUUGAAACCAAGAAUAUUGGAUGUACUAGUCACUGUGCUACGGUCUAUUUACACCCAUGAAUAGAGCUUGUUGAAUUUCUGACAUUAUAUUUUAUGUAUGAAGGUUAAUGGUAAAUGGCAAGCAAAGAACUACCCAAGAGCAAGAGAACUCAAAAUUGGACUUUCGAAAACUGCAUUGCAGUUCAGAAAUUGCAUUGCAGUUUUUAUUUAAUUACAAUUGAAUUUUUGCUCUUUCUUUGGUCUUCAACCUCACGAAUUUGAAGAGUAGAGGCUACCCAAAUGAGGAAUUGGGGAAAGAGAAAAGUAGAACUACCCAAGAGCAAGAUAACUCAAAAUUAGACUUUUGGAAACUGCAUUGUGGAUUUAGAAACUGCAUUGCAGUUUUAGAAACAGCAUUACAGUUUUCUUUUAAUUACAAUUUGAUUUUUAUUCUUUUCUUGGCCUUCAACCUCAUCAAUUUGAAGAGUAGAGGCUACCCAAAUGAGGAAUUGAGUGGGCAAGAGAAGAUUAGAACUACCCAAGAGCAAGGGAACUCAAAAUUGGUCUUUUGGAAACUGCAUUGCAGUUUUCAUUUAAUUACAAUUUGAUUUUUUGUUCUUUCCUUGGCCUUCAACCUCACCAAUUUAAUUACAAUUUGAUUUGUGUUCUUUCCUUGUUUUUUUUAAACAUAAUUGAUAUCUACCUUGUAUUUUUAUUGCAGUUUCUGUUUUUAUUUUCAGUUUUUGUGUGAAUAUGUGUUGAAAUGAUUUUUUUUUUUUUUUUUAAACUGUUGAUUGUUGUUAUAAAUAUUGUAUAACUGAAUAAAUAUUACAAAAUCAAGUUUGGUGUAGUGGUUUGUGAGUGAGCCUUCCUCCUUUGAGGGUCAAGGUUCAAGUCCCUUCAAUGACACAAAAUAUUUUUUUUAAAGGUGAAUAAAGGGCAAUGGAGUUGGUCCCCUACAGACGGUGGCAGGUGGUGGCCCGCAACGGUGGCUUGCAGCGGGAGUCCGGUGGUGGUGGCCGGCGAAGGGUGGCUGGAGGCGGGAGUCCGGUGGUGGGAGCCCGGCGGUGGUGGCCAACGAAGGGUUGCCGGAGGCGGUAGUCUGACGGUGGCCUAAGGCGGUGACGGCUGCGGUGGCCGGCGGUGGUGGCUAUAUAUGGACAUGUGGCAUAGUAUGCUUGCCUUAGAAGGAGUGGCAUUGUGUGCAAUUGCAAUUUUUUUUAAGGGAGCUUUAGGUGAUAUAUUGGGUGCAACCGAGUUGCAAGGCCAAGGACCAUUGAAUUACAAAAAUAAAGAUUUGACGGCGGCAACAAAAAACUUCAGUGAAGAAAAAAAACUUGGAGGAGGAGGAUUCGAGGGCAUCUACAGGGUAAAUUAUGUGCUAAAGAGCUCUAAAAUAAUUUAUGUCAGUUCAGUUUAGCACGGUCGAAUAUGGUGUACUCUUUUUUUACAUAAAUAAAGUUUUAAAAAACUGGGAAAAUUGCAUUGUCAAGCUUUUGAUUAUCCAUGCAUAAUGUUCAUUUACAAUUACAUGGUUGGUCAGGGUACUCUAAACAAUGGAAAAGUACGUAGUUGCAGUUAAAAAACUAGCAAUUCUCCAAUCUGACAGGGCAAAGGCGAAUUUCGUAAACGAGGUGAAGCUGAUAUGUAACGUUCAUCACCGGAAUCUCAUUCUUCUUGGAUGUUGUAGCAAAGGACCGUAAUUGCUUCUCAUAUAUGAAUACAUGGCAAACAACAGCCUCUACAGAUUCAUAUUUGGUAAUAAUUUUCGGCUUUUCAGCUCAGCUACCUCUAAAUGCAUGCCUCUCAACUGGAAACAACUAAAUGACAUAAUCCUGGGUACAGCGGGGUCUGGCCUAUUUACAUGAGAAGUUUCAUGAGAUGUAAAAACCAGCAAUGUUAUUUUGGAUGAUAAUUUCCAGCCACCAGAUCUGCCGGAACAUUGUAAGUUAAAGUACUUUCCCACAGGCAUAACCCCUGAUUGAGAUCUAUAUGAUCAUUACUCUUCUACAAUAUUUAUACCGAUAUUGUGUUUUGCCCUACUUAUCUUUCUAUCCGCACACAAAAAGUGUUAUGAAUCUACUACAUACAUCUUGUGUAGCUUCUCACAUUCCAGGAUCGACUCUGCCGUAGCACGAUAUUGUCCGUUUUGGGCCCCCUUCUCUGCCCUCACGGUUUUAUUUCUGAAAACUCACGAGCAACUUUUCAGUGGACCUCCUAUCCUGGGAUUGCUCUAACCCCCAACUCGCUUAACUUCGAAGUUCCCAUGACUCCGAAGCCAGUGAACUCCCAAAAAACCUCGUACUAGAUAGAAGCAGGCAUGUAUAUAUAAGGCACAUCAUCCUCUCUCCGUUGAUCGAUAUGGGAUAUUACAUAGCCGAAGAGGAGUACAUCACCAUCAUGGUGAUGCUCUAUAGUGUUUCUCUCUGUGGAAGUGUUUCUCACUUCUGUUUUAGCCUAUCUGAGCAAUGGUGCUCACGGCACCUCCUACCAAGCCUUCUUUAAAUAACCAAAGAAUUUGGUCCAACAGACACAAAACAUUAAUGCACUGAAAAAGCACAACCACCAGCAUUGGAAAAGAAGCCAGCCGCUCCUCUUUCUCAUGUCCUUGGUGCAGCACAGUGGGGCACACCUGCCCACACAUCUCCUGCUGCCAACGAAGUCCCUCUUUAUGCAUAGCUCAAGUUUGGCUUCUCAAAGAACCCAAGAGCCAAAAGUAAUAGCAAUAAUACAAAGCCUAUUCUACCUCUCUUUUUCUCUCUCUCUCUCAUGAAAAACAUCUCUCAUGAAAAACAAAUGUUAGCUUGUUUGAUGCAUUCAUUUCAUUGUUUUAAGUUUUAGAAAAGUGACACAUACCAUGAGAAAGUGAAAGAAUGUCCAAAAGAUAAAGUUAGAGAGAAAUUGCUAUCAAAGCUUUUUCACAAAGUUAGGACACACAUGCCCACCAAGUUGGAUUCCAAUUGCCUUAGGUGUAGAUCACCCAAGUGCUGGAACCCACUCCAUCUGUGUCUCCAGCCUUUUAACAAAGAUGGCAUGUGCCGUCGUUUCCCCAUUUGAAAAACCCAAGGCAUGACAAAUAAAUGAAGAAAGCUAGCAAACAAACAAUGAUAAAGUAGCCCUUACACAAUUAACAAUACAAUUUGGGCCAAUUUUCAACAGUGAAGGCAUCUUAUUACGGUGGGAUCAUUUGCAUCCUCGGAGCCUUUCUUUUUCGAAAUAAGGAUAGAUUUUAAUCAUUAAACUAGGAAUGUAAACGCUAGAUCUGAAAGCAGAUUCAAGGAUUUCCGUAAAAAUCAUAAUCAACAUUACGUAGUUACAAACAUACAAAAUCCAUCCACAAUUCGUACAGAUACAGCAGAAUUACACGGAGUUUCUGGCUAUGCUUCUUUUUCUUUUAUUCUCUUAUUCGUUUAUGGAAUUCCAUAUAUUACUUGGAAGCAGCUGACCUGGUAAAGGGUGCCUAGAAUGAUACUCGAAUAUCAAGCAAUGUCAUCAACUGAGAAAUAAGCUCUGGUUGGCCAUGCCACGCUGCUGCGGUAACCAGAUUUCCAUCAGUGACACAACGAUCUAUUGGAUCCGCUUCCACAAACGUCCCCCCUGACGAAACCACACGAGCCUUAAUCCCUGGGUAUCCAGUACAUUUCUUCCCCUGAAAUAUAGCCAAUUGAACCAAUUAUAUGACAUGCUAAAAAGUGCCUAAUCCGUUAAUAAGUACAUUAACCACUAAUCAAAAGAAACAGAAAAAAUAUCAUCUCCUUUGCGAUUUUAAAGAGUACUCACCUCCCUCUUCCCCAUAGUUAUUUACAAUUGAGAGGUUAAUAGGUCACAGCAGAUCAGCUCAACAGAACCAAAAUACAAAGCACUACCACUAACUAUGUUUUUUUCUUUAAGAACCAUACCUGCAGAACACCAGCAGCAACUAAAAUUUCCAGGCCAUGGCAGAUGGAUGCAACUGGUUUCCUGGCUUCCAUAAAUUUUUUCACUAGUACAAUAACAUCCUCCUUUAGUGCCAAAAACUCUGGAGCUUUACCUCCAGGGAGUACAAGAGCGUCAUAACUUGAGGCAUCUAUGGAUUCAAAGUCAGCUGUUAAAACAAAAUUAUGUCCCCGGAUCUCACUGUAGGUUUGGCCCCCUUCAAGAUCACGGAUAGCAGUUGGGCAGGUAUCACCGGCUUUCUUCUUGGGGCAAACCACAUCAACAUGGCAUCCUAGAACUUUGAGGGUCUGAUAAGGCACAGUUACCUCAUAAUCUUCCGCGUAGUUCUACAAAUAUUGGGAAGGGGAGCAAUUAAAUGAUGAUGAUUAGUAACUAACAGUUUAAUCAUUGGCUAUAUUUUGUCCCAUAUUUGUCAUUGCAAUAUAAAAGAAACAGAAAAGAAAGCUUACUCCAAUGAUGAUGAGGACCCUUCUCUCUGAAGCACAUAUUUUGCCUCCCAGUGCCUUGAGAAAAAGCCCAAUGAACUCAGGAUUGCCAUAAUAUGUGACCCCAGUAAUUAAAUUAUCAUCAGCAACACACACUGACAAUGUAUCGGGUUCUACCCAGUGAGCACCAGCAGCAACCAAUCCAGGUUUCAUAGUUGAAACCGCUGUGCACUUGCGACCUUUAACAGCGGCUGCAGCUGCUAAGACCAACUGCCCAUGGCAAAUAGCAGCAAUUGGCUUUCUGGAGUCGGAAAAUUUUCUCACCAAUUCUACAACCGAUGCAUUCAUAGCAAGAUGUUCAGGAGAUCGUCCUCCUGGUAUAACUAGACCAUCAUAUUCCUCAAAUUCAAUCUCAUCAAAUGUUGCAUUCAGUGUGAAAUUGUGACCACGAGAUUCGCUAUUAGCCUGUAACCAAAAAGGUACAGAAAACCAAACACAACACACACAUCAAAACAAGAGUAAGGGUUAGGUGAAUUCAAGCUUCUUUCUUUGUCCUGAUCAGAGGAGGUUCAAAAUAAAUUAAUUAACAGGAAAGACAGGGUGUCACCUCAUCAGUGGUCUCUACUUGAAUGGUUAUGGCAGUGGCGCAGAUAUCACCAGCUUUCUUGCCAGGAGAAACUGCAUCAACAGCGACUCCAAAUGCCUGCAGUGCUUGAAAUGGGACCAUUGCCUCGUAAUCUUCCAUGUAGUCCCCGCACAGUAACAACACCCUCCUCCUCCGCUCCUCGCCUUUUGGAUUCCCCAUUUCUUUUCUUAUUUCCUUCUUUAGUUUCUUGCUUUUACUCUCUUCUUUUUCACAGAGAGAGAGAGAGACAGAGAGAGAGAAAGAGACUGAAAGUUUGAGAGUCUGAAGACAAGGUAGGUGAUAGCUAGCGCUGCUCUGCUUUGCUUGCUUAAUAGUAAUAUAUUAAUACUCACGAAAGCGUUUCUGGAGGUUUCUGGAGUCAGCUAGACACGUCGCACUCAAUUUGAGCGACACGUCGCACUCAAUUAUUGUAGCAUCUCCCUAUUCCUCUCUUCGUUUCUGGAGGUUUCGCGCCAUUACCAACAAUAUCCAAGUUUGAUUAUUUGAGGAAGUGACAAGUCUAAAUUAUUUGAGGAAAGAUUCACCAACACCGACCAAGUGAUAAGUCUAAAUUAUUUAAGGAAAGAUUCAACCUGAGUGCAAAGUCAAUGCUUCCAAGCUAAUGUCCCGAAAGAGAGAUGGAUAAUGUAAUGUUCAUCUCUAACAGGUCCUAAAAUCAUAGAGUUUGAUAUCUUGCUUCUCCCAAAAAGACGGUUGAUUUCGUUUUGAGUAGCGCUCGCGUUGAUUUUAUCUUGACUGCCAGAUUUUUCACCAGAGCAGCAAAGCUGCUUGCUUUCUGUUAUGAGGUCUGGUUUUGUCAACAAACUAUAUUGCUUGACCCAAAAGAAAAUGCAAUAUCAUGUCAAUCCUCAUUUUGCAGUUGCAAGAGGACGGUUGUGAAAAUACAAGCUAACUCUGGACAACAUGAUAUUCAUUCAGGUAAACCUUCAAGGUGUACGGUGAGAGAGAUUGCGACCAAAAAUCACUGUGUCCUGCUAAAGCAUAAGUAGUAUAAUACAAGCUUCAUCCACAACCAAACUUGCAAGGAACAUGGCAUAUACAUAUCAAAACCAUGUCACUUAUUCCCUCAUAUAUACAAACGUCACCUUAACAUAACACAACAUACAUGCCUUAUUCUUUCAUGAAUUACAUAUAGUACAUGCAAGCAGCAGACCCAGUAAACAGCAACUAGAAUGAUACUCGAAUAUCAAGCAAUGUCAUCAACUGAGAAAUGAACUCUGGGUGGCCCAGCCACGCUGCUCCAGUAACCAAAUUUCCAUCCGUGAAGCAACGAAAUAUUGGAUCAGGUUCCAGCCAUGUUGCUCCUGACAAAACCACAUUAAGCUUCACUGCUGGAUACGCAGUACAUUUCUUUCCCUAAAAUUUAGCCAGUUAACAACAAUUAGGACAUGAUUAAAAAAAGUUCAUAAUGUGAAAAUAUGUAAAUCAACCCUCAAUCAGAAGAAUCAGCAAAAGGCAAACAGAUUACAACUUCAAGUGGGUUUCUUUUUUACCUUGUCGUAAAAUACUCACUCAGUAAAUCAACCCUCUUACAAAAUUGAUGAUACUCCCAACUCCUCCUAACACCUUCUGAAAAACUGAAACUGCCUAGCUCAGCCAAGCCUUUUGGUUUUCCUUACUAGGUAAUUUCUUGUUUUAUCCCAUUCUUAAACCAUUCCAUCUAGCAUAGAUUUUUACUGCUUCAUAUAUUCCUUCAGAGAAUUUUGCAUUACAGUACACACCUUCCGACUUUUAUAUUACAGCACAAAUGUUCAUGCACCAACUGGCAAGCUUGCUCAUCAACACCCACAACAGAACAAACAUCUAAAUUUACAAUCAACUACAUAGAUAGUGAGUAAAAGAACAAAUAAAUCCACAGAUUAUUUGUAUUGUCUUUUUGGUUAAACAUGUUUAACUUCCCACACAAAAAAUUAAUUUUACUCUAGCAUUUUAGUUGAUGUUAAAAAGCGUAAGAAGUUAAAAUUUUAUGUAAUCUACAUUAUAUCUACCACGGAAAUGCUAUAAUGAGGGGUUGUGGGUGAGGGGUUCAAUACCACUAUCCAAUAAUAUAAAGGAAAUUUUGAACUUGAAACUUUUUUAAUGGUUGGAUGGUUGGAUUGAACCCCUCACUCAAACCCCCCACGCAGAUCCCUCUCAUUGUAGCAUCUCCCAUAUCUACCAUAUCAUGCUUGGACUUUAAAAUUCCAAAAUUUAUAAUCUCGAUUUUGUGAUAUGAUUUUGGAUUGUUGAUGAGGAUUUUGCUUCCUUGUUUGUGUGCCUAACAAAUUAACUUUAUAUUAUUGUUUCUGCAUUUUGUACAUUUCAACUCAUUUAGUUUCAGAAAUCAACUUGGACUUUAGAUUGAACUUCUGGACAGCAUGGGACUGAUCCCAACAACAUGGGACCCAUCCCUAUUAAAAGAUGAGCUAUAUAUACAAUAAAACUACACUGCCACAUAAACAGGGAUUACAGCUUCACUUCGUUUCAGUUGAACCACAUGGAAUUAUAGAAAGUCAGCAAUAUUUUUAACAAUAUCAAUACUAUGUUUGACGACGCAACGAAUUGAAACAAUAUGAAAAUAGUCGGAUGUGAUUGAGAAACUUAAAGAAUAUGGACCAAAUUGAAAUUCAGAUCAAAUUUCUGGAAACAAAAGAGUAGCCUGGCUGAAAGGGAGUAACCUUACCUGUAGAACACCAGCAGCAGCUAAAAUCUGCUGACCGUGGCAGAUGGAUGCAAUUGGUUUCCUGGCUUCCACAAUUUGCUUCACUAAUGCAAUAACAUUCUCAUCCAAUGCCAAAUAUUAUGGGGCUCGACCUCCAGGGAUUACAAGAGCAUCAUAACUUGAGACAUCUAGAGCUUCAAAGUCAGCUGUUAAAGUGAAAUUAUGGCCCGGCUUCUCACUGUAGGUUUGGUCACCUUCAAAAUCAUGGACAGCAGUUGCACAGAUUUCACCAGCUUUCUUCUUGGGACAAACUGAAUCAGCAUGGCAUCCUAGAGCUUGAAGAGACUGAAAAGGCACAAUUACCUCAUAAUCUUCCAUGAAGUCCUACAAAUGUUGAGGGAGAGAAAGUGAAUGAUGCUUAGUAACUGUGAGAAGUAUAAAAUUUUGAUCAUUGACUAGAAUAAUACGUAGAUAACAAUUAGUUCAUAAACAAAAGACACGCAGCUUUAACGUUCUUGUCAAGGGGUUUACUAGAUUUACAGUGGAUUAAAACACGUAGCCAAACUUGAUUUAUGGACCAUCUUAUCACUAUUGAUAUUGACAAGUAAAAUAAUAUUUUGAAUUUGGUGGGCUUUAAAGGUUUGUCAAGUAGCCAAUCUUGAUUUAUGGACCAUCUUAUCACUGUUAAAUAACCAGCUUACAAAACGUGGUGGGCUUCAAGGUUUGUCAAGUUGUAUAACUUUUGGCAUUGCAGGUAGAGAAGUUUAGGUAUGCUUCAAAGGAUUUGGUUUUAAAGAGAAAACAAACAACUGGUUUCAAGAAAUAGGUUCUUAUGAAAUCUGACAGCAACUAAUUUAUGAGUCUAAGGCAGUAGUAGCAUUUCGAAUUUGGAGACCUAAUUGGCUUGGGUAUUGGAGGUAUUCAGUUUUGGGGGAAGGGGGAAAUUGAAAUUCUUCAGUAGUCAACUUUCCGGAAAAUUAAAGUAAAGGAGUCUUUUAAAAUUCAUAAAGGAUGUAGUUGUCUAUGUAUCAUGUUUAGAAUCCAUAAUUCAAACAACUUGAAAAAUGACCAGUAUUCAUGUUUGGAUUUACUUUCACAAGUUCACAACUUACACAAAUGACCUAACAAACAAGUAUUCCAAUGGGCAACGGACCCAGGUAGGCAGACCAAUGAAGCAUACCACCAAAACCUUGAAAAAACACACAUAGGAAUGAAUGAAUGAACCCUAUCACACCAGAAAUGUGGCAAAUCUGGUAAAGCCUAUUCAGGUUACUUUCACUAUCUUUCAGAAGUAUCUGUAAAAGGGCAAAUCUCCAUCAAUUCUCUACAGUUUAUCUUUAUGCCCAUUCAUGCAUGUAUAUAUUAUACGAAGAAGUUUUUGACAUAUGGGCAUGUAUUGUGUGUCAAAUGUAUACGCUUCAUGAAGACAGGUUCAAGAGCACAUACACCAUUUUCACCUUAUUCAUUCAUUUUUGUUUAUUCUGGGUUACUGCAAUUUGAAUCAUAAUGCACAUUAACUUCAGCAGAAUAUUUUGCCAUGAACAAUGCACAUUAAAAAAAAAAAAAUACUGGACAGUGAUAAUCACGAUAAUAUAUAUACUCAAUAUUGAUCGGCAUCACAAUUUCAUAUUUCUCAUUGCACUACGAAGGAAAAUAAAACUUACCCCACAGAGAAACAGGAUCCUCCUAUCUGAACCAGUUAUGUUACCUCCUAGUGCCUUCACAAAAAGCCUAAUGAACUCAGGAUGGCCUUCAUAUGUAGCCCCAGUAAUUAUAUUACCAUCAACAACACACGCCAACAUGGUCUCGGGUUCCACCCAAUAAGCACCUGCAGCAACAAGUACAGGUCUGACAGCUGGGAAGGCCGUACACUUCCUACCUUUAACCGAGCCUGCAGCUGCUAGGACAAGUUGCCCAUGGCAAAUCGAAGCAAUUGGCUUUCCGGAAUCAGAAAACUUUCUCACCAAUUCUAAAACCGAUGCAUCCAAAGCAAGAUAUUCAGGUGCCCGUCCUCCUGGUAUUAUUAAUCCAUCAUAUUUGUUAAAUUCAAUGUCAUCAAAUGUUGCAUUCAGUGCGAAAUUGUGACCACGUGAUUCAGAAUAAGUCUGCAACCAAAGAAAAAAAAUACAGAAAACCAAAAAACAUAUUAAAACAAAGGGGGACCAGAAAGACAUAUAUAUAGCAUUUGAAGAUUUGUAAAUUAACCACAGAUCACGAUUCAGCAAACCUAGGUAGCGCAUUAUCAGAGUAUUUUCACUUAGAGACGAGGGCACUAAUGCAAUUUUGUUUAUUGAAUAUGGUGUACGCGGUGACGUUGGAGCCAAAAAUUUGUUCACGCUGUCUUGUCCCCCAGAACUCAAGCUCAAUACAGGUCGGUUCUCUAGCUAGCUCAUAAUGAAUGAGCAAGCACUCUAACAGAACUCCUAACAUGUGUUCUUGUUUGAGCUUACUUUAGUCUCGCUGUCCACACAACCCAGAACUAUAACCUACGGAUUGCUAUUUGUCAAUCUAAUAGAGUGGCUCUAAUCAACAAUAAAGCUUAUUCAUUUUGUCUUUAAUUAAGGCUACCAACGAUUGGCUGAUGCAAAAAACUAAACUUGAAAGCGUGAUGUUCGUUCGUAAACUUGACAAACUAAUUUCCAGUCCCAACAGAUUCCAAAUUUUAGAGGAGGCAACAUAAUCCCAUAUGUGAGAAUUGUAAGCACUUCAAUCUUUGAGACAAAUUUCUUGUUUUGGGUUUACAAAUUCAAGUGAAGUAAGCAUUCAGUCUUCAAUAUAAUUGAGUGUGCUUAAUGAGGCUAAAGAAAACGUUUUUCAUUAAAAAUAAACAAAGGAAAAGGCAAAAGAAGCAGAGGUGGGUAACCUGGUGAGCAGGAGAAAGUUGAUGAAUGGCUGUGCGGCAGAUAUCACCAGCUUUCUUGCCAGGACAGACAGCAUCAACGGACACUCCAUAUGCCUGCAGUGCUUGAAAUGGAACCAUCGCCUCGUAGUCUUCCACGUAGUCCCCCAAUACCAACAACACCCUGCGUUCGCCUUUCGCCAUUUUCUUGUGUUUAAUUUCUUGGAAUUUCAGAGAGAGAGAGAGAGAGAGAGGAAGGGGUGACAGAGAAUUUCGGCGGACUAAACUCUCGGAUAAAGAAACAGAAUCUCAUGGCUUUCGGCUCUACUCAAUAAAUAGAAUAUGUUGAGAGUAUAGCCGAGCGGCUAUACGUGGCUAUAUACUGUAUAAGUAAAAUAUGUUAAUAGUAGAAUAACAGUACAGCCGAGCGGCUAUAUUAUGUAAAUAGAUUAUUCUACACGUAUGGGCGCCGGGCUGUACUAUAUAAAUAGGAUAUAUGUAACAGUAUAGCCGGGCUGCUAUACUAUAUGAAUAGAAUAUCUAAACGUAUAGCCGCCCGGCUAUACGCUAUAAAUGGAAUAUUUUAAAACUUAUAGCCGAUCGACUAUACUAUAUACAUAGAAUAUUUUAAACCGUACCACGGUCCCGGCCACCACCCUCUACCUAGAUCCAUCAUCGCAAUCACCAUCUUCUUCGUCAUUGUCAUCAUCGUCGUAAAAUUCCGAAGACUUAUCGUCUGAUCCCAAAACUGGAUGAAAUUUCAAAGAGUUGUGGGAGAAAUUCAUAGCUGGGUUUGUUGUUGUUGUUUUGCUGAUAGUAAAACUCGAGUCUCCAAAUUGGCUGUGGCCUCCUAUUUUCCCUUCCAUUACACCGUGUCUCAAGUUUUUCACCAUUGAUGAUCGUUCUUGCUUUUUUCUUUCACUUACCACACCCUUCUCUUUUCUUUCCAUAUCUCUCUCUCUCUCUGAAUUUCUAAACGCACACAGACCGUAAUACAAUAAAGUAACAGCAAUAAUACAACGCCUAUUCUACCUCUCUCUCUCUCUCUCUCUCUCUCUCUCUCUCAUGAAAAACAAAUGUUAGUUUGUUUGAUGCAUUAAUUGCAUUGUUUUAAGUUUUAGAAAAGUGACACAUAUCAUGAGAAAAAGAGAGAAUGUCCAAAAGAGAAAGUUAGAGAAAAAAUUGCUAUCAAAGCUUUUUCACAAAGUUAGACACACACGCCCACCAAGUUGGAUUGCAAUUGCUUUAGGUGUAGAUCACUCUAAUGCUGGAACCCACUCCAUGUGUGUAUCCAGCCUUUUAGAGCAUCUCCACCUAUAAGGGCUAAGGCAAGGGCAAGUAAGGGCUGCCACUAUUCAUGUGAAUAGUGGCAGCCUUGCCUUUUUUGGUUCCACCCCAAAAGGCUAUGGCAAGGGCAAGAAAAAAAAAAAAGGAUAUGCAACAAAAUAUAAAUUUGUUAUGUAUUUUAUAGGGAAAGUGAAUAAAAUUGUUAUGUAUUUAUAGGGAAAACAUCCAUAAUUUUUUGGUAUUUUUUUAAAAAAAAUUUUGAUUUUGAUUUUUUCAUUUUUUUCAAUUUUUUUGACUCGCUGACGUCAGCGUGACAUCACCACUGACAUCAGCGCCCUAGGGCUGAAGCCCAGGCAAAAUCUGCCCUUGGGCUUGCCCAGGCUGGUGGACCCAGGGCUUGCCCGGGCUGCAGGUCGUGCGCUGGAGGGUCUUUUGGGCUGGCAGUGGGCCUUUUGCCCAGGUCGUGCGCUGGAGGGUCUAUAUGAUCAUUACUCUUCUACAAUAUUUAUACCGGUAUUCUGUUUUGCUCUACUUACCGUUCUAUCCGCACACAAAAAUUGUUAUGAAUCUACUACAUACAUCUUGUGUAGCCGAAGAGGACUAGUAUAUCUCCACCACCAUGGUGAUGCUCUCUAGUGUUUCUCUCUAUGGUGAAGUGUCUCUCACUUCUGUUUUAGCCUAUCUGGGCAAUGGUGCUCACGGCACCUCCUACUAAGCCUUCUUUAAAUAACCAAAGAAUUUGGUCCAGCAGCUGCAUGCAUGAAAAAACCGUGCAAGUUGUCUGAGCACCUUCAAAGUCCUCCACAAGACACAGAACAUUAAUGCACCGAAAAAGCACAACCACCAGCAUUCGCAAAGAAGCCAGCCGCUCCUCUUUCUCAUGUCCUUGGUGCAGCACAGUGGGGCACACCUGCACACACAUCUCCUGCUGUCAACCGAAGUCCCUCUUUAUGCAUAGCCCAAGUUGGCUUCUCAAAGAACCCAAGCCAAAAGUAAUAGCAAUAAUACAAAGCCUACUCUCUCUCUCUCUCUCUCUCUCACGGGUACACAGACCAACAAUGUGGCCAAUAAACGAAGGAAAAUGCUGGCAACCUUAUCUCCGACCUUAUUUUUGGACAUUUUCCCUUUUCCUCAUGACAUAUGUCACAUCCCAUACACUUGUAAACAAUGACAUUAAUACAUUAAACAAACUACCUUUUGUUUUCGAAGUUUACCCUUAUUAAAUGUAUUGUCUUUCAAUUUAUCCAAAUUUUUUUACAACUCUCUUACUAUAUUUAAAAAAUUAAAAAAAUUCAGUUAAAAAAAAAAAAAACAUGUCUAUUUUUUUAGAUUGGAAAACGUUUUUUUUUUUUUUAACACAAGAAUGACCUCAAAAAAAAAAAAUCAACGAAAGAAAGAUUGUUUUUUUAUACGGACAAAAGACAUCCUUCUAAAGAAGUCUGUAGUCAAAGGAAGUUCAUUGAUUGGAUUUUCAAACCAUUAAUUCGGUAAGUUUGAUUAUUGAUUUUUUUUUCAAGACCAUUAAUUAGGUAAGUCUUAUUUGGAGUCUUUCAGAAAAGGAAAAAAAAAACAAACGUUUUUUCUUAUUUAAUUUUUUAAGUCUUAUUUGAAUGUCUCCUUAUUCCCUUUGGAGUCUUAAAAAAAAGACUUUUUCUCAAUUAAUUUUUGAACAAGGCGAUAAGAAAAUUGUAAAAAAUUUAGAUAAGAAAUUUAAAGAAAUAUUAAAAUCAAUACGUUUAAUAAGGGCUGAUUUGAAAAACAAAUGUUAGCUUGUUUGAUGCAUUAAUUGCAUUGUUUUAAGUUUUAAAAAAGUGACACAUAUCAUGAGAAAGAGAGAGAAUGUCCAAAAGAGAAGGUUAGAGAAAAAGUAGCUAUCAAAGCUUUUUCACAAAGUUAGACACACACGCCCACCAAGUUGGAUUCCAAUUGCUUUAGGUGUAGAUCACUCUAGUGCUGGAACCCACUCCAUGUGUGUCUCCAGCCUUUUAACAAAGAUGGCACGUGCCGUCAUUUCCCCAUUUGAAAACCCACGGUAUGACAAAUGAAGAAAGCUAGCAAACAAACAAGGAUAAAGUAGCCUUUACACAAUUAACAAUACAAUUUGGGCCAAUUUUCAACAGUGAAGGCAUCUUAUUGCAUUCUCCGGAGCCUUUCUUUUUCGAAAUAAGGAUAGAUUUUAAUUUAAACGCUAGAUCUGAAAGCAGAUUCAAUGAUUUCCAUAAAAAUCAUAAUCAACAUUACGUAGUUACAAACAUACAAGAUCCAUCCACAAUUGGUACAUAUAGAGCAGAAUCCGAGCAUCAUUGUUCCCUCACAGAUACACACAACACCUUCACAUAUGCUCUUAUUCUUUUAUUGAAUUACACGGAGUUUCUGGCUAUGCUUCUUUUUCUUUUAUUCUCUUAUUCGUUUAUGGAAUUCCAUAUAUUACUUGGAAGCAGCAGACCCGGUAAAGGGUGCCUAGAAUGAUACUCGAAUAUCAAGCAAUGUCAUCAACUGAGAAAUAAGCUCUGGUUGGCCAUGCCACGCUGCUGCGGUAACCAGAUUUCCAUCAGUGACACAACGAUCUAUUGGAUCCGCUUCCACAAACGUCCCUCCUGACGAAACCACACGAGCCUUAAUCCCUGGGUAUCCAGUACAUUUCUUCCCCUGAAAUAUAGCCAAUUGAACCAAUUAUAUGACAUGCUAAAAAGUGCCUAAUCAGUUAAUAAGUACAUUAACCACUAAUCAAAAGAAACAGAAAAAAUAUCAUCUCCUUUGCGAUUUUAAAGAGUACUCACCUCCCUCUUCCCCAUAGUUAUUUACAAUUGAGAGGUUAAUAGGUCACAACAGAUCAGCUCAACAGAACCAAAAUACAAAGCACUACCACUAACUAUGUUUUUUUCUUUAAGAACCAUACCUGCAGAACACCAGCAGCAACUAAAAUUUCCAGGCCAUGGCAGAUGGAUGCAACUGGUUUCCCGGCUUCCAUAAAUUGUUUCACUAGUACAAUAACAUCCUCCUUUAGUGCCAAAAACUCUGGAGCUUUACCUCCAGGGAGUACAAGAGCGUCAUAACUUGAGGCAUCUAUGGAUUCAAAGUCAGCUGUUAAAACAAAAUUAUGUCCCCGGAUCUCACUGUAGGUUUGGCCCCCUUCAAGAUCACGGAUAGCAGUUGGGCAGGUAUCACCGGCUUUCUUCUUGGGGCAAACCACAUCAACAUGGCAUCCUAGAACUUUGAGGGUCUGAUAAGGCACAGUUACCUCAUAAUCUUCCGCGUAGUUCUACAAAUAUUGGGGAGGGGAGCAAUUACAUGAUGAUGAUUAGUAACUAACAGUUUAAUCAUUGGCUAUAUUUUGUCCCAUAUUUGUCAUUGCAAUAUAAAAGAAACAGAAAAGAAAGCUUACUCCAAUGAUGAUGAGGACCCUUCUCUCUGAAGCACAUAUGUUGCCUCCUAGUGCCUUGAGAAAAAGCCUAAUGAACUCAGGAUUGCCAUAAUAUGUGACCCCAGUAAUUAAAUUAUCAUCAGCAACACACACUGACAAUGUAUCGGGUUCUACCCAGUGAGCACCAGCAGCAACCAAUCCAGGUUUCAUAGUUGAAACCGCGGUGCAUUUGCGACCUUUAACAGCGCCUGCAGGUGCUAAGACCAACAGCCCAUGGCAAAUAGCAGCAAUUGGCUUUCUGCAGUCAGAAAAUUUUCUCGCCAAUUCUACAACGGAUGCCUUCAUAGCAAGAUGUUCAGGAGAUCGUCCUCCUGGUAUAACUAGACCAUCAUAUUUGUCAAUUUCGAUGUCAUCAAAUGUUGCAUUCAGUGUGAAAUUGUGACCACGAGAUUCUUUAUUAGCCUGUAACCAAAAAGGUACACGAAAGAAAACCAAACACAACACACACAUUAAAACAAGAGUAAUGGUUAGGUGAAUUCAAGCUUCUUUGUCUUGCUUGUCUCUCAAACUCAAACUCAAACUCAAACUCAUCAGAGGUUGUUUUCCAACAACUGUGUUCAAUAUUAAACAUAUAAAAUAUAUUCCUCUUGUUUACAAAUAAAAAAGAACAGGAAAGACAGGAAAGACAGAGUUUGACCUGGUCAGUGGACUCUACUUGAAUGGUUAUGGCAGUGGCGCAGAUAUCACCAGCUUUCUUGACAGGAGAAACUGCAUCAACAGAGACUCCAAAUGCCUGCAGUGCUUGAAAUGGGACCAUUGCCUCGUAAUCUUCCAUGUAGUCCCCGCACAGUAACAACACCCUCCUCUGCACCUCGCCUUUCGGAUUCCCCAUUUCUUUUCUUAUUUCCUUCUUUAGUUUCUUUCUUCUUUUUCAGAGAGAGAGAGUUUUCAGAGAGAUUUUUCACACAGAGAGAGAGAGAGAGAGAGAGGGAGAGAGUCUGAAUACAAGAAGGUAGGUUAUAGUUUGAGCUGCUCCGCUUUGCUUACUUAAAUACUCACAAAAGCGUUUUUGGAGGUUUGUGGAGUCAGCUCGAUACGGUCGCACGCAACUUGAGCAACACAUCGCAGUCAGUUAUCGUGGCAUCUCUCUAUUCGCCGCUUCUUUUCAGUUCGGAUAACUAUUCUAUUAGUUUCGAGCCUAUCACCGUCUCCAUGUUUGAUACGUUUUUUUGUUGUCUUCUUUACCGACCAAGUGAGUCUAAAUUAUUGAAACUUGAGUUCGUUCUCUUCACGGACCAAGUGGGUCUAAAUUAUUGGAGGAAGAUUGAAACUUGAGUUUGUUCUCUUCACGGACCAAGUGAGUCUAAAUUAUUGGAGGAUAAUUAAAACUUGAGUGCAAAGAGGCGAAUUUAUUCCCUUAUUGUGAAUACAAGUAAUGGUCUAAAUUAUUAGAGAAGUAUUCUAACUUGAGUGCAAAGAGCACAAAUUUAAGUGCAAAUGAGUGUACUUACUGUCUUAUUACGAAUGCAAAUGAUAGUCUAAAUUAUUAGAGAAAUAUUCAAAUUAUAGUGAAAAGAAGCGUACUCACUGUCUUAUUGUGAAUAUUCGAAUAUUCGAGCUCAAUGCUUCCUUUUCGAUUGAAAAAAAGAAGCUCAAUGCUUCCAAGCUAAUGUCCCUAUACUAUACAAAAGCUCUUUAGAGUCGUCAUCAUCUUCUUCUUGCCUUCAUUGUAGCACGUGUGUGGCCUAAUAGAAAAGUUCUUUAGAGUCCUCAUCUUCCUCUUGCCUUCAUUGUAGCACGUGUGUGGCCCAAUAGAAAAGCUAAUGUCCCUAUACUAUAAGUAGGGGUGGGCAUCAAUCCGGCCGAUCCGACCAAACCGGCCGAACUAAACCGUAUUUUCCAGUUUGGUUUGGUUUUGACUUUAAAAAGUCAACAGUUUUAAAAUCCGAACCAAACAGGAGUAAUUUGGUUCAGCUGCAGUUUUAAGUUUUAAAAAACUGUGUUAAUCCGAACCGAACCGUUUAAAUAUUAAUUAAUUAUAUAUAUAUUAAUUUACAUGUGUCAAUGGUUGAGUGGCUACUUAGAAGUGUUAGUGUACACCCAGCCACAUUGAAUUGGACUCCAACCCAUCUAUUUUCAGACUCAACGCAUUCCAGAGUUGUCUUCCUUACGCAGCCUCCCUCACUCAACCACUUCAACCCUAGAAAAGCCACCAUUGAUUUGAACCACCACAACCUCCACUGCUUCAAUCAAACCCAUUCUCACAUAGCAAAAAUCUCUUUGGCGUCGCACCUCCAUCGUCAUCGGUGCACAGCCAUCGUCAUCGUCGCACGGCCAGAGUCAUCGUCGCACAGCCAUCGUCAUCCCUGCACAGCAGCGUCAUCGUCGAACACCAGCGUCAUCGUCACACACCAGCAUCAUCGUCGCACAGUUGAUUGAUGUUCGAGAAGCCCAAGAAGUGUAUGUUCUAAUAUUUAAUUUCUAAUUAUCUACAUAUUUUUCUUUUGAUGGAUGUUCUGAUUUCAAUUUCUUGGAAUGAACUUUUAGUUGUGGGUUUAUCUAUAUAUAUGAUCAUAUUAUAUUGAGAAGUUCAAAUUUGAAAGUUAGCAAUUAACUUCUGAGUCUCAAUUCCAAAUAACACAGCAGCAGAGGAUUUAAUUAAUUACCUUCCACCAUAACCUCUUUCCAUAACAACCACGCCUCCAUUGCCAAAGUUAUUCAGCCUCUCAAAUUGCUCCACUGUCCAUAACCUCAAAUUGCCUCUAUAAGGACCAUGCGGAUAAAUAAAUGUAAUGUUUAUCUCUAACAGGUCAUGCUUUUUGAGCCGUGAUAGUUUUGGAAUAGCGUUCGAGUGCAUUUUACCUGGACUGCCAUGUUGAUUUUCACCAGAGCAGCAAAGCUGCUUGCUUUGUGUUAUGAGGUCUAGUUUUGUCAACAAACUAUAUUGCUUGACCUAGAAGAAAAUGCAAUAUCAUGUGGAUCCUUAUUUCGCAGUUGCAGGAGGAUGGUUGUGAAAAUACUAGAGCUAAUUCUGGACAACAUGAUAUUUGUGGGGGCGAUUUCUUCCCACGAGAAUAUUCAAUUGAAAGAUUCCUCUUUCAUCUUCGUCGCCCCUUUCUCCUUGCAAAAUAGAUCGAAACAACAGGACCACACUCGUGAGGUGUUGGCCAAAAGCCAUGAGAUGCCCAAGUUAGUUCAAUUGAUUCGUAGAGAAAACAAUAGCUAAAUAGGGUAUAGAGAUAUAUAUGUAAGGUGUAAACCGGGUGGCCGGAGCCGUGAGUGUUGGUCGGAGCCUUGUGUAAAAGGGAGAGAGGGUAUGGCGGCUAGGGUUUGUGAGGGAUAGGCAGUGUCCCUCUUACAAAAUUGAUGACACUCCUAACUCUUCCUAACAAAUUCUGAAAAACUGAAACUGCCUAGCUCCACCAAGCCUUUUGGUUUUCCUUACUAGGUAAUUUCUUCUUUUACCCCAUUCCCGGGAACUUGUCCUCCUUGGCUCAUUGAAUGUUCGUUAUGUCUCCACCCAUACUCAGCCAAACAUUUGAUGUACUUUAAAUCUUUAGUAUUCAAUAAUACAGCAUAACUGUUGAUAUUUACAUGAAUGGUUCAUAAAACUGAAGUGGAGAAGAAACUAUCUUAAGAGUUGAGAAUGAGUUUGGGUGGCUUGAGUGAAAAAACUUUAUCCAUCAACACAAGGAGAUGGUGAAGGCAUCUUAUUAUGGUGGGAUCAUUUGCAUCCUCCGGAGCCUUUUUUUUUCAAAAUACGGCCAGAUUUUAAUCAUUAAACUAAGAAUGUAAACGCUAGAUCCGAAAGCAGAUUCAAGGAUUUCCAUAAAAAGCAUAAUCAACAUUACGUAGUUAAAAACAUACAAGAUCCAUCCACAAUUGUUACAUAUACAGCAGAAUCAGAGCAUCAUUGUUCCCUCACAGAUGCACACAUCACCUUAACAUAUGCUUUUAUUCUUUUAUUGAAUUACACGGAGUUUCUGACUAUGUUUCUUUUUCUUUUUUUACUCUUAUUCGUUUAUGGAAUAACAUAUAUUACUUGGAAGCAGCUGAACUGGUUACGUUUGCUUAAAAUGAUACUCGAAUAUCAAGCAAUGUCAUCAACUGAGAAAUAAGCUCUGGUUGGCCAUGCCACGCUGCUGCGGUAACCAGAUUUACAUCAGUGACACAACGAUCUAUUGGAUUCGCUUCCGCAAACGUCCCCCCUGACACAACCACAUGAGCCUUAAUCCCUGGGUAUCCAGUAAAUUUCUUCCCCUGAAAUAUAGCCAAUUAAACCAAUUAUGUCAUGUUAAAAAGUGCCUAAUCAAGAAAUAAGUACAUUAACCACUAAUCAAAAGAAACAGAAAAAAUAUUAUCUCGUUUGCGAUUUUAAAGAGUACUCACCUCCUUCUUCCCAAUAGUUAUUUACAAUUGAGAGGUUAAUAGGUCACAACAGAUCAGCUCAACAGAACCGAAAUACAAAGCACUAGAUGUAACCUUUUUUACUUCCUUUUCAAGUUCAAUCGAUAAAGUAUUUCAAUCUGUUUUACUUUAUCUUUAAUAAGUAGCAUUAAAACUGGAAGCAUNNNNNNNNNNNNNNNNNNNNNNNNNNNNNNNNNNNNNNNNNNNNNNNNNNNNNNNNNNNNNNNNNNNNNNNNNNNNNNNNNNNNNNNNNNNNNNNNNNNNNNNNNNNNNNNNNNNNNAGAUGGAUGCAAUUGGUUUCCUGGCUUCCAUAAAUUGUUUCGCUAGUACAAUAACAUCCUCAUUUAGUGCCAAAACCUCUGGAUCUUUUCCUCCAGGGAGUACAAGAGCGUCGUAACUUGAGGCAUCUACGGAUUCAAAGUCAGCUGUUAAAACAAAAUUUUGUCCCUGCGUUUCACUGCAGGUUUGGGCCCCUUCAAGAUCACGGAUAGCAGUUGGGCAGGGAUCACCGGCUUUCUUCUUGGGGCAAACCACAUCAACAUGGCAUCCUAGAACUUUAAGGGUCUGAUAAGGCACAGUUACCUCAUAAUCUUCCACGUAGUCCUACAAAUAUUACAAAUAUUGGGGAGGGGAGCAAUUAAAUGAUAAUGAUUAGUAUCUAACAGUUUGAUCAUUGGCUAGAAGCCUAAAACCAUGAACUUGUCGUGGCGAAACUGGUAAAGCCGACUCGGGCUUUCUCCCCUUUCUCUUUUAAUAAUAUUAAGGUUGGUUGUCACUUGAACUUGAGCAUACUAUUUUGUCCUAUAUAUGUCAUUGCAAUAUUAAAGAAAAAGAAAAGAAACCUUACUCCACAGAUGAUGAGGACCCUUCUCCCAGAACCAGAUAUGUUGCCUCCUAGUGCCUUGAGAAAAAGCCUAAUGAACUCAGGAUUGCCAUAAUACGUGACCCCAGUAACUAUAUUAUCAUCAACAACGCCCACUGACAAUGUAUCGGGUUCUACCCAGUGAGCACCAGCAGCAACCAAUCCAGGUUUUACAGUUGGAAACGCUGUGCACUUGCGACCUUUAACAGACUGCCCAUGACAAAUAGCAGCAAUUGGCUUUCUGGAGUCAGAAAAUUUUCUCACCAAUUCUACAACCGAUGCAUUCAUAGCAAGAUGUUCAGGAGAUCGUCCUCCUGGUAUAAGUAGACCAUCAUAUUCGUCAAAUUCAAUCUCAUCAAAUGUUGCAUUCAGUGUUGUUUGUGCAAAUAAUCUCACGGGAGAAUAUUCGCCCAAGAUUCCUUCGUCUUCUCCGCCUCUCUUUCUCCUUGCAAAACAGAUUGGAGUAAAAGGACCACACCCGGGGGGUGUUGGCCAAAGGCCCUCCGAUGCCUAAGUUAGGUAAGGGAAUUGAAGGAAAACCGGGUGGCCGGAGCCGUGUGUGGUGGCCGGAGCCUUGUGUGAGAGAGAGAAAGAGAGGAGGUGCCUAGGGUUUUUGAGAAAUAAUUUAUGCAGAGUUUCAGUAGGAAUUUAGACGUACCUCAUCCUUGUGUGUAACCAGGUAUUUAUAGUGGCCUUUGGAGAGGUAGGUGGGGUUGGUGUAGUUGGUGUGGUUGGUGGGGUUGGUGCAUUUAGGGAUUAUGGAUGAACCGAAUCCCUAAUUAAAUUGGGGAUCAAGUAACCCCCAAUUUGAUUAGGUAAUUCCCAAUUAGGUUAGGUAACUCCUAAUUAGGUCAAAUAAUUCCCAAAUUGAUUGGCCUAAUUAAUUGACCUAGGGUUUUGGUUUAAUUAGGUUCCCACAAAUGCCCCCCAGCUUCUGCAUGGCGCGUGGUGGCAUGUAAGAGAUGUAAAUUAUCCGUUGGGCUGUCCAGCUGUAACUGGGCUUCCUUCGUGGACAUGGGCUCCCGCGUAGAGGAGGUGUUUGACUUGCCAAUUUUAUGAACUCCCAGGUUGGAAAGAAUUUGUGAUUCCUUGUAGGUCAAGGAAUUUUCAUUCUUAUAAAUGUAGGGCUCCUCCAAUUUAUUCUUCACAUCCAAAAUCCAUUCUGAUUUUAUUAGUGAGAGAGAGUAAACUUUGGAGAAUUUUUUCCUUCUUCUUGAGCUCUUGUCUUCAUCGCACACCCAAGGUAAUUUAGACUUGAGUUAUAUAUAUAUAUAUAUAUUUUGUUCCAAUUUCCCGCAGCUUGGCUCAUGCUUCUAGCUGAUGUGGGGAGCUGAAAGGGAGGUCAGCAGGCUUGGGACUGUACAUUUUGGGCUCGAGCAUGGAGGUCCAAGGGCUAUGGGUUCUUGCUGGAGCAAACUGGCUGCAGCUGAGGCAAGGAAGGGUUAGGCCUGGCUCACGGUUGGGCUGCGCGCGGAAAGCCCAAGGCGCUGGGCUUCGAGCAAUGGCCUGAAGGCGCUGCUGGGCAGAGGCGACGGGCCACCUACGCUGGGCUUCGUCUGAUUGGGCUAAGGUGAGAGCUGGAGCUGGCCUGCGCGAUCUGGGCUGGAGACGAUGGGUCACGCGUGCUGGGCUGCGAGCUGGAGCUGGUCAUCUGGGCUGAAGGUGAUGGGCCACGCGUGCUGGGCUGCGAGCUGGAGCUAGUCAUCUGGGCCUCCGUGCUGGGUUGCGAGCUGGGCUGCCUUCUGUUUUUUUUUUUUUUUUUUUUUGGCAUUCUAACAUGUAAAAUUAUUUUAUUAUUAUUUUUUUUUUCAGCUGCUCAACGACCAUGUCUUCUGAAGGAAAGAGCCGAUCACCAAACUCAAGAGUGCCUUUGUACCUGUGGGGCGGUUCUCAAGUUCCCAAAGAGAAGUUUGUGGCCAAUUUGCACCGUGUCACCAACGAGGCCCAGUUCAAAACGUGGCGUGCCCUUUUCGACUCUGCUAUACCCAAGGAUGUACAUGUCAAGUUGGCAGAGCCCUCAUCUGACAGUAUACCUCGUGUGGACCCGAACAAUCCAGGCGCCAGGAUUAUCACGUUCCGCCCCUUCUAUUUCUCGCUGGGUUUCACGUUUCCGUUGUCGAAAUUUUUCAGGGAGGUGUUCUGCGCCAUGGAAUGUGCCCCGAGCCAGUGUACUCCGAAUGUUUAUCGGGCGGUCAUCUGCUUUGAAAAUUUGAGCCGCUUCUUCAAGUUGGAUUUGACCGUGAAGGAGUUCUUCUACUUCUUUGAGGUGAGACACUUCGAGAAAUAUGCCCAACUCCGCGCAUGCGAACCCAAGUUGUUUGAUAGUCUGAGUCAGGGCGAUCAUGUGUGGAGCAAGGAUGUGCUAGAGGUUAGUGGCAGAUGGGAAGGAGAGGUUGGCGACGGUCCGCUCGUUCCUCUCACCUACUGUGAUGGUAAGUUGCAUCCCUCUGAUCUGCUACUAUUUUCCAUGGGAUUCCUUAGUGUGUCUGACUAACUUUUGUCUUAUGCUUGCAGAUGAUGCCAUUCGAAAGAAGCUUGUUCUCGACCCGGACAUGACGAAGGUUCGACAAGCUUUGAGCAUCCCUGCUAAGUUUCGUGAAUGGCGCUGGUUGCUGAGCGAACACCGGAAGAAAGUCAGUGGCCUGCCCCCUGCUGAAGAUAUUGAAAGGUGGAAGUCGCGCUGCUUGAAACUAAGUGACUUGCCAGUUGAGCAGGAGUCAUCGACUGAGUCCCCCGAGGGUGGGAAAACGUGCAGCAGCUCUGCUCGGGAUAAAGUUGCAGUUUCCCGAUCAGUAGAUACAUCUCCACAGCGACAGCAGCCGAGAUUUUCUCUUGCCACGAACAAGUCUUCCACAAGGGAGGUCUCGCCUGCUCAGAAAGCCCAUAUGGGAAUUGUUCCUACUCCAUCUGCCGGGAUCAGCAAGAAGGCCAAUGGCAUGCAGGAGGUUCGGGAAAUUCUGCUCAAGUCCUUGCCCGUACCGCCUAAGACCCGUGAUCUGCCAUGCAAGGAAACUGCUGGGAAGCAAGGUUUGGGUCGUCCGUGCCGAUCUGGGAAUCAAGCUGAGAGGACCGUACCUCUGCCUUGCAACCAUGACUCAUCUGUGGGGCCACGAGCAGUCAAGCGCGGGGCUGACUCAAUGUUACAAGCUGCAGUCAAAAGAGCUAAAGAGUCGUCUGCUCGAGCGAAGAGUCCUCCAAUCGCGCGAACUGCUGGUCCGGGAAUUGGUGAUGGCUCUGCUGGGGGGAGCCCGUGUCUGAUCUGCUGAAAACAGGCUUUCUGUCAAGUCCGUCUGCUUGCGCUCAGCUGGCUGAUCACGUGUAUCGAGCCUGCGACCUUUGUGCUUUUUCGAACCUUCCUUUGGAUAAGCAAGAAGAAGCUGCUAUGUAUCAUCUUCAAAAAGGAAUGGUUUUUGCUGUUGGGGCCAUGCGGAACUCGCGUGAUGUUACCCCCUCUUCUGCCCUGCUUGACGAGCUGGUGAAGAAGAAUGCCGACUUGACUGGCAAGCUCUCGAGCGAGCGGAUUCGCCAUGAUGCGAUGAUUUCCGAGAUGAAGGAGAGUUUGUCCGUGCUCAAGAGUUCUGUUGGCCAAAAGGAUGGUGAACUCAAGUCUCUUGCUGCUACCCUGCUCGAACGUAAAGAAGCCUACUUCUGCCUCGAACACAAGCAUGCUGCUUUGGCCCAGGAUCGUGACAAACUGCUGGUCAAGUUUGACACCCUUGUGGAAGCCACGGAGGCAUCCAAACUGGAGAUUGCUGCUAACGCGUACAAGCUGGGAUACCUGGAUUGCCAGAAUGGUGUUUCUCCUUGCUGCUCUCUCGAAGAUGAUGAUGGUGAGCAGACUGGUCUUGACCUGCCCCCCGCUCAGAGUGAGCAGGUGGAUGUUGUGGAUGCAGAAGCAGCGGUAAUUGAGGAAGAUAAAUGCCAAGGUGGGUCAACUGAUGAGGCUAAGGCGGAUGCGAAGGAGCAGGCAGCCGAGGCGGUUGAGCCAGUUGUGCCCGUUGGGUAGAAUGAGGCUGUUGCCAGCGCAGUUGAGGAUGUGAUCGGCUGAGGGUCACCUGCUGAAGUUCCUUAGCAGUUGUAGUCCAUUUUUGCUAUUUUUGAACUUUGUUAUUUUUCUUUCAAUAAGUGGUCUUUGGUUGACCAUCUUACUUCUUGUUGAACUUGGCUGAUUGGCCGCUUUGUUAUUGAAUUUUCAAUUGUUUUUCAAACUUCAAUUCUCUUUGUAUCUUGUAAGUGUGCGUCUGGAGACAUAGCACUUGAAAGACAUAGCACUUGAAAAAAGACUCCAUUGAGUUUGUGCUCCGGGGAGCAGCUCGUCUGCAAUGGAGGUAAGGCUUGUCGCCUGUGAGCGUAUGUCGGGGACAUAGCUCUUAAAAAAGACUCCAUUGAGUUCGUGCUCCGGGGAGCAGCUCGUCUGCAAUGGAGGUAAGGCUUGUCGCCUGUGAGCAUAUGUCAGGGACAUAGCUCUUAAAAAAGACUCCAUUGAGUUCGUGCUCCGGGGAGCAGCUUGUCUGUGAUGGAGGUAAGGCUUGUCGCCUGUGAGCGUAUGUCGGGGACAUAGCUCUUAAAAAGGACUCCAUUGAGUUCGUGCUCCGGAGAGCAGCUUGUCUGCAAUGGAGGUAAGGCUUGUCGCCUUUGUGUAUAUGUUUGUGGGACAUAAAGCUCGAAAAAAGUACUUCAUUGAAAAGCUUGCUUUUGUAUUGAUGUUGAUGUGAAUACAUCGCUUUAUUGAAUAAAGGAAAUUAAUAACAUAGGUAACAUCAAAAGCAGUUUGCCUUUAAUAGAAGUAUGAGAGGCUCGUUGUCUGCUAGGAGUCGAGCUGGUAAGCGAAGAGCUUCAUGGAUAGUAUCUCCGAAGGUGGUGGGCAUUCCACUGUCUUGGAAUUUCCUUCCCUUCUAGAGUGUCGAGGGUGUAACUUCCUCUGCCCCCAGACGGCUGAUCAUGUAGGGGCCUUCCCAAUUUGGCUUCAUCUUCUUUGAUCCUUGCCUUGGUGAUGUGAUAAAAGUCUUUCUGAGCACAAGGUGCCUUUUCUCGUUCUUCUUCGAGCAGGUCAAGGUUAAUUCUCAUCUGCCUGCAGUUUUGAUCAAGACUGCCCACUUCAAUGCUCAUGGAAGGGACUGUGAUGUGUGGGGGAAUGAUUGCCUCCGUCCCAUAAGCCAAGGAAAACGGUGUUUCUCCGGUCGAUCUCCUUUUGGUUGUGCGAUAAGCCCAUAGAACUCCUGGCAGCUCGUCGACCCAUUUUCCUUCUGUGCCUUCCAGUCUUUUCUUUAGGCAGUCCAGCACGAUUUUGUUGGAUGCCUCUGCUUGACCAUUGCCUUGCGGGUAUCUGGGAGUUGACAGGUGCUGCUUGAUGCCAUACUUCGCAAAAAAUGCAGUGAUCUGCCUGCCCACGAACUGUGUACCAUUGUCAGUAACUAUCGAUUGCGGGCAACCAAAUCUGCAGAUGAUGUUCUUCCAGAUGAAACGUUCAACGUCAGCUUCCUUGGUAGAAGACAAAGCCUCGGCCUCGAUCCAUUUAGUGAAGUAAUCAGUGGCAACGAUCAUCAUCUCUUUAUUGGCAGGUGCUGUCGGCAUAGGUCCCACCAAGUCAAUGGCCCACUGCAUGAACGGCCAUGGGCUGUUCUGCGGAUGGUAUUCCUCAGCUGGCAAGCCAGGGACUGGCUUGUACCGUUGGCAUCGAUCACAUCUUCGAGCAUACUCCGUGGAAUCUUUACGCAUGGUAGGCCAGAAAUAGCCGAUGCUGAGAGCCUUCUGAGCAAGCGACCUGCCUCCAGCGUGAUUUCCACAUUCGCCGUCGUGUAUUUUGCAGAGAACCUCGAGCGUUUGCGGGUACUUGAUGCAAGUGAGAUGAGGCCCGUAGUAUGAUCUGCGGAUAAGCGUGUCGCCUUUCAUGUAAUAUCUUGCAGCCUUCUGCUUGAUUUUUCUGGCCUCGGACUUGUCUUGGGGCAAGUUUUCAUUCACUAGGUAGUCGAUGAUGGGUUCUUGCCAGCUAGGAUCCUCGUCGAUUUGCAUCAGGUCUGGUUGUUCUGCCUCUUCUAUGCUAGGCUGAUCAAGGUGCUCGACCGGGAUGGAGCGUCUGAAUUGGGUAUCCAGUGCUGAUCCUAAGCUUGCCAGUGCAUCUGCGUGUGCGUUCUCUGCUCGGGGCACCUGCUGGAUGGUGAAGGUGGAAAAUGCCUUCAACAGCUCUUGGACUUUGUCAAGGUACAAGAUCAUCCUUGGGUGCUUCGCCAUGUAUUCUCCUGAGGCUUGACUUGUGAUCAGCUGGGAAUCUGAGUAGAUGGCCAGCUUCUUGAUUGAUAGCUCCUUUGCCAGGCGCAAGCCAGCGAGCAAUGCCUCGUACUCUGCCUCGUUAUUUGAAGCUGGGAAGCCAAGUGUGAUAGCUUUCUCUAACAGGGUUCCAUCUGGAGUGACGAUGACGACACCUGCUCCAGCUCCUUUCUGGUUCGACGCUCCAUCUACGCGUAGCUGCCACAUGUCUCUGGGUUGGUCAGGUUCCGCGGAGGUCUUGUCUGCUCUCGAACUUUCCUUCUUUUUGCUGACCAGCUUCUCUUCUUCGGCUGAUGGUGUGUACUCUGCAACAAAGUCUGCUAAGGCCUGGGCUUUUAUAGCAGUCUUUGGCCGGUAGAGGAGGUCGUAUUGGCUUAGUUCUAUCGCCCACUUCAUAAGCCGCUGAGAAGCAUCAGGGCUGUGGAGGAUUGAUCUUAAAGGAAAGUCAGUCAUAACGAUGACUCGGUGAGCUUGGUAAUAAGGCCGCAGCUUUCGCGCGGAAACGACAAGGGCCAAAAUGAGCUUCUCCAAUUUUGGGUAGCGAGUCUCUGCAUCGAGGAGAGCUUUUGACGUAUAGAAUAUCGGAUGUUGGGCCCCAAGUUCUUCUCGGAUGAGAGCUGAGCUGAUGGCUGAGUCGGACACUGCCAGGUACACGAACAAGUCUUCACCAGGAACGGGCUUCGAGAGCAGGGGAGGUGAAGUAAGGUAGGUCUUUAGACUCUGGAAAGCUACUUCGCACUCCUCGUCCCACUUGUCUUUUUGCCCCUUCUUCAAAGCUUUGAAGAAUGGUCUGCACUUGUCGGUAGACUUUGAGAGGAAUCGGUUGAGAGCUGCUGCUCUGCCCGUCAGACUUUGUAUUUCUUUCACCGUGGAAGGUGACUUCAUCUCGAGGAUGCCUUUAAUUUGGCAUGGGUGUGCCUCGAUACCUCGUUGUGUGAUACACCGAACGUGCAUUUACUUGGAUUCAGCUUCAUGCGGUAUUGGCGGAGCAGGCUGAAUGCCUCGGUGAGGUUUUUGAGGUGGUCUCCACGCUUGGGGGCUUUGACCAGCAUAUCAUCCACGUAGACUUCCAUGGUUCUGCCGAUCUGCUCCUUGAAAAUCUUAUUCACGAGCCUUUGGUAUGUUGCUCCAGCGUUCUUCAACCCGAAGGGCAUGACCUUGUAGCAGUAGGUUCCUCUCUCAAUGAUGAAAGAGGUCUUCGCCUUGUCAUCGUCGUACAUCAUAAUUUGAUUAUAGCCUGAGUAGGCAUCCAUGAAGCUGAGCAGCUGGUUGCCGGAAGUUGAAUCCACGAGCUGGUCGAUCCUCGGCAAUGGGAAGUUGUCUUUAGGGCAUGCUUUGUUGAGGUCGGUAUAAUCGACGCACACUCUCCAUUUUCCCUUUUCUUGUUUUGCCACCAAAACGACGUUGGCCAGCCAUUCUGAGUAUGAGACUUCUUCAAUAAAUCCGGCUGCUAGAAGCUUGUCGAUCUCGGCUUCAAUGAUCGCGACUCGCUCGGGAGCGAAGUUACGUCUCUUCUGCACCACGGGCUUGCUGGCAGGGUUGACAUGGAGGCGGUGGCAGAUGAUGUUUGGGUCGAUGUCGGGCAUGUCAGAUGGUGACCACGCGAACAUGUCUUUGUUGUUUUGGAGGAAGGUGGUAAGCUCCACCUUCUCGUCUGGGCUUAGGCGCGAGCCGAUCCGCGCUUUCUUAUCUGGCUGGUUAGGAUCGAGGGGUACUAACUCGACGUCUUCCUCAGGCUUCCAACCCUCUUCAAGGGAGCCUUCCGGGCGGAUUCCCUCCUCUCGAUCCUUCUUGUUUGGAUUCUAGCACGAGCCGAUCUGUGCUUCUUUGUCUGGCUGGCCAAGAUCAGGGGGUACUAACUCAACGUCAUCCUCAGACUUCCAACCCUUUUCAGGGGAGUCUUCCGGGCGGAUUCCCUCGCCUUGAUCCUGGCUCAUUAAUUGCUAUUGUGAGGUAACAGCUCCCUUCUCGUUCGAGCUUGCUUGUCUGCUGGGAGCACUUCGUGCCUCGUUGGCAGCUUGCAUUACUGGUGUGAACUGCAUCUGCUUGCUCUUCUUGAGUCCGUGAGCUGUGCAUCUUCUUGCCAUGGCUUGGUCACUAUUGAUCUGCCCGAUUCCGCCUCCAGGGAUGGGGUAGCGAAUCUUCUGGUGUAGAGCAGAUGUGAUAGCCUCGAUCUUGCUGAUCCACGGUCGGCCCAGAAUUCCGUUGUACGGGGAGAUCUCGUCGAUGACCAUGAAGGUUUGUGUGCAGACUACUGGGGGCGAGUGGACGUCAAGGUCGAUCUGUCCAACAGUGAUUGAUGUGGCCCCAUUGAAGCCAGUGAGCGACCUUGCAAGUUUGCUAAUCUUGGGCUCCAAUCCCAUCUGUUGGAUGACAGAUAGUUGCAGGAUGUUGGCUGCGCUGCCCUCAUCCACAUGAACUCGCUCGAUCACAGCUUGUUCAAUCCGAAUGCACAUGACUAGGGCGUCAUUAUGCGGCAGGUCAAGCCCGAUCAAGUCUUUCUUCUGGAAACCAAUGAUGGGUGUAUCCACGAUAACUGGUACUCCUGUUGUGACUUGGGAGACAUAAGUCGCCUGCGCGAUCUUCCUCUUGCGCUCCUUGGUGGUCAACCCGGACUCCUGAGAGUCAGCUAGAAUGGUGUUGAUUCGAAUGACCUUUUGGGGAGGUUCCUUGGCAGCCGCAUCACGAUCCUCGAUCUGUUGGAUGGCCUUCUUUGCGACGAAUUCUGUGCAAUGACCUUCUCUGACCAGCUCCUCCAGAUGCCUUUUCCAAGCAUUGCAAUUGUUGGUGUAAUGACCGUGCUCCCCGUGGAAUGCGCAGUAUUUACUGGUGUCCCUCUUAGAGGGGUCUCCUUUCAUGGGUGGCGGUCUCCUCACCCACGGCUUGUCCUUCACUUGAGCCAGGAUCUGAUGAAUUGGGAUAGCGAACUCAGUAAAGGUCCCAAUUUCUGAGCUUCCCUCUCGGGGCCGCGAUCUGCGCUUAUCUCGGGCUUUUUGCUCGAACUGAUUGCUCUUUUGGCUUGCCUGCUUCGUCGGGUGUUCAACUUGCUUGCUAGCUUUCUUUGCGGCGAUUCGAUCAUCGUCCCAAAGUGCGUAGCGUUCUGCCGUCGCGAACACUUCUGCCAAGGUUUGACUUGGUGUUAUGGCCAGUUCCCGGUAUAGCUCGUGCUCGGUUGGCAAGCCCUUCUUGAAGGCUGAGGAUGCAACUUGGUCAUUGCAUCCUAUGAUGUUAGCCUUUUCAGCCUUAAACCGUCUCAGGUAGUCUCGUAGAGACUCGUCUGGCUUCUUGCGCAGGUUGAACAGAUGGUCCGCAUGCUUUCUGACCGUCUUGUAGGAGGUGUACUCCUUUGUGAAGAUGAAGGCCAACUCCUUGAAGUUUCCUAUCGACGCGGACGGUAGAGUGUGGAACCAGUCUUGAGCUGCUCCUCGCAGGGUCAUCGCGAACACUUUGCACAUCAGGGCAUCAUCUGCCUUGUACAGGAUCAUGGCGCUCUUGAAGUGCCUCAAAUGGCUCUCAGGGUCAAAGUCCCCCUUGAAUGGAGUGAUGGAUGGCGUUGUGAACCGCUUCGGUGGAGGAGCUCGUUCCACUUUGUCGGUAAAGGGCGAGCAGUCAACUCGAUCAAUUUCCUUAUGCAGGGCCUCCUCCGCGCUUCCUUUAAGUUGGAGAACUUGGAGUCGGUCAUUUACUAGCUUCUCGACGUCCUCUGCUCGCAGGACUGGAGUCUCAGGCCGGCGUCUUCGGUGCCUCGAGCGCGACCGGCUAACCUCUUCCUCGGUUCCCAAAGGUCGAUCCCCUUGGGUGUUCUGCCCGUGGGGCAGAUUAGAAGAUUGAGCUUGUGAGGAUUCCUCUACAUCUUGUCGCCACGUGUUGGUCCUCGAGCAGGUUGGUGGGCGUCGAUCAUCACCUUCUACCCGCAAGGAGGGUCGCUCAGGUCGACGUCUUUGGUGUCUCGAGCGUGACUGGCUAACUCCUUCCUCGAUUCCCAAGGGUCGAUCCCCUUGGGUGCCCUGCCCGUGGGGCAGAUUAGGAGAUUGGGCUUGGAAUGAUCCCUCUACAGCUUGCCGUCGCGUGUUGGCCCUCGAGCGGGUUGGUGGGCGUCGGUCGUUGCGUUCGUCACGCGACUGCUCACGAACUCGAGCUCCUUGUGGGCCCAAGCGGGCGUGGACAUUGGAUUGUGGGCCUAAGCGGGCGUGGACAUUAUUCUGUGGGCCUAGCCUCUCGAGCACAUUGGUCCUUGGUUCUAGCCCGAACGGCUCAGAGUACGGCUCGCGGCUGUCUGCGUCUCAUCUACUCGAUCUCGAUCUCGAUCUCUCCUCUGCCGGUUUGCCCUUGUCUGACCAGCUUGGGACCUCUCGAACUGCUCGCCGACAUGCUGGUGUGCCCUCAUCUCCUCGUCACGGGGUCCAAGGUUAAGGCCUUGAUUCAAGUUGAUCUGCCUGAGCAGCUGGCCAAUCAGGUUGUUCUGAUCAUCGACCUUCUGUGUGAGUUAAUCGACCCGUGAGUUAAGGUCCACCUGACUGCGCGGGUCAAGUAGAGUGAUGUGCAUCGGGCCCACGGCAAAUGGGCUAGGGCUCCAUUAGACGCGUACACAGGUGCAUAUGUCGAGUGUGAUAGCAGAGGAGGGAGAGAAUGGAUCUGCUCCAGGACUGGGAAGACGUCGGAGUAGCCAUGGGGCUGAGCAGCAAAUCCGGUAGUUGAGUGGUGUGGCUGCUGCUGUGCUACGACGGCAGGACAGCGGGGCAGAGCAGCUCCUGUAAUCGGCGCUGGCAACUGCAAGGCUGUGGAGGUCCCGAGGUCAUGGUCCGGCUGUUCUGCAAUUCCAGCAGCUGAAUGCGGCUGCAAAGCACUGGAGGACGACUGCAAGGCGUUGGCAGCCACGAUUCCGUGCGGUUGCAUUGAGGUUUCCACCACGAAACCAUGAGAUGGGCCCAUCGUGGUGGCGUUACUCUUCGUACGUCUUGUAUCAACCAUAGUUGUUUGAAAAAAUGUGUGAAAGAUGGAUUUAGAGCACGCUUUGAAUAUACCUCGUGCUCUCAAUGAAAGCACCAAUUUGUUUGUGCAAAUAAUCUCACGGGAGAAUAUUCGCCCAAGAUUCCUUCGUCUUCUCCGCCUCUCUUUCUCCCUGCAAAACAGAUCGGAGUAAAAGGACCACACCCGGGGGGUGUUGGCCAAAGGCCCUCCGAUGCCUAAGUUAGGUAAGGGAAUUCAAGGAAAACCGGGUGGCCGGAGCCUUGUGUGAGAGAGAGAAAGAGAGGAGGUGCCUAGGGUUUUUGAGAAAUAAUUUAUGCAGAGUUUCAGUAGGAAUUUAGACGUACCUCAUCCUUGUGUGUAACCAGGUAUUUAUAGUGGCCUUUGGAGAGGUAGGUGGGGUUGGUGUAGUUGGUGUGGUUGGUGGGGUUGGUGCAUUUAGGGAUUAUGGAUGAACCGAAUCCCUAAUUAAAUUGGGGAUCAAGUAACCCCCAAUUUGAUUAGGUAAUUCCCAAUUAGGUUAGGUAACUCCUAAUUAGGUCAAAUAAUUCCCAAAUUGAUUGGCCUAAUUAAUUGACCUAGGGUUUUGGUUUAAUUAGGUUCCCACAAGUGUGAAAUUGUGACCACGAGAUUCGGUAUAAGCUGUAACCCAAAAAGGUACGUAAGUACGUACAGAAAACCAAACCAAAUACACACGUUCAAACAGGAGUAAGGGGAUACAAAAUAAAUAAAUUAACAGGAAAGACAGAGUUUAACCUGGUCAGUGGACUCUACUUUAAUGGUUAUGGCAGUGGAGAAGAUAUCACCCGCUUUCUUGCCAGGAGAAACUGCAUCAACAGAGACUCCAAAUGCCUGCAGUGCUUGAAAUGGGACCACUGCCUCGUAAUCUUCCAUGCAGUCCCCGCACAGUAACACACCCUCCUCUGCUCCUCGCCUUUCGGAUUUCCCAUUUCUUUUUUUAUUUUCCUUCUUUAGUUUCUUUCUUGCUUUUUCUUUCUUCUAUCUUCUUUCUUCUUUAUCACAGAGGGAGGUGGUCUGAUAAAGGAAGGAAGGCCUGCUUUAAAUAUAAUACUCACACAAGCGUUUUUGGAGGUUUGUGGAGUCAGCUAGACACGUCGCAGUUAGUAAUCGUGGCAUCUCUCUCUAUUCCUCUUUUCUUUUCAGUUCGGAUAACUAUUGUAUUAGUUUCGAGCCAUAACCAUAUCCAAGUUUGAUAUUAUUUGUUGUCUUCUUCACCGACCAAGUGAGUCUAAAUAAUUCAAGGAAGAUUCAAACUUGUAAUGUUUAUCUCUAACAGGUAUGGAUAAUAAAUGUAAUGUUUAUCUCUGACAGGUAUGGAUAGUGUUGAAUAGCCUUCGCGUUGAUUUUACCUCGACUGCCAUGUUGAUUUUCACCAGCGCAGCAAAGCUGCUUGCUUUGUGUUAUGAGGUCUGGUUUUGUCAACAAACUAUAUUAAUUGACCCAAAAGAAAAUGCAAUAUAAUGUGGAUCCUCAUUUCGCAGUGACAGGAUAUGGUUGUGAAAUACAGGCUAACUUUGGACAACCUGAUAUUCAAAAGAAAAUUCAAUAUCUUGUCGAUCCUCAUUUUGCAGUUACAGGAUGGUUGUGAAAGUAUAAGCUAACUCUGGACAACACGAUAUUCAUUCAGGUAAAACUUCGAGGUGUACAGUGAGGGAGAUAGAAACCCUUGAGCUGAAAUCCUUGGCGCCGACGACUAAUAAAUCAUAGUGUCCUUCUUGUUGAUGUGUAACCCUUGAGUUGAAAUCCUUGGCGCCAAAGUUGUUUUUUAUUUGCAUUUUAUUUCUUUUUUAUAUGUUUAAACUCUGUUUGUAAUAUGAGCCAUUGGAUCAUAGUCCAAGUGGUCUCUUAUCUAGCCUAGGAUAUAAUCUGUCAGAUUGUGACAAGUGUAAUCAUCUCAUAGGCUGAUAGGAUCAAUUGUUAGGAUUAAAUCCCUGUGUAAAUUAGGUAGAGAAGAAUCUCUCUUCUCUCUCCUCUAACGGAUAUAUUGGUAUAGUGGAAAUGGAAGCAUAACAGCUCCUUUAGCAAUAUUGCAGCUCAAUAAUCUCUCCUAUCUUUCCAAAAUCUAAAAUCUCCAGAAAACUAGAACACUAAAACUAUGAACUCUAAUAUGGUAUCAGAGCUAGGUUGGAUUGCUUAAACUGGGCGUGAAUCUGUGAACAGAGAAUCGGACUCGAUUCGAGCUAUUUUUUGUUGUUGAGCUUAUUUGAAGAUCGAAGCUGUGAUUUCUUGAAUCCAAUGUCUAAUAUGGCAGGAUCGGGAACAGCUGAGCUUCACACACCAGUUUUCAAUGGAGAAAACUAUUAGUGUUUUGGAGCAUUAGGAUGAAAACCAUUCUGAAAUCUCGUGGAUUGUGGGAUCUGGUCUAGAAUGGGAUAGAUAAUUCAGAUCUGAAGAAGGAGAACGAGGAGGCUACGGUUACUGAGAAGUCCACUAUGGCUCAGAUUUUGAUGAAGGAUGCUCGCGCACUUGGAUUGAUUCAAAGUGCUGUCUCAGAUAAGCUAUCCCCAGAAUUGUGAACGAAGAGACCUCAAAGGGUGCCUGGGAUAUUCUGAAGCUGGAGUUCAGAGGCGAUAAACAAGUAAGAAAUGUCAACUUGCAAGGGUUGCGUAGAGAAUUUGAAUAUACUCAUAUGAAGGAUAGUGAAUCUCUAUCUGUAUAUCUUGUUAGAUUGUUUGAUAUGAAUAAUCAAAUGAAGAGUUAUGGUGAGGAAUUACCUAGAGAGAGAGUUGUGCAGAAAUUGUUGUUUAGUCUGCCGAAAUCAUAUGACUCUAUUUGCUCUGUGAUUGAACACUCUAAGGAUCUUGAAACUCUGGAAGUUCAAGAGGUGGUUGCCCCUUUGAAGAGCUUUGAGCUCAUAUUUGAUCGCCAUACUGAGAAUUCUAUAGAAAGGGCAUUUACUAGUCUGAAUAUUGAGGAAAAGAAUUCUAAGAGUGGAAAUUUUCCUGGAGAUCAAAAAUCUCAGAAAAACUGGAAGUCUAAUGAUGAAAACAAAACAGCUUGUAAACACUGUAAUAAGCUGCAUUAUGGCAAGUGUUGGUUUGAAGGGAAACCUAAAUGCCAUGGGUGUGGGAAAUUUGGGCAUAUGAUCAGAGAUUGCAGUGGGAAUAAAAAUGUACAUAAGGUGAAUUAUGCAAAUCAAGUUGAGGAAACUGGUACUUUGUACUAUGUGUGCAAUGCUGCAACAGAUGUGAAAGUGAAUUAUUCAUGGUACAUUGACAGUGGUUGUAGUAACCACAUGACAGGAGAUGAGGGACUUUUAGUCAAUAUUCAAAGGAACUUGACCUCUAAGGUGAAGAUGGGAACUGGAGAAGUAGUUCCAGUUGCAGGAAAAAGGACUCUUGUGAUAAAAACCAAGUUGGGUAAGAAGCACAUUCAAGAAGUAAUGCUUGUACCUGGUCUUGAAGAAAAUAUGCUUAGUGUUGGGAAAAUGAUUGAGGAUGGAUACUAUCUUGUGUUUGGAGGGAAUAUGGUGAAUAUUUAUGAUGAUUAGUCACGGAGAAAUCUAAUUGUGAAGGUUCAAAUGACCGAUAACUGAUGUUUUCCACUUACAAUGAUGCCUGCAAGUGAUUUGGCCUUAAAGGCAAGUGUUACACACUGCUUGCAGACAAGGCAUAAAAGAUUGGGGCACUUAAAAGAAAGAAGCAUAAAAUUGCUUGAGAAUCAAUGCAUCGUUCAUGGCUUACCUCAUUUGGAGCAGAUUUUAGUAGUAUGUGAAGGCUGCAUGCUAGGAAAGCAACACAGAGAUUCUUUCCUUUUGGAGUCCACUUGGAGAGCUACAAGUCCUUUGGAAUUGGUUCACACAGAUACCUGUGGACCAAUGAAGACUGAAUCCAUUUCUGAAAAUAGGUAUUUCUUGCUAUUUACAGAUGAUUGCACUAGAAUGUCAUGGGUGUAUUUCAUCAUAAACAAGUCAAGUGCAUUUGACUGUUUUAGAAAGUUCAAGGCUAUGACUGAGCUACAAAGUGGAUAUAAGAUAAAAGGCUUGAAGAGUGACAAGGGUGAAGAGUUUUUAUCCAGUGAAUUUUACAGGUUUUGUGAUGAAUUUGGAAUUCAAAGGCAGCUUAUUAUAGCAUACUCUCCUCAGCAAAAUGGAGUAGUUGAAAGAAAGAACAUGACAGUAGUGGACAUGGCAAAAUCUAUGCUGCAUGAGAAGGGUAUUUCUUAUGAAUUUUGGGUGGAAGCUGUAAAUACUACAGUCUAUCUACUGAAUAGAUGUCCCACCAAGUCUCUCAAGAAGGUAACACCAUUUGAAGCUUAUACUGGCAGAAAACCAGGAAUUGCACACUUAAAGAUUUUUGGAUCUCCUUGUCAUGUGCUCAUCCCUUCAGCAUUAAGGCAUAAACUUGAAGAAAAUAGCCACAAGUGUAUUUGUGUGGGUUAUGGACUCUGUGAAAAGGGGUACAUGCUAUUUGAUCCAAGCAUUAGAAAGGUUAUUCUGUCCAGAGAUGUGCAGUUUGAUGAGAAUGGCUCAUGGAAGAGGGAGAAUGCAAGUGCAUGAGAAAUGACAGUCCCUGUGCCUACUGAGAAUCAAAACUGUAAUCCAAGUCAAAGCUUGGGUACACCAAUGCAAAUGGAUGAAGGAAUCACACUACAGAAUGAACCAAGUCAAAGCUUGGAUACACCAACAUAAAUGGAUGAAGGUAUUACUCUGCAAGAUGAAGGAAUAAGUGAAAGUUCUCAAGCUAUUGAUCACACACCAAAGAAAUGGAGAAGUGUUAACGAAAUCAUGGCUCAAUGCAAUAUCUGCAUUGUGGAACCUGAAAGUUUUGAAGAAGCUAAUCUUGAUAAGUCAUGGAGAAAUGCAAUGAAGGCUGAGCUGGAAAUGAUUGAGAAAAAUAAUACAUGGAAACUAGAGACAAACCAUUUGGCAAGCCAAUUAUUGGUGUCAAGUGGGUCUUCAAAACUAAGCUAAAUCUGGAUGGAUCUGUGCAGAAAAACAAGGCCAGACUUAUGGCAAAAGGCUACUCUCAGAAGCCUGGAAUAGACUAUAAUGAGACGUUUGCUCUAGUAACAAGAUUGGAUAUUAUUAGAACGUUGAUAGCACUUGCUGCACAGAAGGAAUGGAAUCUAUAUCAACUGGAUGUAAAAUCUGCCUUUCUGAAUGAAGUGUUAAAGGAAGAGGUUUAUGUGGAGCAGCCACAGGGUUUUGUGAAGGAAAAUGAAGAAAUCAGAGUGUAUAAGUUGAACAAGGCCUUCUAUGGACUAAAGCAAGUCCCAAGAGCCUGGUAUGAUGAGAUAGACUCUUACUUCAACAAGGCAGGAUUCAAGAAAAGUCCUAGUGAAGCAACACUCUAUGUCAAAACUAGUGAAGAUUCAGGUAUUCUUAUUGUUUCACUCUAUGUGGAUGAUAUUGUCUAUACUAGAAGUUGCCCAAAGUUACUUGAAGAGUUCAAAAAUGAUAUGAUGCAACAUUAUGAAAUGACUGAUCUUGGACUACUCUACCAUUUUCUUAGCAUGGGAGUAGUACAAACAGAUAAACAUAUCUUUCUUCAUCAGAAGAAAUAUGCAUUGAAGGUGAUUGAAAAGUUUGGAUUGAAGGACUGCAAGUCUGUGGUAACUCCAUUAGUUGCAAAUGAAAGCCUGUGCAAGGAAGAUGGCAGUGAGGCAGCAAAUGAGAGUGAAUAUAGACAGAUUGUAGGUAGCCUGCUUUAUUUGACAGCUACAAGACUAGACAUAAUGUUUGCCUCUAGCUUGCUUGCUAGAUUCAUGCAUAAUCCAACUAGAAAACACAUGGGAACAGCCAAGAGGGUAUUAAGAUACAUUUAGGGCACACUUGAUUUUGGAAUUGAAUUUAUAAAAGGGAAGACAACUACCUUGAUAGGGUAUUGUGACAGUGACUGGGCAAGAAGUGAAGAUGAUAGAAGAAUUACUUCAGGAUAUGCAUUCACACUAGGAUAUGGUAUGUUCUCAUGGGCAUCAAUUAAACAAAACACAGUAGCUUUCUCCACUGCAGAGGCAGAAUAUGUUAGUGCUGCUGAAGAAACAUCACAAGCUAAAUGGCUAAGGUUCGUACUUGAAGAUUUUGAAGAGGAGCAAGUGGAAGGUACACCAAUUCUGUGUCAUAACACCUCUACCAUAGCAAUGGCAAAGAAUCCAGUUUUCCACCAGAAAACCAGACAUAUUAGCCUAAAGUUUCAUUUCAUUCGAGAAGCUAUUCAAGCAAAGGAGAUUGAACUAAUCUACUGGAAAACAGAAGAUCAUAUUGCAGACAUCCUAACCAAGGCUUUGUCCAAGGAUCGUUUUGUGUAUCUCAGAGAUCUACUUGGUGUGAAAUCAGUCAAAGGGUUAUAGAAGGGAGUGUUGAUGUGUAACCCUUGAGCUGAAAUCCUUGGCGCCAAAGUUGUUUUUUGUUUGCAUUUGAUUUCUUUUUUAUAUGUUUAAACUUUGUUUGUAAUAUGAGCCAUUGGAUCAUAGGCCAAGUGGUCUCUUAUCUAGCCUAGGAUAUAAUCUGUCAAAUUGUGACAAGUGUAAUCAUCUCAUAGGAUGAUAGGAUCAAUGGUUAGGAUUAAAUCCCUGUGUAAAUCAGUUAGAGAAGAAUCUCUCUUCUCUCUCCUCUAACGGAUAUAUUGGUAUAGUGGAAAUGGAAGCAUAACAGCUCCUUUAGCAAUAUUGCAGCUCAAUAAUCUCUCCUUUCUUUCCAAAAUCUAAAAUCUCCAGAAAACUAGAACACUAAAACUAUGAACUGUAAUACUUCUAAAGCAUUAGUAUAAUACAAGCUUCGUCCACAACCAAACUUGCAUGGAACAUGGCAUAUACAUAUCAAAACCAGAAUGUCACUUGUUCCCUCAUAUAUAGAAACGUCACCUUAACAUAACACUUACAUAUAGUACAUGCAAGCAGCUGACCCAGUAAACAGCAAAUGAUACUCGAAUAUCAAGCAAUAUCAUCAACUGAGAAAUGAACUCUGGGUGGCCCGGCCACGCUCUCCAGUCCAAAUUUCCAUCUGUGAAACAAUGAUCUAUUGGACCAGGUUCCAGCCGUGUUGCUCCUGACAAAACCGCAUUAAGCUUCACCACUGAAUACGCAGUAUAUUUCUUUCCCUAAAAUUUAGCUAGUUAACAACAAUUAGGACAUGAUUUAAAAAAGUCCAUAAUGUGAAAAUAAGUAAAUCAACCCUCAAUCAGAAGAAUCAGCAAAAGGCAAACAGAUUACAAUUUCAAAGUGGUUUCUUUUUUACCUCGUCAUUAAAUACUCACUCAGUAAAUCAACCCUGUUACAAAAUUGAUGAUACUCCCAACUCUUCCUAACACCUUCCGAAAAACUGAAACUGCCUAGCUCAGCCAAGCCUUUUGGUUUUCCUUAGUAGGUAAUUUCUUGUUUUACCCCAUUCUUAAACCAUUCCAUCUAGCAUAGAUUUUUACUGCUUCAUAUAUUCCUUCAGAGAAUUCUGCAUUACAGUACACACCUUCCGACUUUUAUAUUACCGCACAAAUGUUCAUGCACCAACUGGCAAGCUUGCUCAUCAACACCCACAACAAAACAUACAUUUAAAUUUACGAUCAACUACAUAGAUAGUGAGUUAUAGAACAAAUGAAUCCACAGGUUAUCUGUAUUGUCUUUUUGGUUAAACAUGUUUAACUUCCCACACAAAAUUAAUUUUACUCUAGCAUUUUAGUUUAUGUUAAAAAGCGUAAGAAGUUAAAAUGUUAUGGAAUCUACAUUAUAUAUGUAUAUCUACCACAGAAAUGCUAUAAUGUGGGGUUGUGUGUGAGGGGUUCAAUACCACUAUCCAAUAAUAUAAAGGAUAUUUUGAACUUAAACUUUUUAAUGAUUGGAUGGUUGGAUGGUUGGAGACCAAGUAUAAAUAUCCUAGUUCUUUGUGAAUGUACAAAUCAUCCAAUUUCAAACAAAUUAACUUUAUAUUAUUGUUUCAACUCAUUUAGUUUCAAAGAUUGAAAUUCUGGCAGAUGGAUGCAAUUGGUUUCCUGGCUUCCACAAUUUGCUUCACUAAUGCAAUGACUUUCUCAUCCAAUACCAAAUGUUCUGGGGCUCCAGUUGUACGGCAUACAACAGUGAGGUUAAUUCUCAGUCUCGCAGCUAUGCACAAGUGGUCUUUGAGGCAAUUGAAUGUUAAGAACGCAUUCUUACAUGGGGAGCUUGAAGAAGAAGUUUUUAUGAGGCAACCUCAAGGUUUUGAAGACCCCAAGCAUCCUGAGUUUGUGUGUAAGCUGAAUAAGUCUCUGUAUGGACUUAAGCAAGCUCCACGGGCAUGGAAUGCUAAAUUUACAGGAUAUUUACCAGCUAUAGGGUUCAAAUAAUCUCGUUCUGAUCCCAACUUAUUUGUCAAGCAUGACGGCACUGAUAUUAUAAUUUUAUUAUUAUAUGUUGAUGGUAUCAUCUUGACAGGCUCCAAUGCAAAUUUAGUGCAGACAGUGAUUGAUGAUUUAGGAGCAGUGUUUGAGAUGAAGGACAUGGGUCGCCUUACCUAUUUCCUUGGUCUUCAAGUGUCUUACAAUUCUACAGGUGAUAUUUUUGUCCAUCAGCACAAGUAUGCUAAAGAUCUACUGCAAAAGGGCUGGUCUGAGUAAUUGUAAGGCUUCUCCUACUCCUUGCAAGCCACAUAAUCAAGUCUUAAUGUCUGAAGGAGAACCACUGCAUGAUCCUACAUUUUAUAGAAGUAUUGUUGGUGCCUUACAAUACUUAACUUUCAUAAGACCUGACUUAUCCUAUGCUGUCAAUACUGUGUGUCAGUGUAUGACUGCUCCCACUGAGAUACAUUUCAACCUGGUCAAAAGAAUUUUGAGAUACAUUCAAGGUACCAUGAAUUAUGGAAUUCACUUUAUUCAUGGUCCUUGGAAAUUACAAGCUUAUAGUGAUGUUAACUGGGCGGGGGAUUUAAAUGCUAGGAGGUCAACUACAGGUUUUGUGGUAUUGCUUGGACAUAAUCCUAUCUCAUGGCAGUCUAAGAAGCAAGGGUCUGCAUCCAGAAAUUCUACAGAGGCCGAGUAUAGGGCUUUGGCUAGUACAGCUGCAGAUUUGGGUUGGAUUCGAAAGGUUUUGCUAGACUUGAAAGUGUGCUUGCCUCUACCUCCUACCAUCUUUUGUGAUAAUCUAUCUGCUUUGGCACUUAGUAGUAAUCCUGUGUUUCAUUCACGAAUUAAACACUUGGAUACAGAUUUUCACUUUGUUCGUGAAAGGGUUCAAAGGAAUGAUCUGAUUGUUUAGUAUGUUCCCACUCAAGAGCAAAUCGCAGAUGUAUUUACUAAAGGACUGCAUAGUCCUAUUUUCUUGAGUCACUGUACUAGUAUGCGACUUGGAAAUCCAUAGCAGGAUCCAGAGUUGGGUUUGAGGGGGAAUGAUAACAAUAUUAGUUAGUUUGUUAAGCUGUCACGUGUGCUCACGUGUUGUUAGUUAGUAGUAACUAUAAUUAGUUAAGAGUGUUAAGUCUUGGUUAUUGAGAUAUAACACUAAUGAAACUGCCGUUGUAAUUCAUUAUAUACAGAGCAUAUCAUUUCUUCUUCCUUCUUAGUCUUCUCAAUUCUUAAGCUUCCUUUUCUAAACUGUUAUCAGAUGGAACCCUAUCACACCAGAAUUGUGGCAAAUCUGGUAUAGCCGAUUCAGGUUAUUUUCACUAUAUAUCUUUCAGAAGUAUCUGUAACGGGGCAAAUCUCCAUCAAUCCUCUUCUUUUCAGUUUAUCUUUAUGCCCAUUCAUGCAUGUAUAUAUUAUACGAAGAAGUUUUUGACAUAUGGCAUGUAUUGUGUGUCAAAUGUAUACCGAUUCAUGAAGACAGGUUCAAGAUCACAUACACCAUAUUCACCUUCAUUUCUUUUUGUUUAUUCUGGGUUUCUCCAAUUUGAAUCACAUUAAAAAACAAAUACUGAACAGUGAUAUAUUCAAUAUUGAUCGGCAUCACAAUUUCAUAUUUCUCAUUGCACUACGAAGGAAAAUAAAACUUACCCCACAGAGAAACAGGAUCCUCCUAUCUGAACCAGUUAUGUUACCACCUAGUGCCUUCACAAAAAGCCUAAUGAACUCAGGAUUCAUAUGUAGCCCCAGUAAUUAUAUUACCAUCAACAACAGACGCCAACAUGGUCUCGGGUUCCACCCAAUAAGCACCUGCAGGCUGCAGCAACAAGUACAGGUCUGACAGGUGGGAAGGCCGUUAUAGUAUAGCCGCGCGGCUAUACUCCAUAAGCAGAAUAUUUUAAAAGUACAGCCGCACCGCUAUACUCCAAAAAUUAUAAUAUCGUAAAAGUACAGCCGAUCGGCUAUACGCGAUAAAUAAAAUAUUUCAAAUGGCUAUACUAAAGGAACUUAAACGUNNNNNNNNNNNNNNNNNNNNNNNNNNNNNNNNNNNNNNNNNNNNNNNNNNNNNNNNNNNNNNNNNNNNNNNNNNNNNNNNNNNNNNNNNNNNNNNNNNNNNNNNNNNNNNNNNNNNNNNNNNNNNNNNNNNNNNNNNNNNNNNNNNNNNNNNNNNNNNNNNNNNNNNNNNNNNUAUUUUCACUUAGAGACGAAGGCACUAAUGCAAUUUUGUUUAUUGAAUAUGGUGUACGCAGUGACGUUGGAGCCAAGAAUUUGUUCACGCUGUCUUUUCCCCAGAACUCAAAGCUCAAUACAGGUCGGUUCUCUAGCUCAUAAUGAAUGAGCAAAACUCCUAACAUGUGUUCUUGUUUGAGCUUACUUUAGUCUCGCUGUCCACACAACCUAGAAACUAUGACCUACGGAUUGCUAUUUGUCAAUCUAAUAGAGUGGCUCUAAUCAACAGUAAAACUUAAUUCAUUUUGUCUAUAAUUAAGGCUACCAACCACUGGCUGAUGCAAAAACCUAAACUUGUAAACUUGACAAACUUAUUUCCAGUCCCAACAUACUCCAAAUUUUAGAGGAGGCAACAUAAUCCCAUAUGUGAGAAUUGUAAGCACUUCAAUCUUUGAGACAAAUUUCUUGUUUUGGGUUUACAAAUUCAAGUGAAGUAAGCAUUCAAUCUUCAAUCCAAUUGAGUGUGCUUGAUUACAGAGCAUGGAAAAGACCAAUUGACAGUGCUCAAGUGAUGUAAUGAGGCUAAAGAAUAAAUUUUUAUCAUAUAAUCAUUAAAUAUGUUCACUAAAAGAUGUGUCAUCGUUAUAUGUAAAAAUUUUAGAAAUAUAUAAACUAGCUAGGAUUUACGUGAAUUCGAAUUUGAAUACAUGAAAUAUUAUUACCUACUACAUCAUUUGAUGAACAGAUUUGAUGUUCCUAACAAUUCUAUGCGUACUAGUAAAGUACUUUGUCUUUAAUUUGGAAGUACCCGAAAGCAUAAUGUUUUUCAUAUAUUAUCUGGCAGGAGGCAAUUCAAGAAAAAAAGCCAUCAUUAUUGGAGUCGUAGUUGGAGGUGUAGGUCUUUUAUUCUCAUUGUUGGAGUUUUUCUCUAUUUUAAACUUUCAAGAAAGCCCGAGGCUGCAACAACCACAGAAUUCGAAGUUGCACUUCCUCUUGCAUAUAUACUAUUACAGUCAUGAUUUCUUGGACUACAAGUACAAGGGUUCAAGAGAUUUGUGAUCACUCACCGUUUGAUGUAAAUUCAACGGUUCACUCACUGUUGCACUUCUUUUAAGAAAUUUUUUUGAACCAUUGGAUUAAUAUCUAACGGUGGGUGACCACAAUCUCUUGGACUCCUGUAGUCCAAGAGAUCGGAUUGUAUACUAUAAGUCCUGAUCUCUUAGACUACAAGAGUACAAGAGAUUUGUGGUCACUCACCGUUGGAUAUAAAUUCAACGGUUCACUCAUUAUUGCACUCCUUUUAAGAAACUUUUUUGAACCAUUGGAUUAAUAUCCAACGAUAGGUGACCACAAUCUCUUGGACUCCUGUAGUCCAAGAGAUUUGUGGUCACUCACCGUUGGAUGUAAAUUCAACGGUUCACUCACUCUUGCACUCAUUUUAAGAAACAUUUUUGAACCAUUGGAUUAAUAUCCAACAGUGGGUGACCACAAUCUCUUGGACUCCUGCAGUCCAAGAGAUCGGGACUGUAUACUAUCAAUCCUGAUCUCUUGGACUACAAGGGUCCAAGAGAUUUGUGGUCACUCACCGUUGGAUGUAAUUCAAUUAGCUCAUGCUCUAACCAUGUAUAUAUAUAAACAUAACAAAUUUAAAAAAAUUUGGUAUUAGACAUAAUUAUCUUUACUAAUUAGUAUUCGAGAUAAACAAUAUUUAUGUUUUAGUUUUAAUACAUAGGAAUUGAAUUUUGUUUUGGAUUUGGACAAAGAGGAGGCCCAGAUUCAUUAGCCCACCUUAUAUUAAUCACUAAUUUUAAUUUAAAAACCUGACUCAAAUUCGUUGGUUUACCUUUUUUUUAAGACUGCUGCUAAACGAACCCUAACAUUAACUGAGUACACCCUAUGAUCUAAGUACACUCUGAUAUUUUAAUUUAAAUGUAAAAUUAACUAAGCACACCCUAUAGAACUACCAAAAAUAUCUCUGGUACACCAUAAUAUUUGUAGCAUUAUUUUAUAGUUGAUUUUUAGCUUGAUUUUUUUAAUAGUGUUUAUAAAUCUUUGACUUUUCAUAUGGAUUUAUGCUUCUACUAAAAUUGUUGACACUUUUUUUGCAAUUUCAAGUUCUUGCAAUCACCACCUCUUUCGUUAAUAAUGAUUUUUUUAUGCAUGUUUCAGUUAUAUACUACUAUGCUACUAUGAAAUUUAUUCGUUCUCAACGAAGUUAAAAACAAGCUAAACAAAUAGAGNNNNNNNNNNNNNNNNNNNNNNNNNNNNNNNNNNNNNNNNNNNNNNNNNNNNNNNNNNNNNNNNNNNNNNNNNNNNNNNNNNNNNNNNNNNNNNNNNNNNNNNNNNNNNNNNNNNNNNNNNNNNNNNNNNNNNNNNNNNNNNNNNNNNNNNNNNNNNNNNNNNNNNNNNNNNNNNNNNNNNNNNNNNNNNNNNNNNNNNNNNNNNNNNNNNNNUGUAUGAAGCAUCCGUUCCAAAAUUUCAAAAGUAACCCAACUUGCAAAUCUGCAUAAAAACAUAAGAGAAAAACAAUAAGAAAGGUGCAUGAGUGGCAAACGAAAGUCACUGCAAACUUCAUCAAAUUGGCCCUAGUAGUACUAAUUAAGAUAUUUUUAAUCAUACACGCUCACAAGCCAGAAAAACUAAGUCCUAAAAGAGGGAUGAAGAUGCUGCCACCACAAUUUUCAUUCAUGUUGUUAGUGAACUAGGCAAAAGUAAUAUGCAUAAAUUCUAUUUUUACAGUAUAUAAGUCAAUUCACCAUAAUAUUUUUUUGACAACUUAUUGGAUUGUCAGGAAUUCAAUGAUCAAUCAGGCCUUCACAUAAUCUCCACCGCUGCGCUUCCUUUUGGACCGUGAGAAGAAGCAGAUUUGAGCCCAAGUCUUCUUCUGCUUAGCAGGUUGUGCUUUAACUUCUCUUUUCACGACAAGCUCAAUCAUGUAUUGAACAACAGCCUAAGAUUAUAUUUGCUCCAAACCAUUCUGACUCGCGGAUCACAAAGAUGAGAACCAAAUAAUCUCUUGAGUAGGGUUGAAUACGAUUAGUAGGGUGUACUUAUUAAAAUUAUAUUUGUUUCACAAUUUCAUAUAUCAUUUUUGGUCAUUUUAUAUUAGAGUAAAUCAGUAAUUCAAUAUAUGCUUUUGUAGUAGGGUGUACUCAGUUAAUUUUAGGGUUCGUUUAGCAGCACUCUUUUUUAAUCAUAUCAGAUCUGCUAUCAUCAAUCCAAGAUCAAGAGACCGAUCUGCGAUGGAAUUCUCAACCAUCUUCCUCCUCUACCCAACCCCCCCACAAAUGACACUGUUCGGACCAUCCUCAACACCCCAACACACGUCGCCCUCAAGUCCGAAGAACUUAUAAGAAUGGAGCAGGAAUUGAAAGACUACGAAAUCGAAAUGCGGAAAGCCAAAGAGGAUCUCAACCGUCGGAUUCACGAUGAUCAGGUCGCGAGGGAGAUCAUGAAGAUUCCAUAGGACGAGUGGCAAGAGUCUGGCCAACUCUUCGCCAAACCCUUCGGUGAAGGCUCCUCCUCAUCGUCGUUGACGAAGAGGGUCAAGAGUGAAAGAGUGUUCUAUCAGAUUGGUCAAAAAAUAAUACUUCAUUUAUCUUAAUAUAUAACAAAUAGGAAGGUUAUAUAUACAAAGCCUAGGAAACUAUUCUAGGAAAGUAAUUAUGUUCCUAUAAUCUUGCAUAAUCAAAUAGUUGACUUAGACUAAUUAGGAAUGUACAGCUCAUUGACACUCCCCCUCAAGUUCGAGCAUAUAUGUCGUCAAUGCCCAACUUGCUAAGUGAGCUGUGAAAUACCCUGCCUGUGACUGCUUUGGUAAGGACAUCUGCAAGUGAUCUUCGGAUUUAACAAAUGAUACCUUAAUGAUCUUGCCUCGAGCUUCUCCUUGAUGAAAUGUCUGUCAACUUCAACAUGCUUGGUUCUAUCAUGUUGCACUGGAUUAUGUGCAAUGUCUAUUGCAGCUUUGUUGUCACAAUUCAGUUGCAUGGCAUGUUUGGGUUUGAACCCCAAUUCCUCCAACAAAUUCCUUAUCCAGAGUAGCUCACAUACUCCGUGCGCCAUACCUCGAUAUUCUGCUUCAGCACUUGAUCUUGACACUACUUUCUGUUUUUUACUUCGCCAAGAUACUAGAUUGCCUCCUACAAAGGUAAAGUAUCCAGAUGUAGAUCGCCUGUCAGUAACAGAGCCCGCCCAGUCUGCAUCAGUGUGACCCUCAACAUCUAGAUGACCAUGUCGUGCGAACAUCAAUCCUCUUCCAGGAGAUGACUUCAAGUAUCUCAAAAUUCAGUUUACCGCAUCCAUGUGGGCUUCACUUGGUGCAUGCAUGAACUGACUCACCACACUUACAGCAUAUGCUAUAUCAGAUCUAGUGUGUCCUAGAUAGAUUAACUUACCCACAAGGCGUUGAUAUCUUUCUUUGUUGGUGGGUACUUGAUCAGGAUAUUCACCAAGCUGAUGAUUCAACUCCAUUGGCGUAUCUGCUGGUUUGCUGGCUAACAUUCCAGUGUCAGUCAAAAUGUCAAGGAUAUAUUUCCGUUGUGAUAGAAAUAUUCCUUGUUCUGAACGAGCCACUUCGAUGCCUAGGAAAUACUUCAGAGCACCAAGAUCUUUCAUUUCAAACUCACUUGCCAAGUGGUGCUGCAAUGCUGCCUUUUCCACUAGGUCAUUCCCGGUAACUACCAUGUCAUCAACAUAUACAAUAAGGGCAGUGACUUUACCUUUCUUAUGUUUCAAGAAAAGAGUAUGAUCUGAGUUACUUUGCUUGUAUCCAAAAUCCUUCAUUGAUUUGCUGAACUUUUCAAACCAUGCUCUGGGUGACUGCUUCAAGCUAUAAAGAGACUUUCUCAGUUUACACACCAUGUUGCUAGUAUUGGACCCCAUCUUACAUCCUGGAGGGGAAUCCAUAUAGACUUUUUCUUCUAGGUCGCCGUGCAAGAAGACAUUUUUGACAUCAAACUGGUGUAAUGGCCAGUUUAGGUUUGCUGCCAGAGAAAAAAGUACUUGAAUUGUGUUUAUCUUGGCUACAGGGGCAAAUGUCUCCCUAUAGUCAAUCCCAUAAGUCUGGAGUAUAACCUUUCGCCACCAAUCUUGCUUUGUAUCGUUCAAUGGUGCCAUCUGCCUUGAACUUUACUGUAUAUAUCCAUCUACAACCCCACUGUUCUCUUCCCUUUGGGAAAGGAUAGUCAUCUUUCAAGUGGAAUUCUUCUGGAAGGCCUCCAUUUCAUCAUUCAUUGCUUGAGUCCACUUGGGGAUCUUUAGAGCUUCCUACCCAUUUACUUGGAAUAGAUACAGUGGAUAAUUGACAUACAAAUGAUGCACAUGACGGAGACAACCUAUGUAGGGACACAUGAUUAGCAAUAGGGUAUUUAACUUUUGUUUUUGGGUCCGGGUCAUACUGUUGUCUAGGAAUCCCUCUAGUGGUACGAAUAGGUAACUGAUAACCUGUGUUUCCUGUAUGACUCGACUCAUGUAAAGUACUUAAGUUGGAGUUUAAAUGCUCAGUUACCUGCGGGGAAUCUUCAGGACCUGAUUGGAUGAUUGGUGAUGGUACUGUAGUUGGAGGGAAAUUAUCUGAACCAUCAUCUGGAGUUUCUAGUAACUCUUGAUCUUGUUGCACUACUGUAGCUGGUUGCUCGGAAACUGACUGCUCUAAAAUAGUUUGUUGAAUUUGGAUGCUCUGAGUAUCUUCUGCAAAGAUAGAGCUCUCCCCCUGCAGAGGAUGCUCAGAAACUCCCCCUGAGUAAUAGAACUCACUCUCGUGGAAAGUCGCAUCUGCGGUAACAUGCAUGGUCUGAGUGGGAUGAUGGAAACACUUAUAGCCCUUCUGAGUGCCAGCAUAACCCACAAAGACACAACGCAGUGCACACGGAUCAAGCUUGCCACGCUGAUGUGGAUACACCUGAACAUAAGCAACACAACCAAAGAGACGUGGUUCGAGAUUUGGUGUGGAUGGCAUGGUGAGGAGAGUGGUCAAUGUCUGAAAUGGAGUUUGAUACUGAAGAGUGCUGGAUGGUGUUUUAUUAAUGAGGUAAGCAGCAAAACAAAGAACCUCCCCCCAAAAAUGAUGAGGNNNNNNNNNNNNNNNNNNNNNNNNNNNNNNNNNNNNNNNNNNNNNNNNNNNNNNNNNNNNNNNNNNNNNNNNNNNNNNNNNNNNNNNNNNNNNNNNNNNNNNNNNNNNNNNNNNNNNNNNNUUAAAAAAUUAUGUAGGUCAUGGUUGACUUACUCUCCUCCAUUGUCAGAUCGAAGCGUGGUGAUUUCUGUCAAACUGAGUAGCAACAUAUUGAUAAAAUAACUUGAAUUUGGCAGUGACUUCACUUUUCUGCUUUAAGGAAAAAAUCCAGGUCAUCCGGGUGCAAUCAUCAAUAAACGUCACAAACCACUUAAAACCGCUAAUAGUAGGAACUCGUGAUGGUCCCCAAACAUCAGAAUGGACAAUCAUGAAAGGCAAAGAACUUUUAUUCAAUCUUAAUGGGUAAGAAAUACGAUGGCUUUUGGCCAAAAUGCAAGUUUCACAACGAAAGUCUGAUUCAGCAAACUGGGAAAACAAAUCUGGAAAUAAAAGUUUCAGAUAACCAAAAGAAGCAUGCCCUAAUCAUCUAUGCCAUAGCCAAAUUUUCUUCAUCCUGAUAGACUCAUCUCCUCUCACAUGAUGUGUCUGACUCAAUCUUGUACUGCUGUCUUCUGUCAAGUCCAGAUAAUACAACUUUCCCCUCUUAGUACCACAUCCAAUCACGGUCCUGGUGAGAAGAUCCUGAAAUAGACAAUACAAUGGCCAAAAACACACAGUACAAUUAAGGGAAUCAAUGAUUUGAGGAACAGAUAACAAGUCAUAGUCGAGUGAAGGGACAACUAAGACAUGAUCAAGACUUAAUGAAGAUGUAAGAGAUAAAGACCCUUCUCUCAUAACUUGGGAGGUGGUUCCAUUAGAACUGGUAAUAUGUGUUUGGCUUGAUGGUUUGGUAGAGUGCAACCCAGUAAAACUAGAUGUCAUGUGAUCAGUAGCGCCAGUGUCAAUAAUUCAUGAUCUAUUACAAGUAAGUGAAGAUGUGCAAGAGGUACCUGAGGUGGCCAAGGCCUUGGAGCCAGAUGUACCUGAUGGAGGUUCUGAUGCAGUCUCCUUGGAUGACUGAGCGGAUGCAAAUGAGGCUCUGGUAGAAUCCUUUUUUCGCCCUUUGUGGACCCAUCCUUCUGGAUAACCAAUGAUCUCAUAACAGCCCUUAAUUGUGUGGUUAUCUAAACCACAUUUGGUACACUUCAUUGGAGGCCGGUUACAAGUAGGGUCGACACUAUAGUUGUUCGGCCGAGAUUGUUUGGACCUCGCAGUAGCCAAGGCUGUGGCUUCGGAGGUUACACCAACUUCAGACAUGGUUCCCUGUCGGUUACUUUCUCUUUUAAUAUGUGCAUAUGCGGCCUCCAGUUCGGGUUUUGGCUCCAUCCGCAAAAUCUCUCCUCGGAUUUGAUCGAAAUUAUUGUCCAAACCUGCAAGAAAUAUAUAAACUCGGAGACGAUCAACCUCUUUGCGUCUAGUCUCAAUGUCUUUCGGAUGCUCCAUGGUGCUUGGACUUAAUUGAUCAAGCUCCUGAAAAAUCUCAGUGAGCUCACUAUAAUAUUUGGCAACUGAUGCGCCAGCUUGCUUCAUUAUUAAUGACCGUCUGUGAAGGUCAUAAAUCUUGUCUUCAUCAGCACCAUCUGAAUAGGUUUGCUUGAUUGCGGCCCAGACUUGCUUUGCUGUGUCAUAACGAAUAAAUCGUUUAAUCUGAUUAGGUUGCAUGGCGUCGAACAACCAACUCUUGACUUGGCAAUCCGAUGCACGCCAUUUAUUAAAUGUGGGAUCUGUGUCUGCAGGUUGGGCAAUAUCACCGGUCAAGUGGCCAUGUUUUUCUCACCCAGCUAUCUUCAUCUCUAUGAUUUGAUGCCAUAGAGAAUAAUUAUUCUCAUCCGGUUUGAUUCCUGCGGAGAAGUUGGAGGUGUCACUCUGCAAAGUGACGAUUUAUGUGGUAGUUUUGGAGCCUCCCGACACCAAGGAUUGAUUGGUGUUUACUGACCCGUCAUCGUUGGCCAUGAUAUUGGCUGACAACCAAUGAAAAAAGGACAAAAAAGAAAUAUCAAGUUGAGGAAAAGCAAGUGAACGGUGGACAAAGGCAAUAAGACAAACUGUUUUGCAAUAAGAAAUAUUGGGUUGAAAGGGAAAAAAAGAACAAGGGGAACGGUUUGAAUGGGUCUGUGAGUGGAAAGUGAUUUGCAAUAUUGCAAAACGUGAUUUGACUAGAGGAAAGGUUUGAAUGGGUUUGUAAGAUGGAAUAUGGGUGGUAUUGGUGCUGGGUUUGUGAGAUGGAAUAUUGCUUUUGGUGCUGGUGCUGGUGCUGCGUACUGGAUGGAAUAUUGCAAAACAGUGAUUUGAGAUGGAAUAUGGGCUGGUGCUGGGUCUGUAUGACGGCUGUUGCUGCGGAAGCGAUUAGGGUUAGGGCAAGAGACAGUCAAGAUUGACUGCUCUGAUACCAUAUCAGAUUGGUCAAAAAAUAAUACUUCAUUUAUCUUAAUAUAUAACAAAUAGGAAGGUUAUAUAUACAGAGCCUAGGAAACUAUUUUAGGAAAGUAAUUAUGUUCAUAUAAUCUUGCAUAAUCAAAUAGUUGACUUAGACUAAUUAGGAAUGUACAGCUCAUUGACAUGUUCAGGCUCUACUUCAAGGGUUUGGUGAGCGAGGAAAUGGUUGGAAAUGAGAGAGUGGUGCUGGCUGGGGUUGGGGUUGCUCUAUGCGACUCCAGGGAUAAUUUGGUGUUCGAGGUUUGGAAACCCCUGAUUGGGAAUGGGAUGAGCAAGAAUGGUGCCCUGUUGAAAGCCUUGAUUGAAGGACUUAAUGCUGCUCUUGCUCUGGACUUGAAGCGCAUCACCUUUUUCUGUGAGAAUUUUCCCAUUUUUUUAGUUUGUGAGUUGCUAUCUCUUCUCUGUCUCGUUUCAGUCUAUUGAUGAAAAUUAAUUAGGCUAAUUGUGGGUUUUGCAUUUUAAUAUAACGACAUAUAUGGUUAUGGACGCUGUGGUUUACACUGACCAUGAAAGAGACUCUUGUGAAAGAGGUCUAAAGGAAUGGAACUUAUUAUUAUAUUAGUGUAUACGAUGUUGUAGGUUUUGUUAAUUAAUAUUUUUUUUCUUGGAACAAUAAUGAACUUUCAAUUUUCAGAUAUACUUCAUGAAAUUUGAUAGGGCAAAUCGUAUAUCAUCCAUUGUGGACAAAGAGAUGCAUUCACUUUGAGAAAUUUUACUUGUGUCUUCUCAACAUUUGCUAAAUUAGUUUGCUAUCUUGUAUUUAAAUUGACCAUUAGAGAAAGUCUUGUGAACAAGGUCUAAAAUAAUGGAGUUUAUUAUGACAUUUAUGUGUGCAAUGUUGUAGUACUUGUGUUGAAACCAAGAAUAUUGGAUGUACUAGUCACUGUGCUACGGUCUAUUUACACCCAUGAAUAGAGCUUGUUGAAUUUCUGACAUUAUAUUUUAUGUAUGAAGGUUAAUGGUAAAUGGCAAGCAAAGAACUACCCAAGAGCAAGGGAACUCAAAAUUGGACUUUCGAAAACUGCAUUGCAGUUUCGGAAAUUGCAUUGCAGUUUUCAUUUAAUUACAAUUGAAUUUUUGCUCUUUCCUUGGUCUUCAACCUCACCAAUUUGAAGAGUAAAGGCUACCCAAAUGAGGAAUUGGGGAAAGAGAAAAGUAGAACUACCCAAGAGCAAGAUAACUCAAAAUUGGACUUUUGGAAACUGCAUUGUGGAUUCAGAAACAACAUUGCAGUUUUAGAAACAGCAUUACAGUUUUCGUUUAAUUACAAUUUGAUUUUUGUUCUUUCAUUGGCCUUCAACUUCACCUAUUUGAAGAGUAAAAGCUACCCAAAUGAGGAAUUGAGUGGACAAGAGAAGAUUAAAACUACCCAAGAGCAAGGGAACUCAAAAUUGGACUUUUGGAAACUGCAUUGCAGAUUUGAAAACUGCAUUGCAAUUUCGGAAACUGCAUUGCAGUUUUCAUUUAAUUACAAUUUGAUUUUUAUUCUUUUCUUGGCCUUCAACCUCAUCAAUUUGAAGAGUAGAGGCUACCCAAAUGAGGAAUUGAGUGGGCAAGAGAAGAUAGAACUACCCAAGNNNNNNNNNNNNNNNNNNNNNNNNNNNNNNNNNNNNNNNNNNNNNNNNNNNNNNNNNNNNNNNNNNNNNNNNNNNNNNNNNNNNNNNNNNNNNNNNNNNNNNNNNNNNNNNNNNNNNNNNNNNNNNNNNNNNNNNNNNNNNNNNNNNNNNNNNNNNNNNNNNNNNUAUUUUUAUUGCAGUUUCUGUUUUUAUUUUCAGUUUUGUGGGAUAUGUGUUGAAAUGAUUUUUUUUUUUUUUAAACUGUUGAUUGUUGGUAUAAAUAUUGUAUAAUUGAAUAAAUAUUACAAAAUCAAGUUUGGUGUAGUGGUUUGUGAGUGAGCCUUCCUCCUUUGAGGGUCAAGGUUCAAGUCCCUUCAAUGACACAAAAUAUUUUUUUUUUAAAGGUGAAUAAAGGGCAAUGGAGUUGGUCCCCUACAGACGGUGGCAGGUGGUGGCCGGCGACGGUGGCUUGCAGCGGGAGUCCGGUGGUGGUGGCCGGCGAAGGGUGGCUGGAGGCGGGACUCCGGUGGUGGGAGUCCGGUGGUGGGAGCCCGGUGGUGGGAGCCCGGCGGUGGUGGCCAACGAAGGGUUGCCGGAGGCGGUAGUCUGACGGUGGCCGAAGGCGGGUGACGGCGGUGGUGGCCGGCGAUGGGUGGCUGGCGGUGGUGGCCGGCGAUGGGUGGCUGGCGGUGGUGGCUAUAUAUGGACAUGUGGCAUAGUAUGCUUGCCUUAGAAGGAGUGGCAUUGUGUGCAAUUUUGAUAUUUUUUAAUGAUAUGUUUGUAAAAUUGAGUACUAUAUUUGGUCUUUGGUCUUAUGCUAAUUAGAUGAAAUUGUAUUCUUAUCUUUCAAAUUAGUAAAUUAUAUUAUGUUUUGAAAACUAAAGCUCCCCCUAAAAAUAAGUAAAUUUAAACAAUUGAAGACACGUACGAGCAAUUUUUUUUAAGGGAGCUUUAGGUGAUAUAUUGCGAGUUGCAAGGCCAAGGACCAUUGAAUUACAAAAAUAAAGAUUUGACGGCGGCAACAAAAAACUUCAGUGAAGAAAAAAAACUUGGAGGAGGAGGAUUCGAGGGCAUCUACAGGGUAAAUUAUGUGCUAAAGAGCUCUAAAAUAAUUUAUGUCAGUUCAGUUUAGCACGAUCGAAUAUGGUGUACUCUUUUUUUACAUAAAUAAAGUUUUAAAAAACUGGGAAAAUUGCAUUGUCAAGCUUUUGAUUAUCCAUGCAUAAUGUUCAUUUACAAUUACAUGGUUGGUCAGGGUACUCUAAACAAUGGAAAAGUACGUAGUUGCAGUUAAAAAACUAGCAAUUCUCCAAUCUGACAGGGCAAAGGCGAAUUUCGUAAACGAGGUGAAGCUGAUAUGUAACGUUCAUCACCGGAAUCUCAUUCUUCUUGGAUGUUGUAGCAAAGGACCGUAAUUGCUUCUCAUAUAUGAAUACAUGGCAAACAACAGCCUCUACAGAUUCAUAUUUGGUAAUAAUUUUCGGCUUUUCAGCUCAGCUACCUCUAAAUGCAUGCCUCUCAACUGGAAACAACUAAAUGACAUAAUCCUGGGUACAGCGGGGUCUGGCCUAUUUACAUGAGAAGUUUCAUGAGAUGUAAAAACCAGCAAUGUUGUUUUGGAUGAUAAUUUCCAGCCACCAGAUCUGCCGGAACAUUGUAAGUUAAAGUACUUUCCCACAGGCAUAACCCCUGAUUGAGAUCUAUAUGAUCAUUACUCUUCUACAAUAUUUAUACCGAUAUUGUGUUUUGCCCUACUUAUCUUUCUAUCCGCACACAAAAAGUGUUAUGAAUCUACUACAUACAUCUUGUGUAGCUUGUCACAUUCCAGGAUCGACUCUGCCGUAUCACGAUAUUGUUCGUUUUGAGCCCCCUUCUCUGCCCUCACGGUUUUAUUUCUGAAAACUCACGAGCAACUUUUCAGUGGGUCUCCUAUCCUGGGAUUGCUCUAACCCCCAACUCGCUUAACUUCGAAAUUCCCAUGACUCCGAAGCCAGUGAACUCCCAAAAAACCUCGUACUAGAUAAAAACGAGUAUGUAUAUAUAAGACACAUUAUCCUCUCUCCGUUGAUCGAUAUGGAAUGUUACAUAGCCGAAGAGGAGUACAUCACCAUCAUGGUGAUGNNNNNNNNNNNNNNNNNNNNNNNNNNNNNNNNNNNNNNNNNNNNNNNNNNNNNNNNNNNNNNNNNNNNNNNNNNNNNNNNNNNNNNNNNNNNNNNNNNNNUCAGCACAAGUAUGCUAAAGAUCUACUGCAAAAGGGCUGGUCUGAGUAAUUGUAAGGCUUCUCCUACUCCUUGCAAGCCACAUAAUCAAGUCUUAAUGUCUGAAGGAGAACCACUGCAUGAUCCUACAUUUUAUAGAAGUAUUGUUGGUGCCUUACAAUACUUAACUUUCAUAAGACCUGACUUAUCCUAUGCUGUCAAUACUGUGUGUCAGUGUAUGACUGCUCCCACUGAGAUACAUUUCAACCUGGUCAAAAGAAUUUUGAGAUACAUUCAAGGUACCAUGAAUUAUGGAAUUCACUUUAUUCAUGGUCCUUGGAAAUUACAAGCUUAUAGUGAUGUUAACUGGGCGGGGGAUUUAAAUGCUAGGAGGUCAACUACAGGUUUUGUGGUAUUGCUUGGACAUAAUCCUAUCUCAUGGCAGUCUAAGAAGCAAGGGUCUGCAUCCAGAAAUUCUACAGAGGCCGAGUAUAGGGCUUUGGCUAGUACAGCUGCAGAUUUGGGUUGGAUUCGAAAGGUUUUGCUAGACUUGAAAGUGUGCUUGCCUCUACCUCCUACCAUCUUUUGUGAUAAUCUAUCUGCUUUGGCACUUAGUAGUAAUCCUGUGUUUCAUUCACGAAUUAAACACUUGGAUACAGAUUUUCACUUUGUUCGUGAAAGGGUUCAAAGGAAUGAUCUGAUUGUUUAGUAUGUUCCCACUCAAGAGCAAAUCGCAGAUGUAUUUACUAAAGGACUGCAUAGUCCUAUUUUCUUGAGUCACUGUACUAGUAUGCGACUUGGAAAUCCAUAGCAGGAUCCAGAGUUGGGUUUGAGGGGGAAUGAUAACAAUAUUAGUUAGUUUGUUAAGCUGUCACGUGUGCUCACGUGUUGUUAGUUAGUAGUAACUAUAAUUAGUUAAGAGUGUUAAGUCUUGGUUAUUGAGAUAUAACACUAAUGAAACUGCCGUUGUAAUUCAUUAUAUACAGAGCAUAUCAUUUCUUCUUCCUUCUUAGUCUUCUCAAUUCUUAAGCUUCCUUUUCUAAACUGUUAUCAGAUGGAACCCUAUCACACCAGAAUUGUGGCAAAUCUGGUAUAGCCGAUUCAGGUUAUUUUCACUAUAUAUCUUUCAGAAGUAUCUGUAACGGGGCAAAUCUCCAUCAAUCCUCUUCUUUUCAGUUUAUCUUUAUGCCCAUUCAUGCAUGUAUAUAUUAUACGAAGAAGUUUUUGACAUAUGGCAUGUAUUGUGUGUCAAAUGUAUACCGAUUCACGAAGACAGGUUCAAGAUCACAUACACCAUAUUCACCUUCAUUUCUUUUUGUUUAUUCUGGGUUUCUGCAAUUUGAAUCACAUUAAAAAACAAAUACUGAACAGUGAUAUAUUCAAUAUUGAUCGGCAUCACAAUUUCAUAUUUCAUAUUGCACUACGAAGGAAAAUAAAACUUACCCCACAGAGAAACAGGAUCCCCUUAUCUGAACCAGUUAUGUUACCUCCUAGUGCCUUCACAAAAAGCCUAAUGAACUCAGGAUUCAUAUGUAGCCCCAGUAAUUAUAUUACCAUCAACAACAGACGCCAACAUGGUCUCGGGUUCCACCCAAUAAGCACCUGCAGGCUGCAGCAACAAGUACAGGUCUGACAGCUGGGAAGGCCGUUAUAGUAUAGCCGCGCGGCUAUACUCUAUAACACUUUAAAGGUAUAGCCGCACUAUACUCCAUAGAAUAUCGCAAACAUAUAGCUGCGCGGCUAUACGCCAUAAGCUGAAUAUUUUAAAAGUACAGCCGCACCGCUAUACUCCAAAAAUUAUAAUAUCAUAAAAGUAUAGCCGAUCGGCUAUACGCGAUAAAUAAAAUAUUUCAAAUUGGCUAUACUCGAAAAAUAGAAAACCAAAAAACAUAUUAAAAUAAAGGGGACCAGAAAGACAUAUAUAUAGCAUUUGAAGAUUUGUAAAUUAAACACAGAUCACGAUUCAGUAAACCUAGGUAGCCCAUUAUCAGAUUAUUUUCACUUAGAGACGAAGGCACUAAUGCAAUUUUGUUUAUUUUGGGUUUACAAAUUCAAGUGAAGUAAACAUUCAAUCUUCAAUAUAAUUGAGUGUGCUUGAUUACAGAGCAUGGAAAAUACCAAUUGACGGUGCUCAAGUGAUGUAAUGAGGCUAAAGAAUAAAUUUUUAUCAUAUAAUCAUUAAAUAUGUUCACUAUGUCAUCGUUAUAUGUAAAUUUUUCAGAAAUAUAUAAACUAGCUAGGAUGUACGUGAAUUCGAAUUUGGAUACAUGAAAUAUUAUUACCUACUACAUCAUUUGACGAACAUAUUUGAUGUUCCUAACAAUUCUAUGUGUACUAGUAAAGUACUUUGUCUUUAAUUUGGAAGUAUCCGAAAGCAUAAUUAAUGUUUUUCAUAUAUUAUCUCGCAGGAGGCAAUUCAAGAAAGAAAGCCAUCAUUAUUGGAGUCGUAGUUGGAGGUGUAGGUCUUUUUAUCCUCAUUGUUGGAGUUUUUCUCUAUUUUAAACUUUCAAGAAAGCCCGAGGCUGCCACAACCACAAAAUUCGAAGUUGCACUUCCUCUUGCAUAUAUACUAUUAUUCAAUUAGCUCCUGCUCUAACUAUGUAUAUAAGAAUGUGAAGGCAAAGAGUCCCACAUUUGAAAGUUGUGAAACCUAGCAAGGGCUUAUAAGAAGUUGGGCUACUCCCCCCAUUGCCAAUUGGUUUUGGGCUUAUCAGAGCGGGUUGCCCACGUGUGAAAGCCCAAUCACGACACGUGCUCCACGUCACCCAAAAUGUGUUGUUUACGUGUUAGGCUUGAAAAUUCUCCACACGUGCAGGGACGUGUGAGAAUGUGAAAGUAAAGAGUCUCACAUUGGAAACUUGUGAAACCUUACAAAGACUUAUAAGGAGUUGGGCUACUCCCCCCAUUGCCAAUUGGUUUUUGGGUAAAUUAUAUGCUAAAGUGCUCUAAAAUAAUUUAUUAGUAUGCAUCAUACAUAGAGAUACAAAAACUAGCAAUAUUAUUUUGGAUGAUAGUUUCCAGCCCAAAAUCAAUUUUGGGCUGGCAAGGCUUCUACCAAAUGAUUAGACUCAUCUUAUUAGAACCAGAUCUGCUGGAACAUUGUAAGUUAAAUUACUUUCUCACAGGCAUAACCCUUGAUGGAGAUCUAUAUGAUCAUUACUCUUCUACAAUAUUUAUACCGGUAUUGUGUUUUGCCCUACUUACCGUUCUAUCCGCACACAAAAAGUGUUAUGAAUCUAUUACAUACAUCUUGUGUAGCCGAAGAGGACUAGUAUAUCUCCACCAUCAUGGUGAUGCUCUCUAGUGUUUCUCUCUAUGGUGAAGUGUCUCUCACUUCUGUUUUAGCCUAUCUGGGCAAUGGUGCUCACGGCACCUCCUACUAAGCCUUCUUUAAAUAACCAAAGAAUUUGGUCCAGCAGCUGCAUGCAUGAAAAAACCGUGCAAGUUGUCCUGAGCACCUUCAAAGUCCUCCACCACAAGACACAGAACAUUAAUGCACCGAAAAAGCACAACCACCAGCAUUCGCAAAGAAGCCAGCCGCUCCUCUUUCUCAUGUCCUUGGUGCAGCACAGUGGGGCACACCUGCACACACAUCUCCUGCUGUCAACCGAAGUCCCUCUUUAUGCAUAGCCCAAGUUGGCUUCUCAAAGAACCCAAGCCAAAAAGUAAUAGCAAUAAUACAAAGCCUACUCUCUCUCUCUCUCUCUCUCACGGGUACACAGACCAACAAUGUGGCCAAUAAACGAAGGAAAAUGCUGGCAACCUUAUCUCCAACCUUAUUUUUGGACAUUUUCCCUUUUCCUCAUGACAUAUGUCACAUCCCAUACACUUGAAAACAAUGACAUUAAUACAUUAAACAAACUACCUUUUGUUUUCGAAGUUUACCCUUAUUAAAUGUAUUGUCUUUCAAUUUAUCCAAAAAUUUUUACAACUCUCUUACUACAUUUAAAAAAUUAAAAAAAUUAAAAAAAUUCAGUUUAAAAAAAAAAAAACAUGUUGUUAUAAAACUAGAGGGAGAAAAUGUAGAGAGAAGUGAUAUGCUAAAGACAAAGUUUCACCAUGUUUAUUCUACCUUAAUCUUUGGUAGAACCACCUAUUUAUAGGCUUACAAGAUAGGAGAUUGAAUACCAUCAUUUACAAUAUACCUAUAGGUUACAAGCAUUAAUUACAAAUACUUAGUGCAUAGGUUACAUAAAAUCCAACGGUGGAAUAUUAAGAGGUAUGGUGGUCAUCCACCAACUCAUGCAUUUACAACACUCCCCCUUGGAUGUCCACCAUACAAUGACAUUGUUUCCUCAUUAAAAACCUUGCUUGGAAAACCCUGUGGGACAAAACCAAAGCGAAGGGAAAAAGAGUGAAACUUUCUUCUGAAUCAUUGAUAUGGUGUUGGAUGAGCUUAUAUUGCCUCGUUAAAACCUUGCUAGGAAAAACCCAGUGGGACAAAAACCUAGUCGAAGGGAAAAAGAGUACAACGCGCAUAUGCCUUGAAUGUAGUAGAAUUGGGAUGCUCCCCCUCAUUGAUAUCUCCCCCUGAUUAAUAUCUCUCCUUCUCUGAUUUGAGCAAUACAAGCAACAUUGUCUUCAUACAUGAUCGUCUAUCACACUAUUCAACCUGCUUUUCACUUUUCAAAUGAUUGAAAUCUUUAGGAGUAUCAACAACUAAUUUAGUAGUUAGAAUAUGUUACAACAAUAUCAAAUUUGAAUUCAAAAUACUCAAACUCUUAGUGUUAACUCUUAAUUAAGAAUAUUGUGGUACUUUAUAUCCUUCAAGAGGUUGCUUCAUCUGAUAUAUCUCAAAUAUUUCAUGAGCUUUGAGGAUUUCCAUGUACCAUAUAGUCUUAAUAAAUAUGCAUUUAACACAUACUAUAAGUUUUGCGUUAAAGUAACAACCGCACUUAUAGAAAUGUGGAUGCAUUUACGAUGAGAUUGGAGACUAAAACCACAUGUACCUCUCCCAGGAAACCUUAUGUCAUAUUAGUGAUCUUAUUUCACUUCACAAACACCAAUUCGUAACCUUCAUACUGAACAUUUGUAAUUUGGUGUUUGAGUUAUAGGUUCAAUAUCCAACUCUUCUUAUUUAGUGAUAAAUGGAAUUGCCUAUUUCCAUUUUUGGCCAAUCACUUAACUUGUCGACAUUCAUGAAACGUGAUUUAAUAUAAUCAUAGCCCUUGAUGAUUGUAGUAGUUACUAAUAAACCAAAUGUAUCAUCAAUUUGUGAUCCCACAAUUCUCAUGUGCAUGCGCAUGCAUAAUUUAUAAGCAUCUCAUUACUUUAGGGUACCAAUGCCUCUUCAAGGGCUUAUGUUGUCACUUAUGGGACAAACAUCUCUUUUACAAUAAAUUAUUUAGAAUAUGUGGAUCAUAACCUCCUAUAGAGCGUUAUUUUUUAUAGAGCUUGAAUUUUUCAAAUAAUCUCCAUUUCUAGGGAGUUAAGUUUUUAGAACCUAUAUUUUUGUCAUGCUUCAGGCAUGCAUUAUAUAUAUAGUCACCAUGUUAAUGGAUUGUGAUACGAGAAUAUCAAUCCAUGUUAGCAUAUGUACAACUUAUAUAUGCAUUUUCUUGAUGAGACAAAAGUGGAUUGAUUCAACACUAUUUCACGAUGUUCUUCAGGAACUGUCAUUUCUCCCCCUAACGGCGGGAAAAUUAUCUCAAAAUUUAGGAAAAUAAACUCACCAUCAUUAUCAAUUCAAAUUGACUGGAUUGGAUAAUGUGGGAGUUGUGCUCGUCAGCGUCUUGACAAGAGAUAAAUAUGUAACCACUUUAGUAGGCAUAUUCAACAAAACUGGUGAAGUGAUCCAUAAUUAAAUGUUGUAUAGGCUCACAAAUAUCCCAUUGAAUUAUGGCUCAAAGUCAAUUUUUGACUGAGAUGAUCUUAUGACAACUUUUAUUUGUGAGCGUUCUUUGUAAUGAUAUUGUUGGACAAGACAAUAAUUUGAGUCUUUAAACGAUGUCCUUACAAAUUUAUAAAAAUCUUAUGCAUCAUUGUGGGACAUGGAUUGCCAAGAUAGUCAUGUCACAACAUAAAAGUUAUUCGGUCAAUGAACUUCUAGUUCAUGACAUCAUAAUCUUCAACUAUAAUAGUUGUGUAAUAUUGGGGGCCUCAAGAACUUUUGGUUCAUAACAUCAUAAACUUCCUACCCACAAAAGAAAGUAGGAAGUUUCUCCAAUAGACGCCUCUGGCUAUCAAUAUUGGGGCGGUAAUACAAAACAUUACCAUUGUAAAACGAAAUUAAUUAAUAACCUAACAUAAAUAAAAUAAAAUAUAAUAAAAUAAGUAAAGUGGUAUAAACAAGGAAUAAAAUAAAUCAAUUAAAGAUUAUGAAAUUCCAAGAUAAUCCAGUAUUAAUGUGGAUUCAAUAUGUAGAUAAAACUACAAGUUUAAGAAUUGGAUUUCCAACCAAUUCAGGUUCAUAUAGGCACAAAUAAGUAAUGAACUUUAGGUUCAUAUCAAUCUAUAUUCGAAACUUCGGGUUCGAAUAUGUAGAUCUAAAUAAAUUGAAUUAAUAGUUGUGCUUUGAACUUCAUACUCAAAUCGAUGUAUAUGCACUCGAAACUUCUGGUUCGAGUUCUUGACACAUGUAGGCCUCAUGGAAUUCUGAUUUUGAUUAAUACAAAAUCGAGGAGUUUCAUGUCCUUAUGUGCUCUUUAAAUUCGCGGAACUUCACGCCCUCAAUUAUUUGGAAUCAAAGAACUUCAGGUUCUGAUUCAAUCAAAAGGACUCUAUAUCCUAAUCUAGUUAUAUGAUGAGGAUCACGGAACUUCGGGCCCCUGAUCUUUUGUAUAAUUCAAACUCAUCAUAAUAAUUAAGAUCAUACUUAAAAUUAAAUAAACAAACAAAUAAAAACAAAAACAUGGCAUUAUAUUCAUGUGUAAUAAGAAUAAGAAUUUUUUUUCUUAAACAAGCAUGAUGAAGUCUGAUGGUGAGUACAAAGAAACUCUAUACCAUGUGAUGACUCUAGCUCAUAUAAGAAGAAAGAAAAUUCAGAGAAAGAAAACAUACCAAGAGCAAUGUCGUGCUGAUAACAUGUUAUAAAACUAGAGGGAGAAAAUGUAGAGAGAAGUGAUAUGCUAAAGACAAAGUUUCACCAUGUUUAUUCUACCUUAAUCUUUGGUAGAACCACCUAUUUAUAGGCUUACAAGAUAGGAGAUUGAAUACCAUCAUUUACAAUAUACCUAUAGGUUACAAGCAUUAAUUACAAAUACUUAGUGCAUAGGUUACAUAAAAUCCAACGGUGGAAUAUUAAGAGGUAUGGUGGUCAUCCACCAACUCAUGUAUUUACAACACAUGUCUAUUUUUUUAGAUUGGAAAACGUUUUUUUUAACACAAGAAUGACCUCAAAAAAAAAAAAAAAUCAACGAAAGAAAGAUUGUUUUUUUUAUACGGACAAAAGACAUCCUUCUAAAGAAGUCUGUAGUCAAAGGAAGUUCAUUGAUUGGAUUUUCAAACCAUUAAUUCGGUAAGUUUGAUUAUUGAUUUUUUUUUUCAAGACCAUUAAUUAGUUAAGUCUUAUUUGUUGGAGUCUUUCAGAAAAGAAAAAAACAAACAAACGUUUUUUCUUAUUUAAUUUUUUAAGUCUUAUUUGAAUGUCUCCUUAUUCCCUUUGGAGUCUUAAAAAAAAGACUUUUUCUCAAUUAAUUUUUGAACAAGGCGAUAAGAAAAUUGUAAAAAAUUUAGAUAAGAAAUUUAAAGAAAUAUUAAAAUCAAUACGUUUAAUAAGGGCUGAUUUGAAAAACAAAUGUUAGCUUGUUUGAUGCAUUAAUUGCAUUGUUUUGAGUUUUUAAAAAGUGACACAUAUCAUGAGAAAGAGAGAGAAUGUCCAAAAGAGAAGGUUAGAGAAAAAGUAGCUAUCAAAGCUUUUUCACAAAGUUAGACACACACGCCCACCAAGUUGGAUUCCAAUUGCUUUAGGUGUAGAUCACUCUAGUGCUGGAACCCACUCCAUGUGUGUCUCCAGCCUUUUAACAAAGAUGGCACGUGCCGUCAUUUCCCCAUUUGAAAACCCACGGUAUGACAAAUGAAGAAAGCUAGCAAACAAACAAGGAUAAAGUAGCCUUUACACAAUUAACAAUACAAUUUGGGCCAAUUUUCAACAGUGAAGGCAUCUUAUUGCAUUCUCCGGAGCCUUUCUUUUUCGAAAUAAGGAUAGAUUUUAAUUUAAACGCUAGAUCUGAAAGCAGAUUCAAUGAUUUCCAUAAAAAUCAUAAUCAACAUUACGUAGUUACAAACAUACAAGAUCCAUCCACAAUUGGUACAUAUAGAGCAGAAUCCGAGCAUCAUUGUUCCCUCACAGAUACACACAACACCUUCACAUAUGCUCUUAUUCUUUUAUUGAAUUACACGGAGUUUCUGGCUAUGCUUCUUUUUCUUUUAUUCUCUUAUUCGUUUAUGGAAUUCCAUAUAUUCCUUGGAAGCAGCAGACCCGGUAAAGGGUGCCUAGAAUGAUACUCGAAUAUCAAGCAAUCUCAUCAACUGAGAAAUAAGCUCUGGUUGGCCAUGCCACGCUGCUGCGGUAACCAGAUUUCCAUCAGUGACACAACGAUCUAUUGGAUCCGCUUCCACAAACGUCCCUCCUGACGAAACCACACGAGCCUUAAUCCCUGGGUAUCCAGUACAUUUCUUCCCCUGAAAUAUAGCCAAUUGAACCAAUUAUAUGACAUGCUAAAAAGUGCCUAAUCAGUUAAUAAGUACAUUAACCACUAAUCAAAAGAAACAGAAAAAAUAUCAUCUCCUUUGCGAUUUUAAAGAGUACUCACCUCCCUCUUCCCCAUAGUUAUUUACAAUUGAGAGGUUAAUAGGUCACAACAGAUCAGCUCAACAGAACCAAAAUACAAAGCACUACCACUAACUAUGUUUUUUUCUUUAAGAACCAUACCUGCAGAACACCAGCAGCAACUAAAAUUUCCAGGCCAUGGCAGAUGGAUGCAACUGGUUUCCCGGCUUCCAUAAAUUGUUUCACUAGUACAAUAACAUCCUCCUUUAGUGCCAAAAACUCUGGAGCUUUACCUCCAGGGAGUACAAGAGCGUCAUAACUUGAGGCAUCUAUGGAUUCAAAGUCAGCUGUUAAAACAAAAUUAUGUCCCCGGAUCUCACUGUAGGUUUGGCCCCCUUCAAGAUCACGGAUAGCAGUUGGGCAGGUAUCACCGGCUUUCUUCUUGGGGCAAACCACAUCAACAUGGCAUCCUAGAACUUUGAGGGUCUGAUAAGGCACAGUUACCUCAUAAUCUUCCGCGUAGUUCUACAAAUAUUGGGGAGGGGAGCAAUUAAAUGAUGAUGAUUAGUAACUAACAGUUUAAUCAUUGGCUAUAUUUUGUCCCAUAUUUGUCAUUGCAAUAUAAAAGAAACAGAAAAGAAAGCUUACUCCAAUGAUGAUGAGGACCCUUCUCUCUGAAGCACAUAUUUUGCCUCCCAGUGCCUGAGAAAAAGCCUAAUGAACUCAGGAUUGCCAUAAUAUGUGACCCCAGUAAUUAAAUUAUCAUCAGCAACACACACUGACAAUGUAUCGGGUUCUACCCAGUGAGCACCAGCAGCAACCAAUCCAGGUUUCAUAGUUGAAACCGCGGUGCAUUUGCGACCUUUAACAGCGCCUGCAGGUGCUAAGACCAACAGCCCAUGGCAAAUAGCAGCAAUUGGCUUUCUGCAGUCAGAAAAUUUUCUCGCCAAUUCUACAACGGAUGCCUUCAUAGCAAGAUGUUCAGGAGAUCGUCCUCCUGGUAUAACUAGACCAUCAUAUUUGUCAAUUUCGAUGUCAUCAAAUGUUGCAUUCAGUGUGAAAUUGUGACCACGAGAUUCUUUAUUAGCCUGUAACCAAAAAGGUACACGAAAGAAAACCAAACACAACACACACAUUAAAACAAGAGUAAUGGUUAGGUGAAUUCAAGCUUCUUUGUCUUGCUUGUCUCUCAAACUCAAACUCAAACUCAAACUCAAACUCAUCAGAGGUUGUUUUCCAACAACUGUGUUCAAUAUUAAACAUAUAAAAUAUAUUCCUCUUGUUUACAAAUAAAAAAGAACAGGAAAGACAGGAAAGACAGAAUUUGACCUGGUCAGUGGACUCUACUUGAAUGGUUAUGGCAGUGGCGCAGAUAUCACCAGCUUUCUUGACAGGAGAAACUGCAUCAACAGAGACUCCAAAUGCCUGCAGUGCUUGAAAUGGGACCAUUGCCUCGUAAUCUUCCAUGUAGUCCCCGCACAGUAACAACACCCUCCUCUGCACCUCGCCUUUCGGAUUCCCCAUUUCUUUUCUUAUUUCCUUCUUUAGUUUCUUUCUUCUUUUUCAGAGAGAGAGAGUUUUCAGAGAGAUUUUUCAGAGAGAGAGAGAGAGGGAGAGAGUCUGAAUACAAGAAGGUAGGUUAUAGCUUGAGCUGCUCUGCUUUGCUUACUUAAAUACUCACAAAAGCGUUUUUGGAGGUUUGUGGAGUCAGCUCGAUACGGUCGCACGCAAUUUGAGCAACACAUCGCAGUCAGUUAUCGUGGCAUCUCUCUAUUCGCCGCUUCUUUUCAGUUCGGAUAACUAUUCUAUUAGUUUCGAGCCUAUCACCGUCUCCAUGUUUGAUACGUUUUUUUGUUGUCUUCUUUACCGACCAAGUGAGUCUAAAUUAUUGAAACUUAAGUUUGUUCUCUUCACGGACCAAGGGGGUCUAAAUUAUUGGAGGAAGAUUGAAACUUGAGUUUGUUCUCUUCACGGACCAAGUGAGUCUAAAUUAUUGGAGGAAGAUUGAAACUCGAGUGCAAAGAGACGGAUUUAUUCUCUUGUUGUGAAUACAAGUAAUGGUCUAAAUUAUUAGAGAAGUAUUCUAACUUGAGUGCAAAGAGCACAAACUUAAGUGCAAAAGAGUGGACUCACUGUCUUAUUACGAGUGCAAAUGAUAGUCUAAAUUAUUAGAGAAAUAUUCAAAUUAUAGUGCAAAGAAGCAUACUCACUGUCUUAUUGUGAAUAUUCGAAUAUUCGAGCUCAAUGCUUCCUUUUCGAUUGAAAAAAAAAAGAAAAAAAGAAGCUCAAUGCUUCCAAGCUAAUGUCCCUAUACUAUAGAAAAGCUCUUUAGAGUCGUCAUCCUCUUCUUCUUGCCUUCAUUGUAGCAUGUGUGUGGGCCCAAUAGUAAAGCUCAAUGCUUCCAAGCUAAUGUCCCUAUACUAUAGAUUAUAGAAAAGCUCUUUGGAGUCCUCAUCUUCCUCUUGCCUUCAUUGUAGCACGUGUGUGGCCCAAUAGAAAAGCUAAUGUCCCUAUAUUAUAUGGACUAUGCGGACAGUGAUGGAUUCAAGAUUAUGUGGCCAAGGGGGCUUAGUGUAAAGUUCCGAAAUUUUUCUACAAAGAAAAUAAUGCUAAAAAAAUAUAAAGAUAGUACUAUAAUCCGUCAUUUGAGUUCUUAGUCCAGGGUCUUCCUGAAAAUUAGCUAAUAUCUCAUCUACUUCAAUUGGUCUUGCAUUUGAACUACCUGGGUUAGGCGAAGAAGGACUAUCCGUAGAUAAUUUUCUUUUAAAGAUUCGUUCCAUAAAUCUACAAAUCAAUUAAUUCAAUCAAUCAUUAAUUUUUAUCCAAAUUAUCAUAUGAAUAUGAAAAUUUCAAUAAUCCACUCUCAAUAUUCAAUAUAUCUAAACCCAUAUUAAUCAAUAUUCAAUAUACCAAUACUUACGAAUGAAAGUUCCAGCGACAUCAGGGAAUUUUUCCCUUAUGUAAUUGUCCAAUCAAUAUUCAAAAUAAUCAAUCAAUUCACAUUAUCAAGCAUAAACUCACUCAAUCUACAUUAUCCAUCAAUAUGAUUCAUAUACAUAAAUUUCAUUACAUAAAAAAUAUCAAUAUCAACAAUAUAUAUUAUCACUAUAAGGGUUGGGAGAUUGGGAAUGAAGGGUGGGUUGGAAGAUUGGGACAGGUUAGGGUUUGAAAGGGUGGGAAGAGCUGUGAAAUUGUGAAAGGACCCGCCCCGAAUUUUCUCAAAACCCGAGACGAACCCUUUGGAAUUCCUGACAUCACUCCGAUGCCAGACCCACUUACUAAAAACCGAGACUCCCUGCCGAAAUUUCGGCAGAGUCUCCCCUAUAAAUUGGACAUUUUCCAAAAUUUAUACCUGCAUGAAAAUGCAUUUAAUAUUCCCAACUGGCAGCAUGCACAAUAUAAUUUCAUGCAAAUUCUCAUAAAUGGCCUUCGGCCUUCAAUUAAUUCUCAAACAACUACCAAGCAAUUCAAAUACAAAUUAUGACUAAUAUUUAGUCUGCGGCUGCACCUAAUAACCUUAGGCUGCCUACGUACCCUCCUUGAGAGAUCAAGCCACACGUAGUUCUUCCUUAAAAACCCAAUUCCACACUUGGGCGAUGCCUUAUUUCAUUUCUCUGUAUUUCACAUAUUCUCCCCAUACGCCGGUACAACCAACGCCACGUAUGAGGCCUGUCAACACGCCGGAUAACCUACGCCACGUGCGACCAUGCCAUACUAUCAUAAUAUCUCCCUAUUCGCCGGUACAACCAACGCCACGUAUGGGGCCUGUCCCAAAGCCGGAUAACCUACGCCACGCGGGACCUCAAUAUCAUAUCACAAAUCUCCCCAUACGCCAGUACAACCAACGCCACGUAUGGGGUCUGUCGACACGCCAGAUAACCUACGCCACGUGAGACCUGAACAUCAUAUUACAUAGCUCCCCAUACGCCGGUACAAUCAACACCACGUAUGGGGUCUGUCCCAACGCCGGAUAACCUACGCCACGCAUGGGGUCUGUCCCAACGCCGGAUAACUUCCACUUGGUGGUACAUGUAGUGAAUCCAACGUCCGAGGAGGUACCUACAGCAGUGCGUAUAGCACUCCAAACUGACAUUCUUGACUCUGUUGUACCCUUGUACAACCACAUAUAAUUAUAUUUAUAUAAAUUAAUUCUUAUAUUGUGUAACCCUCCACAAUAGUCUAGCUCCCGAUAAACCCACCCCCCCCCCCCCCCCGGAAGGGGGAGAUUACUCCGGGAGAUUCACGGUCAACCAAGGGUCAAACUACUCUAACCCUGGUCAAACGGACUUGCAGAACCCAUGACCUCCAAUUUCCGAUCCGAAAGUCUCUAUGGGUUCUACCAGGUAUAGGACACUUGUCCUGCGAGUUUGGUUCAGAUCAGACGAUCGGAUUUCUCACGAUCGCAUGAUCUGACAGUUAAUAUAAAAUAUAAACUUUAAAUUAUUAUUCGGAACAUCUGGGGCUCCGAUUCACGAUCCGUGAAUUCCUACACGAUCCUAGAAAUACCUAGAUUAACAUAUAUUAAAUUUGGGACCAUCAGACGGUCCCAACCUAUCGAACCCAGAUAACGCAUAAUAUGCGAUUAUCCGUUCGAUAGUCAAACGACGUCCGAAUUGAGAUCCGCGAAUCCUACGCACUCGUGACAACCUAAGGAUCUCAUCAGAACACAGUGCUAUUUUUCUACAGUGCCCACGCGCCAGCAGCGCGUGGGUGCCCAAAGCGAUAAUGCUUCGCCGGAAAAUCUCAAAACCACGGCUCCAAACUCCUACCCUAGGUAUAACACCCUAUUUGGAGCCACUUUUGUUCUUGGACCUACCCCAAAAAGUGGCCGGAAAUGGCCGAUCACGGCAGCCGAAGUUUCGGCCGAUUUUCAAUUCGAAAAUUGAGUUGGCUACGCUAAGAAUUGAUCUAAUCCUAUCCAACCAUCAGCUAGAGCAGCUCGAGAGGUUCAAAAUCCAUACAUGGGUCGACGGAAUUGGUGGCCGGAGGAGGGAGAUCGGCGGCCGUGAAAAUCGGGCGACAUCCGGGCGAAAAUCGCCAUUUUCUGGCGGCUGGAGCAGCGGCCGAUGUCGGGGGUGGGCUGGGUCGUGACGCCGAGGCCGAGCCGGUUCUUUUGGUACCGGCCCCGUCCGCAGCCGCGGCCGGUGGCUGGAGUUACGAGGAGAGAGAGAGAGAGAGAGAGAGAGAGAGAGAGAGAGCCGACGGGAGAGAGAGAGAGAGAUCGCGGGAGAGAGAGAGAGAGAGAGAUCGUGGGAGAGAGAGAGAGAGAGAGAGAGAGAGAGAAACCAGAUUUUAUAAAAAAUCCCAUUUCGAAAUAUUUACGAUUAUGCCACUGGGCUUCUUUUGACCAUAUCUCUCUCGUUACAACUCCGAUUCGAGCCCACUACGUGUCUAUGAACUCGUCUCAGUACGACCUAUCCAAAAAUACAAGUCACGGUCCAAAACUCUCUGCAGUAGUGUGUAUAGCACUCCAAACUGACAUUCUAGACUCUGUUGUACCCUUGUACAACCACAUAUAAUUAUAUUUAUAUAAAUUAAUUCUAAUAUUGUGUAACCCUCCACAAUAGUCUAGCUCCCAAUAAUCCCCCCCCCCCCCCCACAAGGGUGAGAUUACUCCGGGAGAUUCACGGUCAACCAAGGGUCAAACUACUCUAACCCUAGUCAAACGGACUUGCAGAACCCACGACCUCCAAUUUCCGAUCCGAAAGUCUCUAUGGGUUCUACCAGGUAUAGGACACUUGUCCUGCGAGUUUGGUUCAGAUCAGACGGUCGGAUUUCUCACGAUCGCAUGAUCUGACGGUUAAUAUAAAAUAUAAACUUUAAAUUAUUAUUCGGAACAUCCGGGGCUCCGAUUCACGAUCCGUGAAUUCCUACACGAUCCUAGAAAUACCUAGAUUAACAUAUAUUAAAUUUGGGACCAUCCGACAGUCCCAACCUAUCCAACCCGGAUAACGCAUAAUAUGCGAUUAUCCGUUCGAUAGUCAAACGACGUCCGAAUUGAGAUCCACGAAAUCCUACGCACUCGUGACAACCUAAGGAUCUCAUCGGAACACAGUGCUAUUUUUCUACAGUGCCCACGCGCCGCCGCACACGCCGGCAGCGUGUGGGUGCCCAAAGCGAUAACGCGUCGCCGGAAAAUCUCAAAACCACGGUUUCAAACUCCUACCCUAGGUAUAACACCCUAUUUGGAGCCACUUUUGUUCUUGGACCUACCCCAAAACGUGGCCGGAAAUGGCCGAUCACGGCGGCCGAAGUUUCGGCCGAUUUUCAAUUCGAAAAUUGAGUUGGCUACGCUAAGAAUCGAUCUAAUCCUACCCAACCAUCAGCUAGAGCAGCUCGAGAGGUUCAAAAUCCAUACCUGGGUCGACGGAAUUGGUGGCCGGAGGAGGGAGAUCGGCGACCGUGAAGAUCGGGUGACAUCCGGGCGAAAAUCGCCAUUUUCCAACGGCUGGAGAAAAACCAGAUUUUAUAAAAAAAUCUCAUUUUGAAAUAUUUACGAUUAUGCCACUGGGCUUCUUUUGACCGUAUCUCUCUCAUUACAACUCCGAUUCGAGCCUACUACGUGUCUAUGAACUCGUCUCAGUACGACCUAUCCAAAAAUACAAGUCACGGUCCCAGACUCUCUCCGGUUAAAAAUAUGACUAAAAUACCCUUAAAUAAUUAAAUAAUUAAAUAAUUAAAUAAUUAAAUAAUUAAAUAAGGGUAAAAUUUGGGGUCGGGGUGUUACAAAUUGGGAAUGAAGGGUUUGGAGGCGCUGUGCAUUCGGGUAAGUGAUUCGGUGUUCUUUUUUUUUAUGUUUUUUGUUUUUUUAAACUUGGCCCAAAACGACGUCGUUUUGAAGCCAGGUCAAUUAAAAAAAAUUUGACUGAGCCUUGGACCAAACGACGUAGUUUGGCAAGGCUCGUUUUAGAAAAAAGGGAUGCGCAGCUUGAGCGGGCAAGGCACAGCGCAGCUGCGCAAUAGAAGAAAAAAUGGCAUGGGACUUUUGUCGAGCAGUUGGUGUGCGUACCAGGGGUCAUCCAGCAGCUGUCCAAGGGGGCUUUCAUGGAUUCCCUUGCCAAUUUUCCUGCCUUCCAAGGGGUCAUCGGACCCCUCUUGUCCCAAUGUGCGUCCGCCAAUGCAUGCGGAUAAAUAAAUGUAAUGUUUAUCUCUAACAGAUCAUGCUUUUUGAGCUGUGAUAGUUUUGGAAUAGUGUUCGCGUGCAUUUUACCUCGACUGCCAUGUUGAUUUUCACCAGAGCAGCAAAGCUGCUUGCUUUGUGUUAUGAGGUCUGGUUUUGUCAACAAACUAUAUUGCUUGACCCAGAAGAAAAUGCAAUAUCAUGUGGAUCCUCAUUUCGCAGUUGCAGGAGGAUGGUUGUGAAAAUACAAGAGCUAAUUCUGGAUAACAUGAUAUUUGUGGGAGCGAUUUCUUCCCACAAGAAUAUUCAAUUGAAAGAUUCCUCUUUCAUCUUCGCCACCCCUUUCUCCUUGCAAAAUAGAUCGAAACAAGAGGACCACACCCGUGAGGUGUUGGCCAAAUGCCCUCAGAUGCCUAAGUUAGUUCAAUUGAUUCGUAGAGAAAACAAUAGCUAAAUAGGGUACAAAGAUAUAUAUAUAUAUAUAUAUAUAUAUGUAAGGUGUAAACCGGGUGGCCGAAGCCAUGAGUGGUGGUCGGAGCCUUGUGUAAAAGGGAGAGAGAGUAUGGCGGCUAGGGUUUGUGAGGGAUAAUUUCUGCAGAGUUUCAGUAGGAAUUUAGACGUAGCUCAACCCUUGUGCGUAGCCAUCUAUUUACAGGGGCCUCGGAGGCUAGGGUUUCAGAGGAAUAAUUCCGCAGAUGGAAAGGAAUUAUUCUUCCCUGAUUUGGCGAGAUUGGCUUAAUUAGGGAUUUGAAUGUAGGAAUCAAAUCAAUCCCAAUUAAAUUAGAUAACUCCCAAUUAGGUAAAAUAAUCCCCAAAUGGAAGGAAAUAUUUCACCUAGGGCUUUGCUAGAAUUGGGCUCCCACAAUAUUCAUUCAGGUAAAACUUCGAGGUGUACGGUGAGAGAGAUAGAGACCAAAGGGACUGACGACUAAUAAAUCGUAGUGUCCUUAGCAUAAGUAGUAUAACACAAGCUUCAUCCACAACCAACUUGCAUAGAACAUGGCAUAUACAUAUCAAAACCAGUGUCACUUGUUCCCUCAUAUAUACAAACGUCACCUUAACAUAACACAACAUACAUGCCUUAUUCUUUCACGAAUUACAUAAAGUACAUGCAAGCAGCUGACCCGGUAAACAACAACUAGAAUGAUACUCGAAUAUCAAGCAAUGUCAUCAAUUGAGAAAUGAACUCUGGGUGGCCCGGCCAUGCUGCUCCAGUAACCAAAUUUCCAUCCGUGAAGCAACGAUCUAUUGGAUCAGGUUCCAGGCAUGCUGCUCCCAGCAAAACCACAUUAAGGUUCACCGCUGGAUACGCAGUACAUUUCUUUCUCUAUAAUUUAGCCGGUUAACAACAAUUAGGACACGAUUAAAAAAAGUUCAUAAUGUGAAAAUAAGUAAAUCAACCCUCAAUCAGAAGAAUCAACAAAAGACAAACAUAUUACAACUUCAAGGUGGUUUCUUUUUUACCUCGUCAUUAAAUACUCACUCUGAUAAAACUUUAUAUAAACAGAAAAUAGGCAGUGUCCCUCUUACAAAAUUGAUGACACUCCUAACUCUUCCUAACAACUUCUGAAAAACUGAAACUGCCUAGCUCCGCCAAGCCUUUUGGUUUUCCUUACUAGGUAAUUUCUUCUUUUACCCCAUUCCCGUGAACUUGUCCUCCUUGGCUCAUUGAAUGUUCGUUAUGUCUCCACCCAUACUCAGCCAAACAUUUGAUGUACUUUAAAUCUUUAGUAUUCAAUAAUACUGCAUAACUGUUGAUAUUUACAUAAAUGGUUCAUAAAAUUGAAGUGGAGAAGAAACUAUCUUAAGAGUUGAGAAUGAGUUUGGGUGGCUUGAGUGAAAAAACUUUAUCCAUCAACACAAGGAGAUGGUGAAGGCAUCUUAUUAUGGUGGGAUCAUUUGCAUCCUCCGGAGCCUUUUUUUUUCAAAAUACUGCCAGAUUUUAAUCAUUAAACUAAGAAUGUAAACGCUAGAUCCGAAAGCAGAUUCAAGGAUUUCCAUAAAAAGCAUAAUCAACAUUACGUAGUUAAAAACAUACAAGAUCCAUCCACAAUUGUUACAUAUACAGCAGAAUCAGAGCAUCAUUGUUCCCUCACAGAUGCACACAUCACCUUAACAUAUGCUUUUAUUCUUUUAUUGAAUUACACGGAGUUUCUGACUAUGUUUCUUUUUCUUUUUUUACUCUUAUUCGUUUAUGGAAUAACAUAUAUUACUUGGAAGCAGCUGAACUGGUUAAGUUUGCCUAAAAUGAUACUCGAAUAUCAAGCAAUGUCAUCAACUGAGAAAUAAGCUCUGGUUGGCCAUGCCACGCUGCUGCGGUAACCAGAUUUCCAUCAGUGACACAACGAUCUAUUGGAUUCGCUUCCGCAAACGUCCCCCCUGACACAACCACAUGAGCCUUAAUCCCUGGGUAUCCAGUAAAUUUCUUCCCCUGAAAUAUAGCCAAUUAAACCAAUUAUGUCAUGCUAAAAAGUGCCUAAUCAAGAAAUAAGUACAUUAACCACUUAUCAAAAGAAACAGAAAAAAUAUUAUCUCGUUUGCGAUUUUAAAGAGUACUCACCUCCUUCUUCCCAAUAGUUAUUUACAAUUGAGAGGUUAAUAGGUCACAACAGAUCAGCUCAACAGAACCGAAAUACAAAGCACUAGAUGUAACCUUUUUUACUUCCUUUUCAAGUUCAAUCGAUAAAGUAUUUCAAUCUGUUUUACUUUAUCUUUAAUAAGUAGCAUUAAAACUGGAAGCAUUAUAUUAAUGUUUUAGUGACAAACGUUUAACCACUAAAAUGCAGGUAGGAUAUAUGUUUUUUCUUUAAGACCAUACCUGCAGAACACCAGCAGCAACUAAAAUUUCCAGGCCAUGGCAGAUGGAUGCAAUUGGUUUCCUGGCUUCCAUAAAUUGUUUCGCUAGUACAAUAACAUCCUCAUUUAGUGCCAAAACCUCUGGAUCUUUUCCUCCAGGGAGUACAAGAGCGUCGUAACUUGAGGCAUCUACGGAUUCAAAGUCAGCUGUUAAAACAAAAUUUUGUCCCUGCGUUUCACUGCAGGUUUGGGCCCCUUCAAGAUCACGGAUAGCAGUUGGGCAGGGAUCACCGGCUUUCUUCUUGGGGCAAACCACAUCAACAUGGCAUCCUAGAACUUUAAGGGUCUGAUAAGGCACAGUUACCUCAUAAUCUUCCACGUAGUCCUACAAAUAUUACAAAUAUUGGGGAGGGGAGCAAUUAAAUGAUAAUGAUUAGUAUCUAACAGUUUGAUCAUUGGCUAGAAGCCUAAAACCAUGAACUUGUCGUGGCGAAACUGGUAAAGCCGACUCGGGCUUUCUCCCCUUUCUCUUUUAAUAAUAUUAAGGUUGGUUGUCACUUGAACUUGAGCAUACUAUUUUGUCCUAUAUAUGUCAUUGCAAUAUUAAAGAAAAAGAAAAGAAACCUUACUCCACAGAUGAUGAGGACCCUUCUCCCAGAACCAGAUAUGUUGCCUCCUAGUGCCUUGAGAAAAAGCCCAAUGAACUCAGGAUUGCCAUAAUACGUGACCCCAGUAACUAUAUUAUCAUCAACAACGCCCACUGACAAUGUAUCGGGUUCUACCCAGUGAGCACCAGCAGCAACCAAUCCAGGUUUUACAGUUGGAAACGCUGUGCACUUGCGACCUUUAACAGACUGCCCAUGACAAAUAGCAGCAAUUGGCUUUCUGGAGUCAGA
rnacentral:lncRNA from 1 species